AUUCAGGCGAGCGCGGAGCGCGUGCUCCGUCGAGCACAUGGGCAGCAAGCCGCCGAGCUCGGAGCGGCAGCGGCCUGCACUGCUGCUCCCCCUCCCCGCUCGGCUCUUGAUUUUUUUGCAUUUUAUAUAUGCAUCGGAUUUAUAUUCUAUUUUUUUGAAACACAUGCACAUCUAAGGAAAGGGGCAGCCUCGGGCCGGAAACGGCCAGCAACUUUGCAAAACGCUUCGAGGAUUUGUUUGGGGGGAAAAGGAGACUUGCGUGGCCUGGGGGAAAAAAGAUGCGUGGUAAGUCAAGCUUGCGGUGGGGGACGGGAGGUUGCUGCAGAUGCAUGCGGGGGGGUGGGGGGGGGAAGAAAGAGAGAGUGAAAGGCUCCCCUCCCCCUUUCCUUGUCAUGGGGCUUUGCUUUCUAAACAAACCGAGCGAGAAGUUUGCAGGUGGCCGCGUCUGGCAAUCGCGCCGCGUGCUUUUUUUGUGCGUGCAAGAAGGGUAAGGGGGGGGGGAGAGGGCUUGCUCCGUGCUAUAUUUAUAUCUCUCUCCCGUAUUUGGCCCCCACCCCACGCGCCCCCUUCCCUCCUCCAAAGCUCUUUAGCUAACUAUAUUUGUGUGUGUUUUAAAUGGCACGUUUAAAAGAAAGGGACAGGGAUGCAGAGAGAGAGACCCGCGGCCACGAUGACUGGAAGCGCGCAAAGAAAAGAGCCGUGCUGGCGAAAUCAAUAAAGAAAUCGGGGACCCUCGAGGAGGGAUGGGGAAAUGGCACGUCUUGCUUUCUUUGCCCAUCCCCCCUCCAUUUCCUCCCACCCCCCACAUAUAGAUCUCCGGCUCCUGGCCUUGUGCAUAUUAUGACUAUUCUCCCCCUUUUCCAUAUAUAUAUAUGCGCUAGCGAGAUGCCCGGAAAACUCGUUUUUCUGUUUUGUUUUACUUUUGGAAUCGGGCAACUUUACUGUGUACUUGGAUCUCCUUCUCCUCUCUCUUUCUCCCUCUGUCUGUAGCCCACCCUACACCGUAGGGGAAACUCGGACGGGUUUUUGCUUCCAGCAGGAUCGGGGCCGUCAUCUUUUUUCCGAUGUGCACGCGCGCACGUCCAUAGGAACAAACACUUCGGCCUUGGUCCAAAGUACAGUUUCCGAUGCAAUCUUGGAGAUGUUUCUAGGGCUUCCAUCGUGCAGCCACGUUUGUUGGCUGUGAUGUUUUCCCUCCUCUCUCUGCCUCCCCCCCCCUUGAAUCAAGACUGCCCCCCAAAAAAUAGAACCCCAAAGACACAAUACAAGGAUUUUCUCCUUCUGACAUAGGCCUUAAAGUCAUCCAGCUCACCCCCUCCUCGUCCAAUGAGCUGCAUCUUUACUGCAAGGAGAUUUGCGUAUUUAUUAUUUUUAUUUAAUUAAAAUAUCUGCAAACCUCCUUCGCCUGUACACUUUCCAGGAACAGAGUAUUACUGUAUAUAAAUAUAUAUUAAAAAUUACACAUGUCGAUACCAGAUAAUGUAGCAGCUAUAUUAGGCAGCCUAUGAUAGGCCAUAAAUAACCAUUUUUUAAAAUGCCUGGCCAUUUUUUUUGACCCGAAAUCGCUCGAGAAUAAAGCAAACAGUUUAUUUUUUUUGUUUUCUUUAGGCUGCAAUCCAAAGCCUGAUUUCCUCGGACCAAACUCCAUUGAACGCUAUGGUUUGGAUCCAGGCUAAGUUUGCUACACUUCAGGUCCCGUUGAAAGCAAUCCAAGAAAUUAGUCGUGGCUAACUCCACUCCUGUUAAAAUCAAUGACUUCUGGAUCCAAUCUGGUUAGACAGACAUUUGGUAGGCAUGUAUAGGAUUGUACCCUGGGUAGUCUUCCAUCCUUAAGAACCAGAAUUAAAAAAAAAGGGGGGGGGAGGAAAAUCUUGCCUGUGCAAAUAAUAGGUCACAUUUUCAAUUUUUAUUUUGCCAUUUCUGUGUUGUAUUUUUUUAAAAAACCAAACAUUAAAAGACAAAAGCAUAGUUGAAGAUCAAAUUCAAAAUGGCAUCAGAGGGAAACCCUUGAUAAUGAGGUAGGAAAAGGAUUAUGAGGAUUUUGUCUGCAGUGACACCUCUAAAAACUACUCCAAAUUGACAAGUUGGGACAUGUUUAUGCUGGCCCUUAUUUAUUAGCCACAGAAUUAGUCAUUCAGCAACUCCUGUGACAGAAGCAUUUCCUUUUUUUGUAAUCAUUUUACGGCUGCCAUCCUGUAUGCACUUAUUUUUUAAGCACUAAUUUUAUUUACUGCAAAUAUAACUUAACUUGGGAGUAAGCCCCCUUUGUAUUCAGGGAGUAGGGUUGCGCUGUAAAAAUAUGCGUCUUUUACGUGAAAUCUCUGCUUUAAACUUCUAAUCGCAACCGGCGUGAAUUGGAAGGAAGCAGCAAAUCGUUUUGCAAUAAUUUUGUUUUGCAUAAAAAUAUACAUUAUAUAUUUUAUAUAUAUAUAUAUAUAUAUAUAUAUAUAUAUAUAUAUAUAUAUAUAUCUAUAUAUAUAUGUAUGUAUAUGUAUAUAUAUAUAUAUGUAUAUGUAUAUAUAUAUGUGUAUAUAUAUAUGUAUAUAACACUUUUAAAAAUCCAGCUUUUGCACCUUUAUGAGCUCUCUGCAGAAUGGACCGCGCUAUAUAUAUAUAUAUAUAUAUAUGUAAAGGUGCGGGAUCUGCAUUUUUUUAAAGUUGCCAUAUUUCCGUAGAAGUUGUCUCUAUAUAUUUGGAGGGAAGGAUUUCAAAGUAGUUCUAGUGCUCUGUGACACUUUGAGGAGUGGGGUGUGUGCAAUCUUUUAAAAUAUGAACGUUUUGAAUUCCUACAUCCCUCUGAAAUUGGAUGUCAAAGUCUUGUGGCUUUGUCGAUUAUGUUCUCUGAUUGUCGUAACACAAAAUGGAAGAUUUGCCCCAUCUUCCUCACACCAAACUGUGCUCUGUGACCAAAAUGGCAACAGACGUCCUGAGUAUUUUCCUCCGGCCUCAUGCAAAGCUUUCUUUUCCGAUUUGUUUUCCUUCUUGCUCUCAUCUUCUCUUGUGUAGCAAUGGUAUGUUCCCACAUUUCUCCCUGAAAGUCCAGGAUGCUUGUAUAUGUAUUUUAUGCUUGCAGCAGCCUUGUGAGGUUGAAUCGUGAUUUGCCUCCCAUGGAGCUUCAUAAUUUCGCAGGGAUUUGAAUCUUGGUCUCUCACGUUCAGUUUCCAACAGUAAAACCUAGGUUUUGAGUGUGUGUGGACCUGCGUGCUGGGCUGUGUCACUAGCUGGCAUUUAACCCUAUUCCAGUGGCCGUCUCUGCUUUGCAAGCUCCUACAAAAAAGUCCUACCUCAUUUGUGUCGGAAAACGCUUUUUCUGGCCUGAUGUGAAUUGUGUGCGUAAACAAGGCCAGCUUAAUCCAGUGCCUCCUUCCUUGCCCAUUCUGACUGGCAAUUUUAAUUUCCAAAUUGUGUUGCUUUCUCUUCCUGGUUGUGAUACGGAACCAUGAUUUGAUGUCCUCCUGCAAAGGUGGGGUCUCCGUGAAUCAAAUUGCCAAAGUCAUAUUUGUUUCCUUGCCUUCAGUCCCUUCCUCCCCUAAUUUGUGAGUGCUCCUGAGGUUCUCUUCCUUCUACUACAGUCAUACCUCGAGUUGAAUGCGCUUCGGGUUGAGUGCGUUCAAGUUGCGCUCCGCGGCAACCCGGAAGUAACGGAGCGCGUUACUUCUGGGUUUCACUGCUUGCGCAUGCGCAGACGCUCAAAAUGAUGUCACACACGGUGGCGGCGACACGCACAGACGCGCCAUCGCGUCUUGCGUUCUGUUCAGGAUGCGAACGGGGCUGCAGAACGGAUCCCGUUCACAUCCCGAGGUACCACUGUACUGUAAGGAUUUUGCAGGGUUGUAAUGCAAACCGUCUCCUGGCAACCUAGCAGUUUGAAAGCACGUCUAAGUGCAAGUAGAUAAAUAGGCGGGAAGGUAAACGGCGUUUCUGUGCGCUGCUCUGGUUUGCCAGAAGCGGCAUAGUCAUGCUGACCACGUGACCCGGAAGCUGUACGCCGGCUCCCUCGGCCAAUAAAGCGAGAUGAGCGCCGCAACCCCAGAGUCGGUCACGACUGGACCUAAUGGUCAGGGGUCCCUUUACCUUUAAUGCAAACCAUAUCUUAUAGCAGCCCCUCCUGCCCUGUCCAUUCUCUUACCUGUCCAUUUGUGACAGGUGCUGCUGCUACCUCCAGGCCUGGCUGUGUAAUGUUGACCAUCCUGGGGAAUAGAGCACAGUCUAAAGGUGGUUGGAAAUUGCAUCCUCUGGUUUCCUAGCAACCAUAAGAUGCCUGUUCUGUGAAUCCUGCAGGAUGGCUUUGGAGCAAAAGCAGACUGGGCCGUUCCUGCUUAUUUCAGGGAUGGAGAGUUCCAUAAGGGGGACAGGAAUAUGUGGGCAACUGCUGAGCUCUGCAAGGGAGCCCACUGCCACACUCAUCAUGGUCCUUCUUGUUGGUGUUGCUUCCCAUUAAUAAUAAUAAUAAUAAUAAUAAUAAUAAUAAUAAUUUAUUAUUUAUACCCUGCCCAUCUGGCUGGGUUUCCCCAGCCACUCUGGGUGGCUUCCAACAGAACACUAAAAUACAAUAACCUAUUAAACAUUAAAAGCUUCCCUAAACAGGGCAGCCUUCAGAUGUCUUCUAAAAGUCCGGUAGUUGUUUUUCUCUUUGACAUCUGGUGGGAGGGCGUUCCACAGGGCGGGUGCCACUACCGAGAAGGCCCUCUGCCUGGUUCCCUAUAACUUGGCUUCUCGCAGCGAGGGAACCGCCAGUAGGCCCUUGGCACUGGACCUCAGUGGUCCGGGCAGAACGAUGGAGGUGGAGACGCUCCUUCAGGCUGCCCCCGCCCGCCAUGCACGAUCUCCCCCUGGGCAUUUUUUGCUGUUAAUCAUUACAUUUAUAUUCCAUCUUUUCUCCCAAGGAGCUCAACCUUCUCAGCCUCUCCAUUUUCUCCUCACAACAAGCCUGUGAGGUAGGCUAAGAGACAGUGAGUGGCUCCAGUGAUCAUUUUGACUGAGUGAGGUUUGAGCCCCGAUGUCUCGCAGGAACUAGUCUGGCACCUUUAACCACUACACCUCACUGCCGGUUUGAGCACAGGGGGAGAAGGCAAGCAAGUUGGCAGCAGAGCUUUGGAGAGCUGUAAGAGGGGACUGUCUAAGGGUCUUUGCUUGUACCCCUCUUCCCUCCUCCCCAAAACCCCCAUGCAGAGUAUACCUAGUGAGAACCAGUUUGGGCUGUGUACUGAGGCCAGUCAGGAUUUGGUGAUCUCUACACUGUGGGUUAAACCACAGAGCCUAGGACUUGCUGAUCAGAAGGUCGGUGGUUCAAAUUCCUGCAAUGGGGUGAGCUCCCAUUGCUUGGUCCCUGCUCCUGCCAACCUAGCAGUCCGAAAGCACAUCAAAGUGCAAGUAGAUAAAUGGGUACCACUUUGGCGGGAAGGUAAACGGUGUUUCCGUGCGCUGCUCUGGUUCACCAGAAGCGGCUUAGUCAUGCUGGCCACAUGACCCAGAAGCUGUACGCCAGCUUCCUCGGCCAAUAAAGCGAGAUGAGCGCCACAGCCCCAGAGUCGGCCACGACUGGAGCUAAUGGUCAGGGCUCCCUUUACCUUUACCUUUACUGAUUUAUGGGUUGUCUUUUUAUUGCUUCAUUUCUUAAUGUUGUAUGUGGUGGGUUUUGGUUAAAAACUCUACCAGAGCAGUUUGCAGGGCAAAUACGUAUAGCCCCUCCUUUUUUUUAGGAAAAAACCAUACCAAAACAAGGAAAAUGUAAGACAGCCAGCAUCGACAUUUUUUAAAAAAAGAAAGGAUAGAUGAAAGGAAAUAAUAUAAUUCAGUGUUGAAAGGCUAACAGAAGAAACAAGGCAGUUUUCACUCUCCAGAAGUGGUUCACUUCCUAGCAGAGAGAAUUCUAGAGUCCAGGUGCCAUCACUGAGAAGGCCCUGUCUCUGACUACAUAACGGUCAAAUGUUGAUGACGCUCGGCAGAUUAAACAGCCUUCCGGCGAAGUCACAACAAUGGAUUGAAAUAAAAGCAAUGACCUAUUUUGACCCAGUUUAAAGUCCAGCAUGCCUGGAGACCAUUCCUUCUCUUCCUGUGUGAGUGGUUAUUUACAAGCCUAGUACAGAUUACAGACUGUUUGCUAUGUAGUCAUAGACAAAAUGAAACUGUAUAAGUAAAAUCACAACAUGGAAGAUACAUUAAAUUCGGUUGUGAUACAUAAACGAUACAAAAUUACCAGGGGUAUCUGAAAUAAGGUGCACAACAUGAAACCUUAAAAAGUGGCUGUGAAGAGUGAGUUGAAAAACAGAAAUGAUAUAAACAGAUUAAAAUUGUGAUGUAUGAGAACGGCGGCCAGACAGGAUAAGUUUAACCUGGGGGAUAUUUCCUUGCGUAGUUUUGCAGCCAGAAAGAGAAAUCUGGCCACAGCCUCUGUUAAUAAUUUGUUUGCAUUGGGCGAAAGGUAGACUAUGCAAACCGGGCAGAAUAAUAGAACCAUCGAAUUGUAGAAUUGGAAAUGACCCCAAAGAUCAUCUAGUUCAACCCCCUGCAAUGUAGGAAUCUUGCCCACACCGAUCUUUGGUUGGGCUCAAACCACCAACUUUAUUUAAAGGCCAGAGCCGCUGCAUUAAAAAUGGUCGCAUCUAUCCUUCAGCCCAAAUACAAAGUGCUCUCUUUCUGAAACCAUUCCGUUGGGUUUUCCCCUCAAAUGCUUGUUAUGCCUAUGACGGCGAUCCUAUGGCAAGAUGGCCAUCUGUCAGGGAUGCUUUAGCUGAGAUAAGUUGGUCUACAGAACCACAUAUUUUGAUAUGGUAUGUUGAAUCGUAUUUAAAAAAGAAUUUAUAAAAGAAUUUAUAUACAGUGGACGCUCGGGUUGCGAACGUGAUCCGUGCGGGAUGCAUGUUUGCAACCCGCAGCAUUCGCAACCUGCGUCUGUGCAUGCGUGGGUUGCGAUUUGGCGCUUCUGUGCAUGCGCAAAGUGCAAUUUAGCGCUUCUUUACAUGCGCAACCACCGAAACCCGGAAGCAACCCAAAAAAACGCAGCCUGAAGCAUCUGUAACCCGGGGUAUGACUGUAGUUACAUACAGCCUGUCACGUGUGUGUUGUUUAGCUGAGAUGGCUGCAUUUCAGGGGGUUGGACUAGAUGACCCUUGGGUCCCUUCUAGUUCUUAUGAUUCUGUGAAUGCAUGCGUGGCAAGUGAGAUUCUGCCCACGCUCUCCAUGCAUUGGGGUUGCGAGUGUGAGAAUGGGGCUUUAGAUGUGUCAGACCAGGCAUGUCCAAAUUCUGUUUUGGGAGCCUAAUCCGGCCCACCGGUCGAUUCAAUUUGGUCCCCGUGGCGGUAUAUGUCCUGGGGCAAAAUCCUAAAAAAAAGCUCAGCAACUUCAAUCCUAAAAAAUAGCUCAACAACUCUGGGGUUAAAUCCUAAAAAAAAAAAAAAAUGCUCAACAAGUUUUGGGUAAACUUCAACCCUAAAAAAAAAUCAACAACUUUGGUCAGCCCUCACGCAUAUUUACUUCAUCAAAUCAGGCCCUCUUUGAAGAAGAAGAAUUUAUUAUUUAUACCCUGCCCAUCUGGCUGGGCUUCCCCAGCCACUCUGGGCAGCUUUCCACAAAAUAUUAAAAUACAGUAAUGCAUCAAACAUCAUUAAAAGCUUCCCUAAACAGGGCUGCCUUCAGAUGUCUUCUAAAUGUCUGGUAGUUGUUGUUCUCUUUGACAUUUGGUGGGAGGGCGUUCCACAGGGCGGGCGCCACUACCAAGAAGGCCCUCUGCCUGGUUCCCUGUAACCUGGCUUCUCGCAAUGAUGGAACCGCCAGAAGGCCCUUGGAGCUGGACCUCAGGCAGAACGAUGGGGAUGGGGACGCUCCUUCAGGUAUACUGGACCGAGGCUGUUUAGGGCUUUAAAGGUCAGCACCAACAUUUUGAAUUGUUCUCGGAAACCUACUGGGAACCAAUGUAGGUCUUUCAAGACCGGUGUUAUGUGGUCUCGGCGGCUGCUCCCAGUCACCAGUCUAGCUGCCACAAUCUGGAUUAGUUGUCGUUUCCGGGCCACCUUCAGAAUUUGGGCACCCCUGUAGUUAGACCCUUUCGUGCAGGAGAGGGACUGUAAGCAGCACAAUUUUUUUUUUGGGGGGGGGCUGUUGUUUCCAGCUACCCAACCCGUCCUUCCUUUGGAAGCCUUAUAAGAAAGUGCUGGAGGAAAGGGACUGUGAGCAAUAGCUUGGGAGAGGUGUUAAAGCUGAAAGGAUUAGCCUGCCUUGUUAUUUUUCCUGUUGCCAGGAGGUAUGAUGUAAUCAUGUUACAUUUAUAGAGCUGAAAUGUUGCCUUUUGCAGUUUGCUAUUGUGUUGUUGUUGUCUUAGGAUGUUAUGCGGAAGUCGCUCUGGCAUUGUUUUGAUUGUGAAAUGCAUUCAAUGUUAGAAACUCAGGCAAAUAAACAAAUCGCCAAAUGGCAUCGCAACAAAAUAUCUAGGCAUCAUUCCCCCCAUGAGAUUUAUUAUUGUUAUGAUUUUUUCCAUAUCACUUCUAUACUGCUUUAUACUUUAAAGAAAACAUCUCAGUGUGGUUUGUUGUCGUUGUUUAGUCGUUUAGUCGUGUCCGACUCUUUGUGACCCCAUGGACCAGAGCACGCCAGGCACUACUGUCUUCCACUGCCUCACGCAGUUUGGUCAAACUCAUGCUGGUAGCUUCAAGAACACUAUCCAACCAUCUCGUCCUCUGUCAUCCCCUUCUCCUUGUGCCCUCCAUCUUUCCCAACAUCAGGGUCUUUUCCAGGGAGUCUUCUCUUCUCAUGAGGUGGCCAAAGUAUUGGAGUCUCAGCUUCAGGAUCUGUCCUUCCAGUGAGCACUCAGGGCUGAUUUCCUUCAGAAUGGAGAGGUUUGAUCUUCUUGCAGUCCAUGGGACUCUCAAGGGACUCUCGGUGUGGUUUACAACAUGCUAAAACAUCACAUCAAACGAUCACGAAUGAAACAAAUUCAGGCUUCCAGGAAAAUAUUUCAGAUCCUUUUCUAAGUGGAAUUCUGCUUUCUCCCCAUAUUUGUUUACCUACUUAAUUUAUAGAGUUGCCCCAUAGCAGAAAUACUCUAAGAAGCCAGGGGGGUGUACAGGGUUACAGAUGCUUCAGGUUACAGACGCUUCAGGUUACAGACUCUGCUAACCCAGAAAUAGUGCCUCGGGUUAAGAACUUUGCUUCAGGAUGAGAACAGAAAUCGCACGGCAGCAGCGGGAGGCCCCGUUAGCUAAAGUGGUACCUCAGGUUAAGAACAGUUUCAGGUUAAGAACAGGCAUCUGGAACAAAUUAAGUUCUUAACCCGAAGUACCACUGUAGUGAUUAGAGUGUCGGACAUAAAUCUGGGAGAUCAGGGUUCAAAUCCCCACUCGGUCAUGAAGCUCAUUGGGUGACCUUGGAGUCAAUCACAAGUUUCUUAACGUACCUCACAGGGUUGUUGUAGGGCUUAACUGAGGAGAUGGGUGAAUCAUGUACAGUGGUACCCUCGGGUUACAUACACUUCAGGUUACAGACUCCGCUAACCCAGAAAUAUUACCUCAGGUUAAGAACUUUGCUUCAGGAUGAGAACAGAAAUCGCGUGGCAGCAGCAGCAGGCCCAUUAGCUAAAGAGGUACCUCAGGUUAAGAACAGUUUCAGGUUAAGAACAGACCUCCUGAACGAAUUAAGUUCUUAACACGAGGUACCACUGUACUCCUUCAGGAAAAGGUGGAUUCAGUAAAUAGGCUUAUCUGCUUAAGAACGCUGGAGGGCCCAGCCAGAUGGAGAUGUCAGUCAUCAUCCUAGCAUUCCAGAGAUCUAUGUGGUUGCAGUUGGACUUGCCUCAGUCACAACAUGCGCCUGGCCCCUGGGGAAUUUCUAACACUGGUCUUCUUUGUAAAUGUGCCCAGAGGUUGUCAGUCCUUGACUGGCGCAAGACGCCAAAGGCAGGCCAGCUCUUCUCUUUUGCCUCGCCCAGUUGCCCCGCUGCGUCUCUCUGUUCCAUGCUGUGCUUUAUUUACAGCGGCAACACAGGGCUGGCUUGUGGAAGAGCCAUGAGUUUCAGAUCCGCAGCGGAGAUCCCGUCCGCUUGCCAGAAUAGUGGCUUGUCGAAAUUCAUCCGCAGAAGCUUCACAGACGCCCAGCUGUUUGAUAGAACGGACCACAAGGGUAGAUGGUUGGAUAUUAAAGGGAUUAUUUUAUUUUAUUUUCCCCCCAUUUUUCUGUUCAGAAUUCCCUCCCUCUUGCCUGGGCAGCGUGAGGAAGGUGAAUGAGGACACAGAAGACGGCAGCCAAGGCUUUGCUGGCCCAUUCCCCUGACGGAAAGAAGCAUGUGAAGCUCUGACUUGUGUUGAAAUCUGGCUUGGCAAGGAGAGGGAGAUGUUUGUGUAACAUGCUGCUGAGGAGUCAUAGCAGGACCUCAGUCACAGAGCCUCCUUCACCUUUGCCCAGAGUUGUCUCGCAUUUAAACACAACUCUCUCUCAAUCUCCUGGAAGAUUAAAUAAGGACCCACCCCCCAAGAAAUCUGCCAUGGUGGUUGCAGUCCUGCUCUUUUUAUUAUUAGAAACUGAGGGAAACAAUUAACAAUAUGCCUCUUGCUCAGUGUUAGAAACUCAGAUAUACAGUUGCACCUUGGAAGCUGAACGGAAUCUGUUCCGGGAGUCCGCUCGACUUCCAAAACGUUCGAAAACCAAACCGCGGCUUUUGAUUGGCUGUGGGAAGCUCCUGCAGCCAACCAGAAACUGCGGAAGCCCCGUCGGACGUUCGGGUUCCGAAAGAACGUUCGCAAACUGGAACAAUCGUUUGGGAUCUAAGGUAUGACUGUACAGUGGCACCUCAGGUUACAUACGCUUCAGGUUACAUAUGCUUCAGGUUACAGACUCCGCUAACCCUGAAAUAGUGCUUCAGGUUAAGAACUUUGCUUCAGGAUGAGAACAGAAAUCAGGCUCCGGCGGCGUGGCGGCAGCAGGAGGCCCCAUUAGCUAAAGUGGUGCUUCACAUUCAGAACAGUUUCAGGUUAAGAACAGACCUCCGGAACAAAUUAAGUACUUAACCUGAGGUACCACUGUAGUGAUGUUUCGCACCCUAAAUAUCUUCUCCUGGCUUGGUUUUGCCCUUCAACUCUGAUCAUUCCUUCUGCUUGCCUGGAUGGAAGACAGAGAGGCAUGUGUGAGUCUGCAUAGAAACAAAUCUACUGUACAAAGGUUAUUUGUAUAUGUUGCUUCACCUUCUUUAUCCUCUAAGGGACGCGGGUGGCGCUGUGGUCUAAACCACUGAGCCUUUUGGUCUUGCCAGUCAGAAGGUUGGCGGUUCGAAUCCCCGCAACGGCGUGAGCUCCCGUUGCUCUGUCCCAGCUUCUGCCAACCUAGCAGUUCGAAAGCACACCAGUUCAAAUAGAUAAAUAGGUACCACUGCGACGGGAAGAUAAACAGCAUUUCUGUGCACUCUGGCUUCUGCCACGAUGCUCUGUUGUGCCAGGAGCGGUUUAGUCCUGCUGGCCACAUGACCCAGAAAGCUGUCUGUGAAGGAGAAGGUUGCAUAAGUCUGCGCAGAAGCUAGCUUGCUGUACAGAGGUAAAUCAGCAUCCAUGUCUCUUAGGUCCUUGGACAAGGGGAAGCCAGAGACAUCUGCCUCUCCUGCCUACCGCCUGCUACUGCUAGCUUAAGAGCUAGAUCAACAUUUCCGAUGUUAAAGAAAUGAGCCACUCCAGCGAAGAGGAGUCCUUUGGGUCUCUAAUGAGGCCAUUCUCUUUUUGGGAGCUGUGAACCUCUCGUCCUCUGCAGAGAGCGAGAGUUGGGAGUACAGCAUGAGCCACGAAGGCGAUAUAGAUAAUUAGUGUGUUCUUUCUGGUGUGUAAUUGUAAGUAAUUAUGUCAUUAAUGUAAUUGCAGGCCAUAACUUUUUCCCCGGGCUUGAAGAACACUCUGCUUCAGGCCACUGAGGGUGGGGAGGAAAGGCUCGUUGACAUGUACCAAAGUGACGCCCCUCAAUUCUGUCAUUCUGGGCAGGGGAGGAAUUUCAAUCUCUUUACCUCUCAGUGCCACGCAUACCAGUAUUUGUUUGCUUUCCUUUUGGGGCAAUGUUUGUUUGUUUCCUUUGUGGUAUACAGUGGUACCUCGGGUUAAGAACUUAAUCCGUUCUGGAGGUCCGUUCUUAACCUGAAACUGUUCUUAACCUGAGGUACCACUUUAGCUAAUGGGGCCUCCCGCUGCCGCCCUGCAAUUUCUGUUCUCAUCCUGAAGCAAAGUUCUUAACCCUUAUGAGGUUAAUUAACCCUUAAUGCCUUAUGAGGAACGGCUAAGGGAGCUGGGCAUGUUUAGCCUGGAGAAGAGGAGGUUAAGGGGUGAUAUGAUAGCCAUGUUCAAAUAUAUAAAAGGAUGUCACAUAGAGGAGGGAGAAAGGUUGUUUUCUGCUGCUCCAGAGAAGCGGACACGGAGCAAUGGAUCCAAACUACAAGAAAGAAGAUUCCACCUAAACAUUAGGAAGACCUUCCUGACAGUAAGAGCUGUUCAACAGUGGAAUUUGCUGCCAAGGAGUGUGGUGGAGUCUCCUUCUUUGGAGGUCUUUAAGCAGAAGCUUGACAACCAUAUGUCGGGAGUGCUCUGAUGGUGUUUCCUGCUUGGCAGGGGGUUGGACUCGAUGGCCCUUGUGGUCUCUUCUAACUCUAUAAUUCUAUGAUUCUAACCCGAGGUACUAUUUCUGGGUUAGCGGAGUCCGUAACCUGAAGCGUCUGUAACCCGAGGUACCACUGUAUUUGUGUCUCCCCUUACUGUAAAGUGGUCCCAAGCUGGUUUAGAAUUAAGCUGAAACCUAACAACAUUGGCCUGGAAAAGACUUACUGUGUAAACGGUGUGAGAGAACAGCAAGAUGUGGGCUAUCUUAAACCUCUGCUGCCUUAAGGGAUCUCUUUGGGGGAAGAAAAGGCUGAGGAGUAAACCCUACACAGCAGAGUCGCUCGCAUGGGGCCUUGUAUGCAUCCUUCCAGCAACACCUGCAGCCAAGCCAUAGCUGUCAACUUUCAGAUAUGAAGAUAAGGGAUCAGCAGCCUCACCUGUCCCGGGGACAGUCUACGGGAUAUCUAACAAUCCGGGAUAGCACUGGGAAGCAGCGGGAAACGGCACAGGAAAAAGGGAAUUUCCCGCAAAAAAAGGGAACGUUGACAGCUAUGAGCCAAGCUGGUGCCAAACGUAUUGCUCUGCUUUCCUUUGGACCACAUCAGCGAGUCUUGUCAUUUGGGCAGGACAGGACCUUCAUAUGCAUUGCCCAGGCUUGCUCCUUGCAGAGGUCACUUUGGUGCUGUUUGAGGUGCACUCCGUUGUCUCUCAAGGUGUACAGGUGCCAAUGGAAUUGCUUCAGAAAGCGAGCACUUUGAAUUUGGGCCGAAGGGUGGAUUCAGCUAUUUCUAAUGCGGCGACCCCGGCUCUUAAAUAAUGAGUUCUACAGCCCUCCUUGCGAGCCUCGCUACCAGCCCAUCUCAAAUUGCUUUGCUCACUUUUCAGGAAGAGCUACUACCUAACAGCUGUGACUAAAUGAGCCCCAAAUUUUUGCCUGUUGGAGAGACCUGCAUGUCUCUUCUGUAUAGACACUGCGCUGUGGUUUCUGUGGCUGGCUGGGUGUUGCAAAUACCCACCCUCACCCCAGACCUAAGAAAAGUAGCAGAGAGUUAUUCUGCCAUGGAUGAAUAAUGGCCCAUCCAUUCAUGAUUACCCGAGACCCUUCUUUAGACCAGUUUGAGUUUGAUAAUGGUAUAAAGGCAGGGGUUGAGUAUAAUGAAAGCUGUUGAUAUUACAGCGACCUUGAGUAUCUCCUUGUUGUUAUAAUGGUGGCCACAGGGAUGGGGUUACAGCGGGGGGGAAACACAACAUCGGAAUCACAGACUUGUUGAGUUGGAAGGGACCAAGAGGACAACUCCUUUCUCCUUCUGUGUUGGAACUCCUAUUUGGGGACUUCCCUGGCUUUUUUCUGGCCCAUGUAGGACCUCUAGAUAGUUAGCCUUGGUGAAGACUUGACGUUUUCAUCCCCCAAAAAGUUUUUGAUUGAGUUUCCCUUGAAAUGAGGCUGCAUUUUAACGUUUUAAUGUUGUAUUUUAAUCUUGUUGUUUAAGCUGUAUUUCAAUCAAUUGUUUUUUUAUGUGUUGUUAGCCGCCCUGAGCCCGAUCUUGGCUGGGGAGGGUGGGGUAUAAAUAAAAUUUAUUUUAUUAUUAUUAUUAUUAUUAUUAUCUUUCACCCAAAGUGGGGCUCGAACCCACAAUACUGAGAUUAAGAAUUUCAUUCUCUGCUGCCUGAGCUAUCAAUGGAGGGGUCCUCAUUAGAGGUGCCAGUGAGUUCAAGGAAAUUGGGGCAAAACGCGGGUAGCGCUGUGGGUUAAACCACAGAGCCUAGGACUUGCCAAUCAGAAGAUUGGCGGUUUGAAUCCCUGCAAUGGGAUGAGCUCCCGUUGCUCGGUCCCUGCUCCUGCCAACCUAGCAGUUUGAAAGCACGUCAAAGUGCAAGUAGAUAAAUAGGUACCGCUCUGGCGGGAAGGUAAACGGCGUUUCCGUGCGCUGCUCUGGUUUGCCAGAAGCGGCUUAGUCCUGCUGGCCACUUGACCCGGAAGCUGUACGCCGUUCGGCCACGACUGGACCUAAUGGUCAGGGGUCCCUUUACCUUUACCUUUACUACAUUUUCAGCCAUGUUGCUGCUCUCAUCUUGCAAGUGUGUUUAAUAGCAGCCUUGGUGCAUCUUUGGGGAGGUAGAGGAGCUUAGCGAUGGGAUGAUAGUCCAAAUCCUUCCCGUGUUUUGACUCCCUGCUUGAAAUGGAGACAGUCUCUGAAGUCACCUUGGGUCAGGCCCUUUAUAUAGACCUUGCAGAAGGCCUGCUAGCUUCUGCAGGGAUCUGCAGGCGACCGGGCUUAUUCGUUGUGCACAAACGUGGCUGCUUCCUUGUGGCACUGAAGAUUGUAGGAGGCUUUUUUAGGGUGCAAACCUGAAGAUGGAUUCUCCAGCGUUUGUUAUGUAGCCGGCAUUGGCUUCCCUAGAGCUUUGCAGGAUGGAGAGAGAGAGGGAGCGAGCGAGCGAGCUAAACGCUUGGCUCGUUUCAGCCAAACAGCAUUUUUUCCAGGAAACUGGUGCCCACUGAGGCUAUUUCCAUGUCGGGGAAGAGUGCUUAUUCCAAGUUGACGGCGCUGGCAGCUGCGUCCACCAAUGUUUGGCGCGAAAUGAGCUCUGCUCCUGCCUCCCUCAGACCAUGAAUCUUCCAGGUCAUCUAAGUUGAGCGCCGAAUAAAUUGCAUGCUUCGCUUUUUGCUUUUUUAAAUGGCUUUGGCCCUUCUGAAGGUUUUGCUUCUUUGCUGUUUAAAGGGUGAUGGGCAUGAGAAAACAACCACCACCCAGUUCUUCUUCCUAAAGAGAAAAGGAAAACUGUUCUUUCCCCUGCAAAUAGAACCAUUUCUCUCACAGUUGCUCGAAGCCUCUGUUCUUAAAACGAUGGACUGGAUGUAUCCUCACCACCUGGCAUUUCAGGUGCCAAGACCUUUUAUCGUCAUGUUUAAAUGCCAGUAAAUGGGAUUUCCGAGCCAGAGGUUCCAGGAGAAGGGACACACUGGCGCUGGUGCCUGUUCCUUUGAUUGCUACGGGGCUGGGAUGUUCUGAAAGAAAGGUCUGUUCUGUUACGCACAGCUUCUGUGAAUAAUGGGGAUGUCGCCUUAAAAUUAGGGGUUAUCUGGCAACUUUAGGCUGUGCACCAGCCGGUCCUUCAUUUGCCUGCCAAUUGCUUGAAAUGUUUUUUUGACUCCUGCUGCUGCUAGUACUUCUCAGGGGCAAUGUCCAAGUGGUGUUCAGCAUUUGAGUUAGGCUGAAUUCCUAGCUCAGGUGCUAAAAGGAAGGGCUUCAGCUCGGGGACACAGCAUUCGGAAGUCACUUUUUAUUUUUAGUGCCUCAAGUUUCUAGUCCAGGCAUAGGCAAACUCGACCCUCCAGAUGUUUGGGGACUACAACUCCCAUCAUCCCUGUCCACUGGUCCUGUUAGCUAGGGAUGAUGGGAGUUGUAGUCCCAAAACAUCUGGCGGGCCGAGUUUGCCUGUGCCUGUUCUAGACAAUAAGGUUGUGACUUGAGAGCGUGGGAGCAAUAAAUGCUGAAACCUAAAAAGCUAGAGAUUUGGCAAAAUUUCAUCAUCACCAUCAUUAGCCAGCUCAGACAACCUUGUGAUUGAGAGGCAAAAGAGAGAUGUUUGAAAUAAACUGAUUUGAACUCCCUCAGGAAGUGGUGGAUUCUCCUCCUUUGCAGGUUUUGAAGCAGAGGUUAGAUGACCAUCUGUCAUGGAUGCUUUAGCUGAGAUUCCCACAUUGCAGGGGGUUGGACUAGAUGACCCUCGUGGUCCCUUCCGAUUCUAAAAUUUGAUAAUUCCUAGGUUUAACCCCCAGCAGCCCAGGUAGGGCUGGGAAUGUCCCCUGCUUGAAAAGCUGGCCAGCUGCUGCCUGCCGAUCAGUGUCAACAUUAUUGUGCUAGAUGGUCUGACUCUGCAUAAAACAACUUCUUAUAUUAUUAAACAUGCUUGGAAUCAUAGAAUCAUUCCAGGGGCCAUCUAAUCCAACCCCCUUCCAGUGCAGGAAUAGUUUGCCCAGGGUAGGACUCGAACCCACGACCCUCCUGUUAUUAAUCUCAUGCUCUACCAAUUGGAAGAGGUUGCCAUAAUAGAUUAGGCAUGGCUUAACGCUCCUCCCAGGGACACGGGUGGUGCUGUGGGCUAAACUAGGACUUCAGAAGGUCGGCAGUUCGGAUCCCCCGAUGGGGUGACCUCAGUCCCUGCUCCUGCAAACUAGCAGUUCGAAAGCAAGUCAAAGUGCAAGUAGAUAAAUAGGUACCGCUCCAGCGGGAAGGUAAACAGCGUUUCCGUGCACUGCUCCAAUUCGCAUGACCCGGAAGCUGUACUCCGGCUCCCUCGGCCAAUAAAGCGAGGUGAGCACCGCAACCCCAGAGUCUGCCACGACGACCUAAUGGUCAGGGGUCCCUUUACCUUUUAAUGCUCCUCCCAGUAGUGCUGUAAAGUAAGUCAGUAGCCUUUCAACUGCGUGUUGCGUUGAAAGAGACUGGACAGAGUCUCUUUUUUUAAUGCAACAGGAAUCCAAGAGAGCUUUCUGGGUCCGUCUUCCAGGAAACCAGGGGUUGCGCUUCGUCCUUGCUCUUUUAGCUACUGCCCUUAUGGCAGUUCUUGAGCGUCUGAGGAAGGGUCUUGCUUUGAAUGCAGAAACCCCCAGGCUCAAUCCCCUGACAGGCCCAGGUUGCAGGGGGGGGGGGAGACCCCUGCGUGAAGCGCUGCCAGUCAGUGCAGACAGUACUAAACUAGAUGGAUCAAUAAUCCAAACUGGUAACUUGCAGUUCUCUGUGCUUGUAUUGUGACAGGGGCUGAGAGGGCUGCUAUUUCCUGCAAAAACUUCAGGACAAAACGAACGCUGUUAGCACUGUUGAUUUGAUUUUUUAAAGCCCUCUGCUGCUUUUAAACAUUAUAGACUACUGAAGUAAAAAGAGGACCCAGGGAAUUUUGUGGUUUUGCCACCCCCCCCCCCCGCUUUCGUGGUGAUUUUGUUCUUAAACUGGAAAGCCUACUGAGAGGGAGGUUAUUUUUCCUGUUCAAGGUAAUUACAUGCUAGGCUGCCAUUCUUUGGCUUCUGUUGCAGCUUUCCUCUCUCCCCCCCUCCCCAAUUGCUGGGCUGGCGGAGGGGGGGCGGCGGCUUGUCUUCUAUCUCCCUUGCCUGGCAGCGAGUGUGUGCGGAAAAGACGAGGCAGCCAAAUGUUGGGUUUCGAAGCACAGAAGAGGGCCUUGUGAUUUAGCUGAAUAAUUAUUGCAGAGUGUGCAGAUCCAGCUGCGGUUAGUUUGGGUUGCCGCGCCGUCCCCUUUGGCCUAGCAACAAGAAGUGCUCAAUUCCAGGGCCAGAAGUUGGCAGAUUUAUCCUGCACCCCUUCCGCUGCCUGGCUCCCUCUUGGGGGGGGGGGAGGGGAGAAAAACACCAAUAUCUAUAUUUGGCUUUGGUUUUGGAAGAGUGGCUUUUGAUUCUAAGGGUUCUUUUGGGUUUUGCAGUAAUCUCUGCAUGGCAGCCGACGAGAUGGUAAGCAGCGACUCAAAGCACCAACCAGUAUUUAUAUAUAUACAAAGCCUGGCCAAUCCAAAAACACUGAUAAUAAUAAUAAUAAUAAAAAUAAUAUUCUACCCAUCUCACCGGGUUGCCCCAGCCAUUCUGGACGGCUUCCAGCAAACAAAAGCAUCAAACACAGUAAACUUGAAGCAUUCAAAAACUUCCCUAUAUAGGGCUACCUUCAUAUGUAUUAUUCUUUUAAAUUUCAAAUUUCUAUGUCGCCCUUCAUCCGAAGAUCCCAGCGUGGUUCACGACAUAAAAAUACAAACUGAGAACACAAAAUAACUAAUGAAGCAAGAACAAAAACAAACCAAUAAACUGUAUCCCAUAAACACAUUAAAAAAAUAUAUUAUUGGAAUUUUAUUUACAACAUAAUAUAACCCCCACCCCCCCAAUACACAAAUCCAUCUUCAUUAAAUGUGAACAUACAGUGAGCAUAACGUACAACGACACAAACAACCACAUAAAAGACUUCCUUUAUACUGUAUCUGGCCUCCUUAUUUACUUCUUAUAAACUGUUUCCUUUAUGAAUAAUUAUUAAGAUUUUUCUGAUUAUAACUUAAAUAUCCACAAAGGCCAUAAACACAUUGAAAAAGCCAUAUAAUGUUCAAUCAGCACAAGGCCUGGCUAUAGAGAAGCGUUUUCACCUGGCGCCUAAAGGUAUGCAAUGAAGGAGCCAGGCGAGGCUCCCUGAGGAGAGCAUUCCACAAUCGGGGAGCCACCGCAGAAAAGGCCCUGUCUAAUGUUGCCACCCUCCAGAUCUCUCGAGCAGGAGACACAUGAAGAAGGGCCUCAGAGGAUGAUCUCAGGGUCUGGGUAGGUUCAUAUGGAAAGAGGCGGUUCUUGUGGUAUUGCGGUCCUGAGCCGUUUAAGGCUUUAUAAAUCAAAACCAGCACUUUGAACUGGGCCCGGAAACUAAUUGGCAGCCAGUGCAGUUGUGCCAGGAUUGGUGCUAUACGCUCAAACCGUCUUCCCCUAGCGAGCCAGCUGGCUGCUGAAUUCUGCACCAGCUGAACUUUCCGAACUGUCUCCAGAGGCAGCCCCACGUAUGAUGCAUUGCAGUAAUCUAACCCAGAUCUUACAUUUCCGAUUACAGGCCACAUCCACACGGUAUAUUUAAAGCCCUGUUGUACUGCUUUUAACAGUCAUGGCCUCCCCCCUAAAGAAUCCUGAGCAAUGCAGUUUCAGUAAACUGAGAGUUGCUAGGAAGCCCCAAUUCCCGUUGCAGAUCUACAAUUCCCAGAGUUCCCUGGGAAGAGGGAUCAAUUGUUAAACCACUCCAGGAAUUAUAGUGGGGGAAGGCGCGGCUGUUAAAAGCACUUUUAAAUGGGUGGUCUGCAGAUGUGCCCACAGUAGCUAUUUGUUCUUCCUUCACUCAAUCUCUGGAGCCUCAGACAAUGUCUUAAGAAUAGGCUGUGAAGCUUCUGCUUCCGCCGUACCGGCCUCGGAUCAUAGAAUCACAGAAUUGUGGAGUUGGAAAGGGAUCCCAAGCAGUCAUCUAGGCCAACCCCCUGAAAUGCAGGGAUCUCAAUUUUUUCUUUUUUUUUCUUGGCAGUGAUUUGGCUCCUGCUGCCUUGGUCCAGCCUCGCUUGUUUUUAUUUUUUGCUCUUUCUGUAGUUCUAAUAAUUGACAAAUUCUCAUAUUGCAUGUUCUUAGGAGCUGCGGAAAAUCUGUGUAAAUGCAGUUCUAAAUGCACCAACCCCUAAUUACUAUCAGCAGGUGGAUUGCCUUGGCUGCCCAUUCAUUAUUUUUACAGUAAACAGCCGCCUUGCCGGACUUGGGAGGCUAGGCCGGCUCUCAUGCAGCUUAUUGAACUGGAAAUCUUGUCCUGUCUUUCCUAUAGAGCCGGAAAACAAAGGACACAUGUCUUUGGGGAGGAUAUUUCUGGUCCUCCUGAUAAUGAACCCUUCUCCCCUCUUAAAAGCAGUUUUGCGUGCUCGGUUUUUUAUUCUUUGCUCACUUAGAGAAGUCUUCCAUGGUAGCGGAGGUUCCAGUAAACCGGCGUGCAUUCCUGCCUUGUCUCUUAAAAAAUAAAUGAAUUAGGCGGUGCAGCUUAAAAUAGCACCGUGAUGUCGAAGAGAACUUCCCAAAGGGAGGGACAAAACACGGAAGCCCUGCAAACAAUGAUCUCAGUGACGAAAAGCUUUUGUCCCAGCCCUCUCCAGAUCCCGACAACGCUUUGGCACAUGCUGUGGUUUUGCUCUUCUGAGUAAUAUUGAGAACAUAAGAAGUGCUUGCUGGAGGAGACUCUUGAGAGUCCCAUGGACUGCAAGAAGAUCAGACCUCUCCAUUCUUAAGGAAAUCAGCCCUGAGUGUAAACUGGAAGGACAGAUCCUGAAGCUGAGGCUCCAAUACUUUGACCACCUCAUGAGAAGAGAAGACUCCCUGGAAAAGACCCUGAUGUUGGGAAGGGGACGACAGAGGACGAGAUGGUUGGACAGUGCUCUCGAAGCUACCAGCAUGAGUUUGACCAAACUGUGUGAGGCUGUGGAAGACAGUAGUGCCUGGCGUGCUCUGGCCCAGGGGGUCACGAAGAGUCGGACACGGCUAAAUGACUAAACAACAAGAAGUGCUUGCAGGAUCAGGCCAGGGGCCUAUCUAGGCCAGCAUCCUAAUAUCCCAUUGGCAGACCAGGGUGGAGAACAUGAAACAGCAACACUCUUCCGUUCCGUGGUUUCUAGCAAUUGGAUUUGGGGAUCAUUUCAUUUCAGAUUUCUGUGAUAACGGCAAGUUGCUUGAAGCAUAGCUGGCCAGAGCCUUUAGGCUUGUCAGUAUCCUGGUGGUAUGCUGCCAUGGGAACUAAACAGUUAAGCCGGUUGCUUCUUGUUAAGGGAUCUUUGGGGGAAUGUUGCGAGUAGGAGUGAGGAGCUGAUUUGGCAAAUAUAUAUAUUAUUUUCCGCCCCUUCUCCACUCCAUGGCCAGAGGGUGUGUUUGUGUGUGGUGUCUGUGCAAAAGAAAUAAGGCAAAACCGCUGUUUGAAGAAAAGUAAGGAGGACCAUAAGGGACGCGGGAGGCGCUGUGGGUUAAACCACAGAGCCUAGGACUUGCCGAUCAGAAGGUCGGCGGUUCGAAUCCCCGCAGCGGGGUGAGCUCCCGUUGCUUGGUCCCUGCUCCUGCCAACCUAGCAGUUCAAAAGCACGUCAAAGUGCAAGUAGAUAAAUAGGUACCACUCUGGCAGGAAGGUAAACGGCGUUUCCGUGCGCUGCUCUGGUCUGCCAGAAGCGGCUUAGUCAUGCUGGCCACAUGACCUGGAAGCUGUACGCCGGCUCCCUCGGCCAAUAAAGCGAGAUGAGCGCCGCAACCCCAGAGUCGGCCACGACUGGACCUAAUGGUCAGGGGUCCCUUUACCUUUACCUUUUUUAAAGUGAGAUUCUGGCAAUCCAGGUGCCCCCCUCAUCUUUGUGCAGCUCGUUCUUCCUGCCUAAGUGCGGAACCUGACAUUUGUCCCUGUUGAAAUUCGUUCUGUAAGUUUGGGGCCUGGUUCUGCAAUUUGUUAAGGCCAUCUUGAACCCAGUUCCGUCUUCUGCGUGGAACCCGUGGUCUUCAUGUUGCUGACAUGCAUCUCCCAUCAGCCCCAGCAAGCAGAGCUGGUGAUUAGAGAUGAUAGGAGUUGGAGUAAUACUACUACUACUACUACUACUACUACUACUAAUUUAUUAUUUAUACCCCACCCAUCUGGCUGGGUUUCCCCAGCCACUCUGGGUGGCUCCCAACAGAAUAUUAAUACUGUCAUACCUCGGGUUGAAUGUGCUUCAGGUUGAGCGCUUUCGGGUUGCGCUCCACGGCAACCCGGAAGUAACACAACCUGGAAGUAAUGGAGCGUGUUACUUCCGGGUUUUGCUGCUUGUGCAUGCGCAGACGCUCAAAAUGACAUCACACGCAUGCACGGAAGUGGCAAAACGUGACCCACGCAUGCGCAGACGCACCGUCGCAUCUUACAUUCUAUUCAGGAUGUGAACGGGGCUCCAGAACGGAUCCCAUUCACAUCCUGAGGUACCACUGUAAUAAUAAUAAAAAAGCGAUAAAACAUCAAACAUUAUAAACUUCCCUGAAAAGGGCUGCCUUCAGGUGUCUUCUAAAAGUCAGAUAGUUGUUGAUUUCCUUGACAUCUGGUGGUAGUGCUUUCAAGAGGGCGGGCGCCACCACCGAGAAGGCCCUCUGCCUGGUUCCCUGUAGCUUCACUUCUCGCAGUGAGGGAACCACCAGAAGGCCCUCGGCUCUGGACCUCUCUGGCACAGAGAGAGCUCUUGGCCCAGUUGUGCCCCUGGUCGCCUGGAGGUGAUUUUUGUUCCCCUGCAGGCGACCAGGCAGGUACCUGCUUCCCAGCCUGUGUACGGAGCAGAUGAUUGUAGGUACAGUGGACAUUGCAAGAUAAUGAAGACAGCCAGCUUGCCUGUCAGCCUCUGCUAUUGCCUGCUGGAGGGAAAAAGAUCCCAUUCAGCUUGGCCAGGAAGUAUUUCUCGUGUUUCUGAUAAAUCAGCACCCAUGCCUGGGUUGUAAUCGCUUUCCCUCAGCGCCUGAUUUUGCAUGAAAUAAUUGCUAGCCUCCCCUACGCUAUUAAUAGUCUUCUAUUCCUGUGAGCAUGAUCUCACUCACUGGAGAUGUUGGCGUUUCUGCCUUUUAAAAGAGUGGGGGGGGGGAGCAUGUGUUUGCCUUUUUUGCUGCUGCCCCAAAGGUCAGUCACAUGGAUCCCACGGGGUUUUCCUACUAUUUUUGUGGACUGAGGAUGGGCAGCCUCAUGACGGUUUGUUUGUGGAUGGCUGACCAGAGAGAGAGGGAGAGAAUGAGAAAGCUGUGUUUGUAUAAGUUAAUUCCUGGCAGGCUCCAGUCUUCAUUGGAGGGCAACUCUGUGAAACGGCCUUCCGUUUCUGGAGGAAACUUGAAAAGAUUAUACAGGCUGCAUCCUGAUGGAUCCGGGCCAUGGCUGCUGGGGCGGAGAGGAACCCUAAUCCAAUUCUCCAAAGUGAAUCACAGCAAGGGAAAGGCGUGCUUUGUGUAUGGAAGAGAAAUCUCUGAGUCAUAAUCCUGAAAUGCACAGUUGUUCUUUGCACUCUCUGUUCCCUGCUUACUCAUGCAAGAUGAGCACCAUGCGCUUUCCUUGGCUGAAAAAAAAUGUGACUUUCUUACCCCCCCCCCGCUCUUCCCCCCCUCUCUCCACCCCCCUCCCCCACCAGUGACUUUACAGUGGUACCUUGGAUUAAGUACUUAAUUCGUACUGGAGGUCCGUUCUUAACCUGAAACUGUUCUUAACCUGAGGUACCACUUUAGCUAAUGGGGCCUCCCACUGCCACCGCACCACCGCCACACGAUUUCUGUUCUCAUCCUGAAGCAAAGUUCUUAACCCGAGGUACUAUUUCUGGGUUAGUGGAGUCUGUAGCCUGAAGCAUCUGUAACCUGAAGCGUAUGUAACCCGAGGUACCACUGUGUUUGUAUUUGGUCAUCUUUCCCCACUGACCCACAUUUUUAAUCUUCAUUCUCAAGGAGCUCAGUGAAAUUUGGAGGCGUUGGGGUAUAGGGUUGAUCGGUGUGCUGCGAUGAACUCGCGAUCAGGAUUUGAACUCUGAGCAGCAGAAGGAAUGAGAGACGGUUGUUAUGGCAUUAGAGAGAGAAGAUGGGGUGCAGCAAAGGGGGAGAAAUAAAAAACUCCAUGGAAAACAGGGUGGGAAGUUGGCAAAAAGAAAAAAAAUAUUACGUAUUGGAGUGCAUGUUGAACCUUUGAAAAUCUGAUAAAAUAUAACUGGGUGUGCUGUGCUAAUUAGCGGUUUGGGGACUAGGCUGGAUUAAGCCUUUUUAAAUGCACGUCUUGGAGCCUCACGGAGUCAUUCCUCUAUGCUAGUGGUGUCCUAACUUUUUUUCAAUGAGGUCCAGAUUUGAUGAAGUGAAGGGCCGUGAGGGCCGACUAAAGAGCCAGCCAAAAUUGUUGAACUUUUUUUUUAAGGAUUGAAGUUGUUGAGCUUUUUUUAGGGUUGAUUUUUAUUUUACCCCAGGAAAUAAACUGCCACAGGGGCCAGAUUAAACUAAUCCAGCCCUCAAAAUGGACAAGCUUUCUGUGUGACAGGCAGACAGGCAAUAUCUCUCAUAACAACAUUUUUAGGGGUUGGGGGUUGGGAAAUGGCCUCUCCUUAAGUUCGGACAGCCCUGAUGCAAGUGUUCUGGAGAAAGCUGUUGACACAUCUGGCAGUUUGCCUGCGAGAAACAGCAAAAUGCAUGGGGGACUGAAAGCGUCUCUGCAGGAAGAGCAGAAGGAUUUUGGAACGAAGGCAGUUCGGAACAAGGCGGCCUGUUCUUUCUCCUUGCUACCUCGGGGAUCUAGUCUUGUUUAAAAGGAACCCUCUGAGCGCAGGGCUGAUUUUUCCUCAGCUGAGGAGGCGAGUUCUCUCUGGCACGGAGUACGGGUGGCCUUGCUCAUGCAUGCCUUCUCGCGGGUGACAAGGACCCAGGUUUUCAAGGCAGAAGAUCAUAGCUGUCAACUUUCAGAUUUGGAAAUAAGGGAUCAGCAGCCUCAAAAAUAAGGGAUCAGCAGCCUCACCUGUCCCAGGGACAGUCAAUGGGAUAUCUAACAAUCCGGGAUAGCAGCAGGAAGCAGUGGGAAACGGCGCUGGAAUAAGGGAAUUUCCCACAAAAAAAGGGAAGGUUGACAGCUAUGCGGAAGAUCUCUUUCUUUAAAAAAGAAGGAAAGCAUAAUUUGCUAUGUGUGGUUCUCCCCCACCCCCAAAAUCAUACCGAUUUGGAGUGCAAGUGCGCAGCCUCGUGCACAGAUGAAACGUUAAAUUAUGGUUUGCCUCCACUUGGGAGAGGUAGGUAGGAAAUUACUUUGCAGGGUAAUGGGCAGGGCUUGGUGUGUUGACAUCUGAACCAUCCCUGAGUCUUACAAUGUCCUGAGAAAGCAGAGAUGAAGCAGUCUGAUGGUUUGAUGAAAGUGUGGGGCAUCUGCAGCUGUGAGGUCUGCCUUAUCUCCAGCAUCCUGCCUUGUUUGCUUUCCUGUUCCCUCCUCCUCUUCUUUUCUCUUCUGCAAUAACCCAGCCCUGAUUCCCUGCUUGCUUGCUUGCCUUCCAUUUUGGCGUUCGUUCCCAUUAGGUGCACAUGUGUGUUUUAAUGAGCUGAACAGAGCAAAAUAUUAGGAGUCAUGGGGGGUGCGGAUGAACUCAGCAGUGCUUAGUUCAUCUUUCAGUUGCUGUUUCGUUAAAUGCUGUCAAUAUUGCUUUAUAGAGUAUGAAUGCUGCAUUGAUCUGUUCAUAGUAGAAUAUGACAUUUGCUUUAACGGUGAUUUUUAGCUUAUUUAGUUGCUGCUUUGCUAGCAGUGCUUUAUAGAUUGCAACUGUUUUGCCGAUGAAUUGUUAAUACUUCGGUGUGACUAAUGCUGCAUUUGUGGUGUUCUAUUAUGUUCUGUCGUGUUAUUGUUAUUUAUUGUUUGUAAGCUGCUUUGGGGUUCAUUUGAAUGAAAAGUGGCAGAGAAAUAUAAUAAAACAACCAAUCUUAGUUUUCCUCCUGGCUAAUAGUGUCUCUAGAUUAUCGAGAUUUUCCUCUUUGUCUUGGCCUCCCGCAGGGUGGAUUCGAUUAAAAUCAAAUUGAUUUAAAUCAUGAUUUAAAUCACGAUUUAAAUCACUAGUCAGUAAGACUUGAUUUAAAUCUCUAGUCAGUAAGACUUUAUUUAAAUCAUUUUUUUUUACAGAAAGACUCAUUCUUGCUGGUGUAAUCUUAAUAUGAAGAUUAAGAAACCAUAUGAAACCAUAUGAAGGUUUCAUUUUUGGAAUAAUAAAUUUUUACAGUUGUAUCAGAAAUUAGUGAUUUGGUUAUACUAUUAGAAAUACAUAGACAGAUAGUUAUGAAAUUAUUGUUUGGUUUAACAAGUAAACUGUUUGUAUUUGGACAACUUUUCUGCUGUACUUUAUUGGAAGGAAAAAAAUAAUUGUUUCCUUAAUAACAAUUUAAACAAUUUAUUUAACUGAAGCAAUAACGUGAUAGCAUAUGUAUCCAAUUUUGGUUAACUGAUGUGGCUAAAAGUUGUUUGUUUUUGUUUUAAAAACUUAUGCUGAGUUUUAGCACACGUGAAAAACUUAAAACAAAUCCUUAUUUCCUGUUGAAUAGCCUUUUAACUAUAAUGUAACUUAAAGAGAAAACUAUCUUUAGAAAGAUUCCCCCCCAAAAGCAUUUUAUUUUAAGAAUCUGAUUUUUAAAAAAAUAUGAUUUAAAUAAAAAAUAUGAUAUUUUUUUUAAAAAAAACCCAUUGAUUUUUAUCCACCCUGGCCUCCUGACCUUUUAGAUAUGAAAGCAUUUGAACCCCUUCAGUGGAUGUCCAUUCCACCCCAACCCCAUUUCUAGAGGCAUCCUGGACAUAUGAGCCAGCUUCCUAGCGACCCAAGACAAUUUUUAGUUGUCUUCAGUUGGCAGUUUUAAGCUGGAGCAAGGGCCGUAGCACAGGGCUGCAGGCUCCCAUGUUCAGUCCUGGCAUCUCCAGGUAGCUUUGCCUGAGAGAGCUUCUGCCAGUCAAAGUUGACAGUACCGAGAUCAAUGGUUUGGCUCAGUACAAAACAGCUGCCUAAGUUCCUAGGCCUUGUUACCACAGGACCAAUUGCACCUGGGAGGUUUGUUCAAGGUGAUGCAGUGCAGCUGAUAUUGCCCUUUCUUUGUUGCCAUCAGAUCAGACACUGGAUAAUGAUUCAAUUGCCUGAGGGGAAGGAAGGGCAACUCUGUGGGAGAUCACUUGCUUUCAGGAAGGCUCCAAGGCAAUUCCCGGCAUCUCCAAUUAGAAAAACAAUGGAGGAAAUCCCUCCUUUCAAAUUUGUCCCCUGUUGAUGCUCUCACCAUGUCCUCUUCUUGGCUGGCUUCAAACACAUCCACAGAUUAAGGAUGUGCUUGCAGCUGACUGCUAAAGCACCUGUAUUGCACAAGGUUCCAGAGAGAUGUUGCUUUGGAGCACGCCGAGCCUGGCUCCUGACUGCGUGCUCAUUUGCUUCCUGAAAUGCUCCGCUCCUUGCAAAGAGAGGAGGAGAUUUAUAGUGGUGUAGAGUGGGGAGCUGGGAGAAAAGCAAUGACAAACCUAGACAGCAUCUUAAAAAGCAGAGACAUCACCUUGCCAACAAAGGUCCAUAUAGUUAAAGCUAUGGUUUUCCCCGUAGUGAUAUAUGGAAGUGAGAGCUGGACCAUAAAGAAGGCUGAUUGCCAAAGAAUUGAUGCUUUUGAAUUAUGGUGCUGGAGGAGACUCUUGAGAGUCCCAUGGACUGCAAGAAGAUCAAACCUCUCCAUUCUGAAGGAAAUCAGCCCUGAGUGCUCACUGGAAGGAUAGAUCCUGAAGCUGAGACUCCAAUACUUUGGCCACCUUAUGAGAAGAGAAGACUCCCUGGAAAAGACCCUGAUGUUGGGAAAGAUGGAGGGCACAAGGAGAAAGGGACGACAGAGGACGAGAUGGUUGGACAGUGUUCUCGAAGCUACCAGCAUGAGUUUGACCAAACUGCGGGAGGUAGUGGAAGACAGGAGUGCCUGGCGUGCUCUGGUCCGAAGAGUUGGACAUGACUAAACAACUAAAGAACAACAACAACAGAGUGGGGAGCCAGUGUGGGGCAGUGGCUAGAGUGUUGGACUAGGACAGGGGUCAGCAAGGCUUACCAGGCAUGGGCCAGAUCACUCCCACAGAGAUCCUCCGUGGGCCAGACCGACACAGCGCGAUGCUGGAAAUUGCUUCUGGGCAUGCGCAGAUGCAAUUUCCGGCAUCUGGGCAUGCGCAGAAGCGAUUUCUGCAGCUGCAGAAGAGAGUCCCGUGCCACGCUGCAUGGGACGUAAGAAGAGGUUUGAUUGUAAAAGCAAAUCGCCAAUUGGUACUUUAAGUCCAGGUUAAAGUUGCCCCAGCGGAAUCUCAAAGCACCAUUUUUUGUGGUUGGAGGAUGAUGAUGGUGAUGAUGAUUUCCAUACCGUUUUAUAUUUUAAAGGGGGGAAAAUCUCAAUGUGCUUUCCAACACGUGAAAACAUUUUUUUAAAAACCCCAAGAGCCAGUGUGGUGUAGUGGUUAAGAGCGGUAGUCUCGUAAUCUGGGGAGCCGGGUUCACAUCUCGCUCCUCCACAUGCAGCUGCUGGGUGACCUUGGGCCAGUCACACUUCUUUGAAGUCUCUCAGCCCCACUCACCUCACAAAGUGUUUGUUGUGGGGGAGGAAGGAAAAGGAGAAUGUUAGCCGCUUUGAGACUCCUGAAGGGGAGUGAAAGGCGGGAUAUCAAAUCCAAACUCUUCAAGAAUUCAAGAGAAUGAUUGGUUUCUUAAUUUAAGAAUUCAAUAAACUCAAGAAAAAUUCAAGAAUUCAAUAAAACAAAUUCCAGGCUUCAGGGGAAAUGUUUCAGAUCCUUCUCUAAGCUUUGGGAAAACAUUGUGGGAAACCUGCAAACAGGAGUUGAGGCCAGAGCUACUCCCCACCUCCUGUGGCUUCCAGCAACAGGUAUUCAGAAGCAUUGCAGUCUCAGUAGCUUUCUCCUCCACAAAUUUGUCUAAUCCUCUUUUGAAACCAUCUCGUUUGGUGGCCAUUGCACUCCCUUGUGGCAGGGAGUUCCAUAGUUCCAACUAUGGCAAACACUUCAAAAAGUGGGUCAGUGCUGCUGUUCCCAAGCAGACACUCCUGCAUGCUGAAUCAGCCUCCUUUCCCCAUUUUUUCUUUUGGUUUUCAGAUGCUUGGGUGGUGCCUGUGAGAUGCAACAUCAAUUGCCGCGGAGCUAAUCAUUUAAGUAUCUCUGGAGGGGAGGGUGAGGGCCAUAAGCCUCUUUUGAUGCUCCCAUGCAGCAGCAGCAGCUGUGUGCAGAUCAGAAGCACCUGUGGCUGAUAACAUCCUUCAGAGAAGGAGGGGCAGCAACAAACUGUGUGCCAAGCGCAAACACUCUUAUCUGGGUGCUUUUCUCAGGCUCAAAUGGGAGUCGCUUAGACAGGCUUGGGAGUCUUGCAGCAGUGAAUUGCUGACAGCUGGGGCUGCCCUGGGAAGAGACAUCUCUUCCCCCGAAUGGCGUGAGGCUCUGAGAGUGUGUCAGGGUUUUCACCUGUGGCUACGCAUAGAUUCCGUAAUAGCGGCUUGAAUAUAAUAUAAGGCUGCUCAGGUUCAAAGGAGGAGAGGGUUGCAACGUGAAUAAAAACUGCAUGGCAGAGGGAGUUUUGGCUGGUCAUUCCAGAGUGAAGAAAGCCUCUGAUUCUGCAAACCAGAGGUGGCCCGCCUCCAGAUAUUUGGAACGCUCUGUCACAAGAGACUAGGGUCCUGCGGGACUUGACAUCUUUCCGCAGGGCCUGCAAGACAGAGCUGUUCCGCCUGGCCUUUGGUUUGGACUCAGUCUGACCCUUAUGUUUCCCUCCCCUUAUGGUUUUGAUUUAUGGGCUGCUUUUAAAAUGAGGCUGCAUUUUAAAUUGCAUUUUAACCUGUAUUUUAAAUUGGUCCCCCCCCCCCCUGUUAUAUUUUUACUGUAAUUUUACUGGUGUUAGCCACCCUGAGCCCGGCUCUGGCCAGGGAGGGCAGGGUAUAAUUAUUAUUAUUAUUAUUAUUAUUAUUAUUAUUAAGUCAGAGCACGUUCGGCUUCCGGAAAAUGUUUGCAAACGGGAACACUUACUUCCUGGUUUGCAGUGUUUGUGUUCCAAGUUGUUUGAGAACCAAGGCAUUUGAGAACCAAGGUAGCACCAUACUCACAUUUGUGAGAAGUCGAUCUUUUAGUGUGGCAGCACCUACUCUCUUGCCCUGGGGAAGCCACCUCUCCCAGCUCAGUUAUUUACAAGGCCGCUUUAUAAAGAGCUGCGUGAAACCUAUCCGCCCAAGCUAUCCAACCCUUGCCAUGCUUUUAUGAUUCCCAGCUCCCCAUUUAGCUAUGAUCACAGGUUUGGACUGAGUAGCAUUGCAUCGCCCAAGCCUAGCAGCCAGACCUCUGCUCCAAACAUAAAAGCACACCUUGUCUGGGAGGCUUGCCCUUUGAAGUAGCGCUUCGUUAUUCAAACGAGGCUUGCCAUAUUCUUGGGGGCGGGGGAGAGAGCAAGGCGAGUCAUGUUUUCUGAGAUGGCUCGCAGCGAAGGCUUUGGGUUGCGCGGCAGCAAAUUGCAGAAAUGAAUGAUUUGUACAUGAAGGUGUGUCUCACCUGUAGGAUACGAUCCAAGCGUCGUCAAUGCUGUGUCCUUCAGAUACUUCUGGGGACUGCAGCUCCCAUCACCCUUAAUCACAGAAUCUUAGAGUUGUAAGGGGCAAGCAAGGGUCAUCUAGUCCAACCCCCUGAAAUGCAGGAAUCUUAGCUAAACAGGCAGCCCUGUUUAGGGAAGCUUUUAAUGUUUAAUAGGUUAUUGUAUUUUAGUCUUUUGUUGGAAGCCGCCCAGAGUGGCUGGGGAAACCCAGCCAGAUGGGUGGGGUAUAAAUAAUAAAUUAUUAUUAUUAUUAUUAUUAUUAUUACUACUACUACUACUAAAGCAUCUAUGAUAGAUGGCCAUCCAACCUCUGCUUAAAAACUUCCAAGAUAAGAGAGUCCAUCACCUCUCAUGGGAGUCUGUUCCAAUGUCAAACAGCUCUUACUGUCAGAAGGUUUUCCCAUAUGUUUAGUCGGAAUCACCUUUCUUGUAACUUGAAGCCACGGGUUCGAGUGCUACCCUCUGGAGCACAAGAAAACAAGCUUUUUCCCUUGGGAUAUUUGAAGAUGCCUAUCCUAUCUCCUCUCUGUCUCCUCUUUUCCAGGCUAAACAUACCCAGCUCCUACCAUUCCUCAUCAGGCUUACCGUAGUUUCCAGACCCUUGAUCAUCUUGGCUGCCCCCCUUUGCACACCUUCCAGCUUGUCAACAUCCUUCUUAAAUUGUCCAGAAUUGGACAUAGUAUUCUGUUGAUGCAGCCUAGUAUAGCGUUAGCUUUUUUUUUGCUGCUGCAUCACACCGUUGGCUCCAGUAUGGCCAGUGGUAAUAAUAUUGGAAAUUGGGAACCCACUCUUUCCCAGAGCAUUAAAAAGUGGGUUUUUGUGGAGACAGUAGCGCGGCAAAAAAAAAGGUGCUCAGACAUGGACUGGAAAAGCGGGGAGGAAAAUUAGUGUGGAUGAGCUCAAAGUUGUGAAACCUGCCGCAACUCUCAAGUGCAAUCCUGUUAGACUAUUCUUUGGCUUAACUCGGAGAAUCCUUAUAGUGGCAGGUUUAUUUAUUUAUUUUCUUGCAUUAUUUUAAAAAAAUAUAAUUUCCAUUAUUACCAUUUCCAAAAUCGCAUUCACAUUGAAAUAUACGGUCAUACCUCGGGUUGAAUGUGCUUCAAGAUGAGCACGUUCGAGUUGUGCUCCGUGGCAGCCCGGAAGUAACGGAGCGUGUUACUUCUGGGUUUUGCCGCUUGAGCAUGCGCAGACGCUCAAAAUGACGUCAUGUGCAUGUGCAGAAGCGCCGAAACAUGACCCGCGCAGAUGCGCGGGCACGGUUUACUUUUGCUUCUAGAUGCGAACGGGGCUCCGGAACGGAUCCCGUUCGCAUCUAGAGGUACCACUGUAUAUAUAUAUUUCCACCAUUAAUAUUUUUCUUUAUAAUAAAACAUUCGACGACUUCCCUUCUUCCCCUUCCCCUGGUUCCUUUGAUUUUCCCACCAUUCCUGCAUAUUAUUAUAUUUGGUUCACUUUCUCCCCUUAUUUUCUCUCCUUUAUUAUAUAUUAUGCUGUUGAAUUUACCUUAAUCCCGCUAGCGUUUCCAGUUAUUUUCCAAAUACCUCACAAAAUAUCCCCAAUCCUCCUCUUUUCAUACUCCAUCUCCUUGCUCCUUUAUUUUACUUUCGUUAGACCUACUAAUUCUGCAUAUUGUAUCGCUUUUAAUUGCCAAUCCUCCUUAUUGAGUGGCAAGUUUAAAAGGCGGAAGACUCUUUUUGCACUUUGAGCUUGUAUGCGCAAGAGAUAUGCAAUCCUGUUGUGCUGGGUGGCUCAGAAGGGGGGGGGGGCUAGUGAUGAAACAAAAGAGAAGGCAGCCCUGUGUCCUCUAGCCCUUAUCUGAUCUGCAUCGAUGGACCCCUGGCGUGAAAGGUUCUGAUAGCUCUUAAUUUGCUUUCAAGAGGCGGUGAUUUGCAUUGCUUAAAACUAGGGAUGUUUAUAAAUAGUUUGCAAACUGAGGCUUGGGAGCAGGGCGGGGUGGUCCUGGAUGGUUGGGGGAGUUUAAGCUGACACUUAAAUCCUGCAAUUCAGGGAGGAUAAACCUCCGGCAUCUUGCCUCUGAAUACUAAGUGCUGGGGGAUGCUUCUGAAUCAGACCCAUCAAGGGCAACCUCCUGUCCUCAUUUUAUUAAUUUUUCUGUUACACAAUUUAAAACACUCACUUUUUUUUUUAUUUUUUUAAAUGAUAUUUAUUAAAGUUUCCAAUAAAAAAGACACAUCAGUAAAAAAGAAUUUAAAAGUGAAAAGAAAAAUACACAAUACAAAAAUACACAAUACAAAAUACAAAAAAAGAAAGAAAAACAAAAGAAAAAACAGUUAAAAACAAUACCAUCUUUUCAUCACCAUUUUUGAGUUUACUUAUUUUCUGAACCUCCUCAUACCUCCCUCUUUGUGUAUUCCAGUUCAAUUUGUUUGUCCAGCAAUUUCUUUCCCUCUUUUUUAAUCCCAAUCCUUAAUCUUAAUAUAAUAUAACAUUGAAUUUUAAUCUAGAAAAACCAAUUUUCUUAAUAUGGUAUAGCAUUAAAUUCUUAUCUAUUAAUAGCCAAUUUUCCUUUCUUUUAACCUUUUUAUGCCUAAUCCUUAAUCUUAGUUUAUAUAUAACUUUAACGCCUGUACAGCUAGAAACCACUUAAUUUCAAUCCAUCAUCACUCUAACAUUCUUUAAUUUUGCAAUGUUUCUGUAGAUAAUCUUUAAAUUUCUUCCAAUCUUCUUCCACCGACUCUUCUUCCUGGUCACGGAUUCUACCAGUCAUUUUCGCCAAUUCCAUAUAGUCCAUCAGCUUCAUCUGCCAUUCCUCCAGUGUGGGUAGCUCUUGUGUCUUCCAAUACUUUGCGAUGAGUAUUCUUGCUGCUGUUGUUGCGUACAUAAAGAAAGUUCUAUCCUUUUUUAACACUGAUUGGCCGACUAUGCCCAGGAGAAAGGCCUCUGGUUUCUUCAAGAAGGUAUAUUUGAAUACCUUUUUUAAUUCAUUAUAUAUCGUUUCCCAGAAAGCCUUAAUCUUUGGGCACGUCCACCAAAGGUGAAAAAAUGUACCUUCAGUUUCUUUACAUUUCCAACAUUUAUUAUCGGGCAAAUGGUAGAUUUUUGCAAGCUUGACUGGGGUUAUGUACCACCUGUAUAUCAUUUUCAUAAUAUUCUCUCUUAAGGCAUUACAUGCCGUAAAUUUCAUACCUAUGGUCCAUAACUGCUCCCAGUCAGCGAACAUAAUGUUGUGUCCAACGUCUUGUGCCCAUUUAAUCAUAACAGAUUUCACCGUUUCAUCCUGAGUGUUCCAUUUCAACAGCAAGUUAUACAUCUUUGACAAAUUCUUAGUUUUGGCUUCUAACAGUUCAGUUUCUAAUUUUGAUUCACUCACUUUACAUCCUUAAGAUACCAGUGACUUCCCUUCUUUUCUUUCCAUGGUUCAUUUUACCCAUCUUAAAUCCCUGCAUAUUUUACAGAAACUGUACCAAUCAGUAUUCCAUUAUUGCAUCCAUCAAAACUUGUUUACGCUGUUCAAUUCGUCUUAAUGCCGCCAGAGUUUUCAGCUGUACACAGUUAUUUCCCAUAUACAGUGGUACCUUGGUUUGCAUACGUCUUGGUUUGCAUAUGUUUUGGAUUACAAACACAUCAAACCCGGAAGUGUAUGUCCCGGUUUGCAACCUUUUUUUGGAUUACAACCCAUGUGUUUUUGGAUUAUGAACAAAAUUUGUUUGGAGGCCCCAUUGGCGAAAGUGCGCCUUGGGUUACAAUCUGUUUUGGUUUACAAACGGACCUCUGGAACGGAUUAUGGUUGUAAACCAAGGUACCACUGUAUUCAAUAAACGUUUUAAACGUAUGUUCUUCUUGUUCUCUUAUUCUGUAUGUUACGUCUGCCACUUGUGCAUAUUCUGUCAACUUAAGUUGCCAUUCUUCUUUGGUUGGGACCUCUAUUUGCGGGCUAACAAAACAUGGGCCACAGUAAUGGCAUACAUAAAUAACCUUCUUUAACACCUGGGAAUUUCAGUCGGAAUUAUCCCCAACAGAAAGGACUCUGUUUUGUUUUUUGAAAGUACUUUUAAACAUUUCCCCCCCAAUUCAUUAUGAAUCAUUUCCGAAUACUCUUACCCCUUUUUUAAGUCCACCACCUAUGAAAGAACGUUCCCAUCACGUCUUUGCCUCUCCAGCACUUAUCUGAUUCAGCCUUAUACAUCUUAGCAAGCCUCCUCAGAGUUAAAUACCAUCUGUGAAUCAUUUUCAGGUGGUUCUCCUUCUAAGAAUAACACACUGUCCUCGCUUUUCUCUAUCCACUUCCUCUAUUAUGAACUUCUCUUAUGUCACCUCUUAAUUGCAUUUUCUCUAAGAUAAAAAUCCCCAAGUGCUGCAAUGUUUCCUUGUAGGGCAGUUGACAACAGCUGGAGAGGACGAUUGUGCCCGCAUUCUGCUUGUGGGACCCUGAGGAGGAGGAUAAUAAUAAUAAUAAUAAUAAUUUUUAUCAUUUAUACCCCGCCCAUCUGGCUGGGUUUCCCCAGCCACUCUGGGCAGCUUACAGCAUAUAUAAAAACAUAAAACACCAAGCAUCAAACACUUCCCAAUACAGGGCUGCCUUCAGAUGUCUUCUAAAAGUUUUGUCGUUCCUUUAUCAACUAGUCCAGUCCCAAACUGGACUACAAUUCCCAUCACCUUUGCUAGCUAAGGAUGAUGGGAGUUGUAUUCCAAAAACAGCUGGAGACCCCAGUUUGGGAAACUGAUCUAGUCCAGGCAUAGGCAAACUUGUCCCUCCAGAUGUUUUGGGACUACAACUCCCAUCCUCCCUGACCACUGGCCCUGUUAGCUAAGGAUGAUGGGAGUUGUAGUCCCAAAACAUCUGGAGGGCUGAGGUUGCCUAUGCCUGAUCUGGUCCAACCCCCUGCAAUGCAGGAAUCUUGAGCUAAAGCAUCCAAGACAGAUGGUCUUCCAAUCUCAGCUUUCAAAACCUCGAAAGAAGGAGAGUCCAUCACCUCUCAUGGGAGUUUAUUCCAUUGCCAAACAACAGCUUAUUCCCAAGUAGUUGGUCAUUGUGCUAAACUGGACACUGGAGUUGAUGUUCCUGGGUCCAGCCGGGCCUCUCUCCUUACAUUCUUAGAUCUUGGUUUGUAAGCUCCUUUCCGUUAAUUAAAGCCAGCAGCGUGGGAAUUGGCUUGCUGUCUAUCUGGCUUUUGAGCGGGGCAAUCUACUGCUGACCUCCAGUUGUCAAAUUGCUUCUAAAUUCAGUUGGCUCUGUCUGCAUCAGGCUCGUAAAUUGAGUUUGCUCUCAUUCACUGGCUCCUUUUCUCCUUUUUAAAUGCAAUUAAGCCCUGUAAGCAAGUAGCAAAACCACCACCACCACCUCUAUAUACCAGUGGACUGGGCCACCCUUGGGGAAUAUAUUUUGCCUUGCUGGAAUCUUGGGAUGUGGGGGUGAACCUUUGGCUUGUGAUGGAUGCAGCACUUAGCCAGGACAUAAUACCAAGAGGCUUAAGAGAUGCUCAUCUUUCCCUAAUCUCUUUGAGUGUCUCUCCCCCCCCCCCCCCAUUGAGAGACCAUUAGCCCAUGGGAGGGGACACAUAAGCAAGGCAGUGUCUUUAUAGCAGAGCAGUGGAGCUGUUUCACAAUUAGCAGCCAAUUCUCUCUUACCACCAAAGGAACACAAGUGAAUAGCAGAGAAAAUCUUUAAUAAAAAUACAUUUAUUUUUUAAAAAAACAAAAAAACAAUUAGCAGCCAAUUUGGCUUUGUGGGAAAAUAGUUUGACUUCAAGUUAGCCAGCUCUCAGGUGUGUGUCUCUGUCUAUGCAUUUAGGGCUUGGGAUUGGCAAGGCAGUUUUUCAGGGGUUUGAAAUGCAAAUGUUUUUUUGGGGGCUGGAAAGCCAGCCAGGCUCCCCUUUUAUGAGGAAGCAAGCUGUGCUGGAACUUCCGGUUGCGUGGCGAGUUCCCGCCCCCCACCAGGAUAAAUAAAGACACGAGACACCAUAGCUUAAGGUUAAAUGGGCGAAUUAGGCCACAACUUUAUUGAAUUCAGGAAUGAGAGGCAUUGGCUUAGGCAUUGGUCCUAAUGACUAUCCGGCUCCAGCCCAUUUGCUGGAGACACGGGGAAGGGUUAACACUAUAUCGGGGGAGUCUCCUGCCAAGGCACGUCGACUAGGAGCUCCCCCGGGUCACCGCUCAGGGGCGUGCCUUUGGCCCACACCUCCAUAGGCUUCGGACAGGGCCACGCCCCCCGGAGUCCUUUAACGGACCACCCUUCGCUCACUGGGGUGAGGUGAUGGCCUUCCUCCCCCCCCACACAUCCUCUUAACCCCUUCUUACAAAUGCCUACCGCCAAUGCCGAAGAGUUGUGACGAGUUGCUACGAGGUAGGCGAAAAACCAAAUGGCUGUAAAUUGCCAAUUGGGAAAAAUUCCUACCAUGCCCCAUGUGGCGACAGACCGAAGUCCAUAGCAAAGUCAGAGACCUACCUAAAGCCCACCUAAAGGGAGGGAGGGUGGGAAAACGUGGGGGCUAGCCGGCGAAAAGAGGGCGAGCCCCCUCCGUGCCGGCCCUAAAUAGGGCAGACCCCCUGCUCUCGCGGGGGCUGAAACCAGCCCCCGCUCACGUGGGGGGUGGGCGUGAAGCCCGCAACCCCACCUCCUGGGCAGGCCGGAAGUGGCUUUGCGUGGCGAGUUCCCGCCCCCCACCAGGAUAAAUAAAGACACGAGACACCAUAGCUUAAGGUUAAAUGGGCGAAUUAGGCCACAACUUUAUUGAAUUCAGGAAUGAGAGGCAUUGGCUUAGGCAUUGGUCCUAACGACUAUCCGGCUCCAGCCCAUUUGCUGGAGACACGGGGAAGGGUUAACACUAUAUCGGGGGAGUCUCCUGCCAAGGCACGUCGACUAGGAGCUCCCCGGGUCACCGCUCUGGGGCAUGCCUUUGGCCCACACCUCCAUAGGCUUCGGACAGGGCCACGCCCCCGGAGUCCUUUAACGGACCACCCUUCGCUCACUGGGGGGAGGUGAUGGCGUUCCUCCCCCCCCCCACAUCCUCUUAACCCCUUCUUACAAAUGCCUACGAAAAGAGGGCGAGCCCCCUCCGUGCUGGCCCUAAAUAGGGCAGACCCCCUGCUCUCGCGGGGGCUGAAACCAGCCCCCGCUCACGUGGGGGGUGGGCGUGAAGCCCGCAACCCCACCUCCUGGGCAGGCCGGAAGUGGCUUUGCAAAUAAACAUCUGAGUUUCGUUAGGGACGGUUUUGCUGGGCCAGCGGUGAUUGCAGUGGUUCAGUUUGACGUGAAGCAAGGAGCUAUGGGGGAGCCUAUUGUGCAUGUCCGAUUGAUGCAUGGGUAGUUUUGGAGCCAGAAGAAGGUGUCUGUGGGGGGAGAGUAUGGGGAGUAUUGUUUUAAGUAGAUAUAAGAGUUGCGGGUGGCGCUGUGGGUUAAACCACAGAGCCUAGGACUUGCUGAUCAGAAGGUCGGCGGUUCGAAUCCCCGUGACGGGGUGAGCUCCCGUUACUCGGUCCCAGCUCCUGCCCACCUAGCAGUUCGAAAACACCUCAAAGUGCAAGUAGAUAAAUAGGGACCGCUCUCGGGCGGGAAGGUAAACGGUGUUUCCGUGUGCUGCGCUGGUUCGCCAGAAGCGGCUUAGUCAUGCUGGCCACAUGACCCGGAAGCUGUCUGCGGACAAGUGCCGGCUCUCGGCCUCUUGAGCGAGAUGAGCGCGCAACCCCAGAGUCGGUCACAACUGGACCUGAUGGUCAGGGGUCCCUUUACCUUUACCUGUUAAGAGUUGCUGCAACUUACUUCUUAUGACUCUGAAUGCUCAGUGUUGGAGGAAGCAGAAGAGGGGGAAAGGAAGAGAGAACUUAUCUCCCUAAGAUAAGCCACUUAACCCACAAAAGCAAACAAAGCCCCCUUUGAGCCCACCCCACCCCACCCCACCCACUUGAAAGGUUCUUGGCAGAAUUGCAUCACCGUGAUUAUGGUCUGAGAUAGGAGACACAGGCAUAAUCUCCCUGUCAUUUCUUUUCAUUUGGGUCAGGCGAGAGACCACCUUUAACGUUUGCAUUUUGGAAAGGGGGUGGUAGAUAACUGCAACAAAGGACAAGCAAGAGGGGAGCUUAAAACAAUUGAAGCAACGUUUUGGUUUACACAUAUGGGACGUGGGUGGCGCUGUGGGUUAAACCACAGAGCCUGGGGCUUGCCGAUCAGAAGGUUGGCGGUUCGAAUCCCCAUGACGGGGUGAGCUCCCGUUGCUCAGUCCCUGCUCCUGCCAACCUAGCGGUUCGAAAGCACGUCAGAGUGCAAGUAGACAAAUACGUACCGCUCUGGUGGGAAGGUAAAUGGCGUUUCCAUGUGCUGUUCUGGUUCGCCAGAAGCGGCUUAGGCAUGCUGUACGCCGGCUCCCUUGGCCAAUAAAGCGAGAUGAGCGCCGCAACCCCAGAGUCGGCCACACUGGACCUAAUGGCCACACUGGACCUAAUGGUCAAAUGGACAAUUUGUUGUUGGCAAAGGACAGCUGGACAUAUAAAGGCCCCAUUGCCUUCAGUAGCUUAGGGCCUCAUCCAACCUAAAUCUGGCCCUGGUGCCAUUGCAGUGCAGGUGCCUAAGAUUAAAAAUUGCAUUUUAAGCGUCUCUCGCAAGAGUGGGAGCUCCUCUUUUUUUCCCACACAGCUGGCACAUUCUGAUGAGUUGCUGAGGAUGACGCGUGCGUUGAGCAAAAGACAAAAUGCGGCGUUGCUUUGGGGAGUGACAACAGUGCUUGGGUACCGCGAAAUAAAUCACUUUCCCUUCCCUCCCUUGACUUGCUUGUACAAACACAGCCGUCUUAACCGCACACACAAACACACGCAGUGCUUGGACGGCCUCCAACGAUAAACCAUGUUCACUGUGGAAUGCUUCAUGUUUGCCACAUCCACCUCACACAUCCUCCCCAAUUAGGAAACGGCUUGUGCAUUGGUUUCAGCCCAUGCAGUCUGAACAGCCUGCAUCCAUAACGGGUAUCUUUUGAUUACGGUUUCCAGGUUGAAUAAUAAUAAUUUUAAAGGAUAUAAAAAAAGAGCCCUGGCAGAAUAGGGCAAGGCAUUUGGAGAUCUUCUGUCUUUGAACCUGGAAGUUCUGUUUGGUGGCAUCGAUAGAACCCAUUGCCUGUGGAUUGGUCUGAUCCUUAAGCCAACAGACCGUGCAGGCUCCACAUCAAGUGGCUGUGAGUUCCACAAGUUUAUUUUGGAGUUUCGUGAAGAGGUUCUUCCUGUUGCUUGUUCUGGACCUAAAAGUUUUUGUGGACUUUUUGGAGGUCUUAAAUUGUAAGUUGGACAGCAUUUCCCUGUUUUACAGGGCUAAGGCUCAGGAGGAGCUCAGUUUAAAGUCACCUUGUGUGGGGUGGAGACAAGAUCCUUUCUCUGAGACAUGUCAGCAAAGCCCUCCAGUUGGGACCGGGAUUCCCAAACCUUAGGGGUGUCUCCUCUGCUUGGAUGCCUCUGUGAGUUGGGCCAUUGCUUCCUCUGGAGUACUGGUGCUCUAAACACCAGUUAAGAGACCCCUUUUAAACUUUGCACUUGCCCUGCUUUCCAGUUUAAAUCUGACCCACGUUUAUUGGGGGGGGGGGGGGAGACCUGUAUGCUUCCUUUGAAUCGAAUGAAAGAAGGCCAACAGUGUUUGCUAAAUUUCUCACUCGCAGCCUUUAAUUCUUCUUCCUCUCUUUGUCUCUCUCCCCACCUAAUUUUUGAUGGCUGUCUCAGACAAGGGAGGCCCUUUGUCCUUGAAUUGACCUUGCCCUCCAUCCUACAAACCAAGAUGCUGAAAACUUGGUGACUGCUUACUGAGAGAUCAGGCUUCCUUUCCCCCACACCUUUCUGACAGCCAUUUGCAAGGAAAAGGGAAAGUUUAGAUUUAUCAUGCAAGUGGAACAAUUUCCAGUCUACUCUCCCACCCCCAACUCCCUGUCUCAUGCCCUGUCUGCUCCAUGUAACAGUUUCUCCUUGUUUUGUUUCCUCUUCCCAAGGUCUCAGUCUUGAUUUCUGGAGCGAUCCAAUAGACACAGCAGCUCCUCCAACAUCUUGUUCCUUUCGUUCAAGGACGCCCAAGGCCGUGGGACUUUCUCGAGCUGCCCAAAGACUCCGGAGAAUGCCAGCUGCGGAUGAAAUAUGUGCGUGGGGAGGGACGAAAGAUUUUGGCUGUUCCCCCUCCCCUCAUUCUGGAUGUUCAUACCAAGAUAACAUUGCCGAAGAUGGAUUAUUUCCCCCGCUAUCAAUGGAAUAUGCAUUUUUUUGUGGUUAAUUUUGUGUGUGUGGAUGCUGGGGGGAAAGCGCCGCCAGUAGUCUGAACAUGAGACUCCCUGCCCUACUGUUUCCCAUUGGGACAAGUGUGCUACCCAGGUACGUCUGUGAUUACCUGAUAUACAGAUAAGUUUUAAGUUUAUCAAAGUUUGCGGUGAAUUCAUUCUCUCUCUCUUUCUCUGUAUGCCCCCAGCAUGGACAUAUCACAACUGAUCUUUUAAGCACAGUGAAAGGAGUUGAACAUGAGAAAACAUGCUUUCUCCCUUGCUCCUGGCGCCGCCACACUAAUCAUAGCUAAACCAUGGCUAGCCUUAGCGUUGCGUCAGGACCCUGGUUCAGUCUGUUUCUCUCCAAACCAAACCAAGAGUGUUUGUAAAUGUUUGUUCUCGGAUUGCUGCGUGUGGGUGGUUUGGGAAGAAACAAGCCAUGAGUCUGGAUUUGGGCGUGCUGCUAAGGCAAACCAUAGUUUAGCUCCUGGCAGUGUGGCAGGAGUGAGGGAGAAGCAAAGCACCUGAGAUUUUAGCCCUGCACUCUCACUUUUAAGCUAAAUUUAACUAAAAUGAAGUGUGAACCAGGCUGAUGUGUUGUCAUGUGCAGCCUGCAGAAAUUUUCCUUCUAAUACAGUGGAACCUUGGUUCUCGAACUUAAUCCGUUCUGGAAGUCUGUUCAACUCCUGAAACCAUUCGAAAACCAAGGCGCGACUUCCAAUUGGCUGCAGGAGCUGUGUUGGACGUUCGGCUUCCAGAAAACGUUUGAAAACCGGAACACUUAGGUUUUCAGCAUUCGGGAGCCAAUUUGUUCGGCAACUAAGCCGUUCGAGAACCAAGGUUCCACUGUAUUGCAAAACAUGCUGUUUGUGAUACCUGGCUGCCAUAUUCUCCUACAAUACUGUGAUCACACUUGCUGGGACCAUAUGCUUUCUGGUUCGUGUGUGCUUGGAGAUUGAGAGUUUCUAUCCCAGAGCUUUGGUUUUCUUGUCGUUGUUCUCUGUGAUGAAGACACCUUGCUGUGGAUGGCAGAGGCUGAAUUGCACUCUGAGCACGCUUCAUAUUUGCUGGAUUCAAAGAUGCAUGAUUGAUCCUUUUUUUAGGAUUACGGGAGUGCUGUAGGAAGCUUGCUGCAUGCUGAGGUCAGUAUAUCGCACCAUUGGACGGGGAGGAGGGAAUGUUGGCAGGAGACAGAAAUGUUGUGGUGAUUAAUAGCAAUAGCUUGCUUGGAGCGAAGGUGGAGUUCUGCCAGUACCCAGCACAGGCAAGCACGAAAAUUGCAAGUUUCGUGGAAGCUCCCAGAUUCUCCUUAGGGUUGCAAUCUGAUGCAGACUUCCUGGGGAGUCCGUUGACCUUUGUGAGACUCAGAUCUGACUAAGCAAGCUUAGGUAGGUGGUGGUUAGCAGCAAAUGGAUGGAAUCGGCCCUUUUGAAAGCAUGUGCUAAUACAGUGGUACCUCUAGUUACGAACUUAAUUCAUUCCGGAGGUCCGUUCUUAACCUGAAACUGUUCUUAACUAGAGGCGUGUUUUCGCUAAUCCGCAUGCGAUUUCCAUUCUCAUCCUGGGGCAAAGUUCUCAACUCAAGGUAACUCUUCCGGGUUAGCGGAGUUUAUAACCUGAAGCAUUUGUAUCCCAAGGUGUUUGUAACUCGAGGUACCACGAGUAUUAUACCUUAUACCUCGAGGUAAGGUGUAACAAACUGUGGGUUGUAUCCUGUGCUCCACAGGCAAAGUUCUGCAGGCAAAGCAGCUUUUCCAUUUCCACACCUCCCUCUGAACUCCCCCAAAAUCUUCCUGGAGGCUCCCCUAAUAUUUUGGAGCUAAUUUUGUGAGAGUGGGGGAUGGGGAAAAACGAGAAGACAGGUUUUCACCACCCACCUGAACUGUGCGAAUGUUAAGGAAGGUAGGAGAGGGUAUAUUGUUUUGACAUUACCUUCCCCCCACUCACGCUAGUGAGUAAACAUCAGAGCGCAUUCCCUUUGCAACUGAUUGGAAGUAAGUCGAUGAUUCAUUAGAAUCCUUUAAUUAAGCAAUCCAGUCUGGAUUGUUCCUGGGAAGUUUCCCCUUUACAGUCGUACCUUGUUUUGUGGCCGGGAUCCACCCGAAAAAGACACAGGGCAAAGCCCCACAUCUGUGCAUUCACAUGUGCGGAGUGGUUUGUGCUUCUGCGCAUGCACAAAGCGCGAUUGUGCUGGAAGUAACCCGUUCCGGUACUUCCGGGUUUGCCGCGGACGUUCACCGGAAUGGACGCUAGACAAGGCAGACGUUCGCGGAGGUAUAACUGUAUUUCCCUCUUAAAAUAACAACAACAACGCAACACAGCCUUCUUCGAAAGUUAGAAUAAAGUUUUACUCAUAUUCGGUUCACAGCAGUAAUCUGAAGGCAGGCUUUCUCUUGUGGUUACAGUGAAAAGAAGUCUGAGGUGUCGCUCAGACUUUCUGCUUGGGGGCUCCAUCCUCUGUGAAGGUUGAACCAUGCGCUGGCUAAGAGCCAGGAGAGUGAGAGACCAAGAGAGAGAUGGUUGCAUGGCCAGCCCUUUUAUCUGGUCAGCUAGGGUCAUGCCCAUCUACGUGGCCACACACAGGGGGAGAAAGCUGCAUUGCAGGUAUGGCAGGAAGUCGUCCCUGUCUGGAGCCACGUCCCUCUGUGUGUCCAUUCUAGGAAACAGGAAGAUGUUGUACUUGAUUGCUCUAGUGACAACACAUCCCACAUAGCCCUUCUCAGGCAAUACAACAUAACAUUUAUAUGCAUAGAUUUUAUUCAACCACACAGCGUCACAGCUUGACACAAAGGUUCUGGAAACGCUUCUUUGGGUAGGGGCUUCGUGAGGAUGCCCGCGGUCACCUCCUUCGUAAAAAAUCGCAGCUGCCAAAGUUGCAAAACAAAGAAAAAGAAAAGAAAGGCAAAAUAGAGAUGAAGAGAGGGAAGAGAGAGCAAUAAAGAAGGCAAAAGGAGAGAAGCGUUAGCAAUAGAAGCAUUUAAAAUAAAAAACGACGCUGUGAUUUGCUGUCUGAAAGCUUAAGGGUAGCAUUUGAUUCUUCUCUUUUGUAUCUACAUCUUUCUGUGGGCUAAUCCAGCCAUUCCUUCCUUGUGAGGUUCUUUUUCUGUGCUGUAGGGAGAUGUGGAUAAUGUGCUCAGGACGAAACGUUGGGUUUUUGUUUGUUUAUUUGUGCUUUCUUUCCCCACCGAAAAAUCAGGAAAAUGUUGGUUUAAAAGCUUUGGGAGAGGCAUCCACCUCCCCCCUCCACCGGUCAUUUGGAGCAAUCUCUGUCAGCGGACUGACUCUGUUAUUACACGGCUGGCAAGGAAAUUCCAUUUUGCUUAGGAUGCUACUGUACAUCCGCUGGAAUUUCUUUUUUUUUAUCGCUGUAAUUUUAUCACUUCCUCUGUUUUGGAAUUUUAGCUCUCGUUGUUCAGCCCUGGGACCGCAGCCUGUGGAAUUUGCUCUCUGGGUGAGGAAGCCCUCAGAUUUUUCACUGUUGAUGUAGCUCUGCCUUUGCCAACUCAUGGUGAGCUGUUUGCAGCUGUUUUUAAAGGGCACCAGGAAUAAUCGGGAACUGCUUUGCGCUGAGUCAGAGUGGUGGCCUGUCUAACCCAACAUUGCUUACACGGACUGGCAGCAGCUCUCCUCCGUUUUGGGCAAGGGGGCAGCCCUAGCUGGAGAAGCCGGGAAUUGAACUCUCAAAGUAGAUUCUCUGUGAUUUUAUGGCUGCAGCCCUGUGUACGACUACCUGAGAGUAAUCUCUGUGGAAUUCAGUGGGAGAAAUGUUUCUGAGUAAAUAUGCACAGGGGUGAUCAUUCUGUUAGUGUGCUUUAUUGAUCUCCUGCCUGACCCUGGGCAUCACUUCCAACUAGGUAAAGGUAAAGGGACCCCUGACCAUUAGGUCCAGUCGCGGCCGACUCUGGGGUUGCGGCGCUCAUCUCGCUUUAUUAUCCGAGGGAGCCGGCGUACAGCUUCCGGGUCAUGUGGCCAGCAUGACUAAGCCGCUUCUGGCGAAGCAGAGCAGUGCACGGAAAUGCCGUUUACCUUCCCGCUGGAGUGGUACCUAUUUAUCUACUUGCACUGGGGUGCUUUCGAACUGCUAGGUUGGCAGGAGCAGGGAAUAAGCAGCAGGAGCUCACCCUGUUGCGGGGAUUCGAACCGCUGACCUUCUGAUCAGCAAGUCCUAGGCUCUGUGGUUUAACCCACAGCGCCACCCGCGUCUCUUCACUUCCAACUACUUUUGGCUAACUGUGGAGAGGGGGGAGGGAAAGAGACACACAUAAGCAGGAUUUCUGGGUGCAAUUGUAGAAGAGCUAUUCAAGAACUAUGUAGAAGUGCUUCUCACUUAGCUCAGUUGGUAGAAUGUGAGACUCUUAAUCUCAGGGUCGAGGGUUCGAGCCCCACGUUGGCCAAAAGAUUCCUGCACUGCAGAAGGUUAGACUAGAUGUCCCUUUCAACUAUAAUUCUAUGCACAGACCAGGGCCGGAUUUAGGUUUGAUGAACGUACAGUGGUACCUCGGGUUAAGUACUUAAUUCGUUCCAGAGGUCCAUUCUUAACCUGAAACUGUUCUUAACCUCAAGCACCACUUUAGUUAAUGGGGCCUCCUGCAUCUGCUGCGCCACCGGAGCACGAUUUCUGUUCUCAUCCUGAAGCAAAGUUCUUAACUUGAAGCACUAUUUCUGGGUUAGCGGAGUCUGUAACCUGAAGCGUAUGUAACCUGAGGUACCACUGUAAUGGGGUCUUUUAUAUCUCCAGCUGUCCUUUGUCAACAACAAAUUAUCGCUUUUUUGUGUUGAAUAUAUGCUAUAUGGUAAUUUGUGGCCCUAAUAGGUAUCUAAAGCUAUUUGCCCAUGUUGCCAUGUAACCAGUCCCUGCAGAAUGUAGGCACCCUAAAUAUAGAAAUGAGCAAACCAGUGAUAUUUUAGGGAGCAGGCAGGCAGGCGGGGCCUGUUACUUACAUCAUAGGAGCCUACACAACACUGUAUCUGUAUGUAGGUUUUAUUUUAUUUUUUUAUCUUAUAUUUUGGAAAUGUACAUCCAGUUGUUGUUUUUCCCUUUUAAUUUUUUUGGAGCCCCCAAGAGAGUGGGGCCCUAAGCUAUAGCUUGCUUCGCUAAUACAUAAAUCUGGCACAGACAUACCCACGCUAGCAUGCAAAUUUCACCCAAACACACACACACACACACACACACACAACCGAACAGUACUGCUAGGAAGAGAUUAAAGAGAAUGCUAAACCACAUCGGAUGCUGGCAAUAAUGACAGCCGCUUUCAUCAGUGAAACCAUGAUUGCCCACGACACACAGAGCCUCUGAUCUGCAGCAGAGCAAAAGCCACUUAUUGCAGGAAUGCUCUUUCUGUUCCUCCCCAAUCCCACAAAACACACACACCAUAAUCUGACUUGCACAGACAUAGUAGAAGUCAGCUCUUUCAAAACGCUUGAUCUCUCCGGCUCUCUAGGGAUAAGUGGGUGGAUUUUUAAAAAGCAAGGUGGGGGGGAAAAGAACUCUUUUUGGGAAACAAGAGUAUCUUUGGCCUGUAUACACAUAAUUGAGCACAGUGAUGCUCUGCCCAAAGUCUGCUGAGUAAUAGAAUGCAGCAGGAUGAAAGCUGCCCUGGCCGGAGCCCCAGGAGCAGACAGCUAGGCUUUGAAAACCAGCCACCAUCUGGAACGGAGGGCUGCCAAAGCACAUCCUUAACCAGAAGUGUGUGACUGCGCUGCGGCCCGGUGACCAAUUAAACUCCAGGAAAUCGCUGCUGACCUCUUCCCAACACUUAACCCACCAGUACAGUAUUAACUCUGUCCCAGUCAGCAUUCCUGUCGAUGUACGGAAUCCACGUUCGCACAGUUGCUUGAACAGAGAGAUUUCUUGGCUAGAAACCAUCCCUGCCACUCAUCCCGCUGCUUCCAUGGCAGAUCCCGGAUCAGCUGUGCUGGGAACACAAGUCAUCUCGGAACGAAUGUGGCUCCCAUAGCACCGUCAAGGUAAUGGGCUCACACCUGUGCUCAGGAAACCUGGCAAUCUCACGCUCAAUUGACCUCCAGACUCUGUCUGGACAUCCACUGUGGUUCUUCUGCCCUAGUGAAGCUACCAGGUUCUGUUUUUCAAUGUCUUUACAAACGACUUUUCAAAUACUCAUCAAAUUUGCAGAUGGGAGGGGUAGCUUACGCUGCAGAAGACAGAAUCAGAAUUCAAAAUGACGUUGUAUAAUUAUAAUUAUUUAUUUAUUUAUACCCCUCCCAUCUUGCUGGGCUUCCCCAGCCACUCUGGGCAGCUUCCAACAAAAUAUUAAAAUACUGUAAUACAUCAAACAUUAAAAGCUUCCCUAAACAGAGCUGCCUUCAGAUGUCUUCUAAAAGUCUGGUAGUUGUUGCUCUCUUUGACAUCUGGUGGGAGGGCGUUCCACAGGGCAGGUGCCACUACCGAGAAGGCCCUCUGCCUGGUUCCCUGUAACUUGGCUUCUUGCAGUGAGGGAACCGCCAGAAGGCCCUUGGCAAUGGACCUCAGCAUCCGGGCAGAACGAUGGGGGUGGAGACGCUCCUUCAGAUAUACUGGGCCGAGGCUGUUUAGGGCUUUAAAGGUCAGAACUAACACAUUGAAUUGUGCUCGGAAAUGUACCGGGAGCCAAUGUAGGUCUUUCAAGACCGGUGUUAUGUGGUCUCGGCGGCCGCUCCCAGUCACCAGUCUAGCUGCCGCAUUCUGAAUUAGUUGUAGUUUCUGGGUCACCUUCAAAGGUAGCCCCACGUAAAUUGGAGAACUGAGCCCCAGCUAACAGAAUUAAUUUCAAUAGGGACAAAUGUCAGGUUCUGCACGUAGGCAGGAAGAACCAGAUGCACAAAUAUAGGAUGGGGGUCACUUGGCUUACUAGCAGUGCUCGUGAAAAGGAUCUAGGGUUCUUGGUGGACCACAAGCUGAACAUGAAUCAACAGCGUGAUGCGGCAGCAAAAAAAGCUACUGCUAUUCUAGGUUGCAUCAACAGAAGUAUAGUGUGCAGAUCAAGGAAAGUAAUAGUACCACUCUAUUCAGCCUUAAGUCAGACCACACUUGGAAUACUGUGUCCAAUUCUGGGAAUGUCCAAUUCCAAGCCGGACUGUGUGCAGAGGAGGGCAAUCACAAUGAUCAGAGGAGUGGAAGAAGAAGAAGAGUAGUAGUAGUAGUAGUAGUAGUAGUAGUUUGGAUUUGAUAUCCCGCUUUAUCACUACCCUAAGGAGUCUCAAAACAGCCAACCAUCUCCUUUCCCUUCCUCCCCCACAAAAAACACUCUGUAAGGUGAGUGGGGCUGAGAGACUUCAGAGAAGUGUGACUAGCCCAAGGUCACCCAGCAGCUGCAUGUGGAGGAGCGGGGAAGCGAAGCCGGUUCCCCAGAUUACGAGACUACCGCUCUUGAGCACUGCACCACACUGGCUCUCAUGUGGAAACCAAGCCUGAUGAAGAACAGUUGAAGGAGCUGGGUAUGUUUAGCCUGGAAAAGAGGAGACCGAGCGGAGAUAUGAUAGCCAUCUUCAAAUAUCUCAAGAGCUGUCACAUGGAAGAGGGGAAAAGCUUGUUUUCUCCUGCUCUGGAGGGUAGGAUUCAAACCAGUGGCUUUAAAUAACAAGAAAGGAGAUUAACUAAAAUGUCAGGAGGGACUUUCUGACAGUAAGAGCUGUUCGGCAGUGGAACAGACUCACAUGAGAGGUGGCGGACUUCCUUGGAGGUUUUUUAAGCAGAGAUUGGAUGGCCAUCUGUCAUGGAUGCUUUAGUUGAGAAGCCUGCAUUGCAGGGGGCUGGACUAGAUGACCCUCGAGGACCCUUACAACUCUGUGGUCUGUGACCUCUGUAGGGUGCUCUCCCCAGGGACUAGCCAGAUGUGUAACUGCCAAUCAAUCACAGUCAGUGCAUCACUUGAAAAAUAAGAGACCUGUCUUGUGCCCCAAAAUAGCAACUAGAAAUAAUAAUAAUAAUAAUAAUAAUAAUAAUAAUAAUAAUAAUUUAUUUAUACCCAACCCAUCUGGCUGGGUUUCUUCAGCCACUCUGGGCAGCUUCCAACAGAAUAUUAAAAUACAAUAACCUAUUAAACAUUAAAAGCUUCCCUAAACAUUACGUUUUGGUGAUUGCAACCCUUUGGUGCCUAGCUUCUAUAUCUUGAGUUUCUAACACUGGGCUCCGUGUCCCUUGGGUUGAAAAAGUGUUCCCAGCUCGUCGUAGCUUUUCACAAAAGUGGGAAGGGCAGUGAGGAGAGCCUCUGCCCCAGCUAUACUUGGGGAAACACAAGACGAAACAUCUGCAAAUAGAUUUGCCUAGCAGGAAAGCAUCACGGAGAAGGAACACAAUGUAAGUUGAAGAAGGAGUGACCCGGCUGGAAGAAUUUUGGCAACUGCAGGGGCCUGUCAUCUCCCGUGUCUCACCUGCUGAGUGUCAUAAUCGCUUGUCAUUUCACGACUCUUCCCUGUUGAGCUUUGCAGGCUAACAUAGAGGAAAUUAAACACGCAGAGCCACCCUCCUGUAAAUGUUUGGUACCCACUGUUUUAAGAAGCAAAGUGAAAUUUCACGACUGAUUGGUUUGUCUUCUGGCUUGGCUCGGAAUCGCAGGCUAGCUUUCUGGCUUGGCUCGGAAUCGCAGGCUAGCUGUGACAGGUUUGGGACUUACUCUGUUUCAUUGACGUUUCCUUGCUGGAUGAUUUCUGGGUUUUUUGUGAUCUUUCACAUGGUGUAAGAGCCACUUCUGGAAACCUUGUGGAAGAUUAGUGCUUAGAAUCAUAGAAUCUAGUCCAGCCCCCUGUAAUGCAGGAAUCUCAGCUAAAGCAUCUAUGACAGAUGGCCAUCCAACCUCUGCUUAAAAUCCACCAAGGAAGGAGAGUCCACCAUCUUCUGAGAGAGUCCGUUCCACUGUCGAACAGCACUUACUGUCAGAAAGUUCUUCCUGGUGUUUAGUUGGAAUCUCCUUUCUUGUAACUUCAAGUCCUUGGUUCAAGUCCUACCUUCAAGAGCAGGAGAAAAUGAGCUUGUUCCCUCUUCCAUGGGAUGGCCCUUGAGAUAUUUGAAGAUGGCUAUCAUGUCUCCCUUAAAGCCAUGGUUUUCCCAGUAGUGAUGUAUGGAAGUGAGACCUGGACCAUAAAGAAGGCUGAUUGCCGAAGAAUUGAUGCUUUUGAAUUAUGGAGCUGGAGGAGACUCUUGAGAGUCCCAUGGACUGCAAGAUGAUCAAACCUAUCCAUUCUGAAGGAAAUCAGCCCUGAGUGCUCACUGGAAGGACAGAUCCUGAAGCUGAGGCUCCAAUACUUUGGCCACCACAUGAGAAGAGAAGACUCCCUGGAAAAGACCCUGAUGCUGGGAAAGAUGGAGGGCACAAGGAGAAGGUGAUGACAGAGGAUGAGAUGGUUGGACAGUGUUCUCGAAGCUACCAGCAUGAGUUUGACCAAACUGCGGGAGGCAGUGGAAGACAGGAGAGCCUGGCGUGCUCUGGUCCAUGGGGUCACGAAUAGUCGGACACGACUAAAUGGCUAAACAACAACAAACAAAUCAUGUCUCCCCUUGGUCUUCUCUUUUCCAGGCUAAACAUACCCAGCUCCUUCAACCAUUCCUCAUUAGGCUUGGUUUCCAGACCCUUGGUUACCUUGGUCGCCCUCCUCUUUGCACGUUCCAGCUUGUUGAUGCAUUCCUUAAAUUGCUUAAAUGCUUUCCUUAAAUCAUUACUUGGGAAAUUGUAGGGAGUUUUAAGUUGUAAUUUCAUGUGAUGAAAUUUCGGGUGGUAUCAUGGUUGGACAGUCUUCUCGAAGCUACCAGCAUGAGUUUGACCAAACUGCGGGAGGCAGUGGAAGACAGGAGUGCCUGGUGUGCUCUGGUCCAUGGGGUCACGAAGUGUCGGACAUGACUAAAUGACUAAACAACAACAAAUCCUGGCAUAUGGUUCUUGAUGUUUCGAAGCUCUUCGCUUGCUUAUGAAGCACAGAUAAAAUGAACAUGCUUAGUUGGAUCGCUAUGCUACAAACUGAUUUUUGUUUUCCAGGAAAAAAGCAAUCAACUCAGAAUUUUCUGGGAAACUCAGAUUUGAGAAGGGACUUUAGAGAUGAUGAACAUAAAUUGACAACAGCAGUUUUAUAAAUCACGUUGAUGGGUUGUAUAGAAUUCUUUGUUGUCAAUAAUAUGAGGCAAUAUUUUUGCCAGAUAAUCAAAGCUACCGUAUUUUUCGCUCUAUAGGAUGCACUUUUUUCCCUUCAAAAAUGAAGGGAAAAUGUGUGUGCGUCCUAUGGAGCGAAGACGCCAUAGCCCCGCGACCCUCUCCCGGCUGGAGAGGUGACGCGCGGCUAUGGCAGGAGCCUCUACAGCCCCGCGUCACCUCUCCAGCCGGGAGAGCACGCACGGGGCUAAACAGCCCCCCUGCGACCCUCUCCCGGCUGGAGAGGUGACGCGCGGCUAUUGAGGCUCCUGCUAUAGCCGUGCGUCACCUCUCCAGCCGGGAGAGCGUGCGCGGGCUAAGAGCCAUAGCCCUGCGACCCUCUCCUGGCUGGAGAGGUGUCGCACGGCUAUGGCAGGAGCCUCUCCGCUGCGCCUUUCUGCUGCUCCCUGAACUGCUCUUUGGGGCUGGUGGUGGGCUUCCCCGCCAGCCCCAAAGAGCAGGUUGAAGGAACCUGAAGCCUGGAGAGCGAGAGGGGUCAGUGCACACCGACCCCGCUCGCUCUCGAGGCUUACAAGGUAGCCGCCUGAACGCACCUUAAAUGGCACCUUGUUUUAGAGCGGGAAAACAAGAGGGGGAAAGUUCUCCCCCUCUCUGCACAGCGCCUCCUGCCACUUCGCUGAAGGGGCGCUGGGCAGAGAGGGGGAGAAUUUUUUUUUCUUGUUCUCCCCCCUCUAAAACAAAGUGCGUCCUAUUGUCCGGUGCGUCCUAUGGUGCGAAAAAUACGGUAAUUGAAUUGGCCCAGCUCACAGGCCAUUAGUAAGUGAUGUCCCAGUUUCAGUCUUGCUUGAAGAGCAGAGCAGUAGUUUUAUACCCAGUGCUUACUCAGAUAAGGCAACACUAGUGAUAAGUCUUGAUCUGGGAAUCUUAGUGACAUUUGUUUAGGUGCUCUGUGUUAACCAGAAGUCACUGUGUGACUCAUUGGCCAAAUGUUGGCUAUUGUUUCAGGAUCAACGGGAUUCAAAUCUCUGCUCAUUUGUGUCUGAGACUGAGACCUUUCCCUACCUCGUAGGGUUAUUGUGAGUCUACAGUAUGCCUCUGAGCUUCUGGCUGAGAAGAUUGAAUAGAAUUGUUGCAAGGGACCACAUCUAGUCCCACCCCCUGCAAUGCAGGAAUAUUUUGCCCAAGUGGGACUUGAACCCACAACCCUGAGAUUAAGAAUCUCAUGCGCUACCAACUGAGCUAUGCAAAUAUAACCAAUCAUAGCAGCCUUCACCUCAAGGGAUAAGUGCAACAGUCCAAAAAGAAAAAAACGGGAAAUGAUCUGUAAUGAAUUGAAAAAAUUGUUUAAAAGUACUCCCCCCCCCAACCCCCCCGAGUCCUUCCUGUUAGGGAUAAUUCAGACUGAAAUUCCCAGGUGUCAAAAAAGGUUAUUUAUGUAUGCUACUACUGCUGUGUUUUCUUAGCCCCCAAAUGGAAAACGAGCGAGGUCCCAACCAAAGAAGAAUGGCAACUUAAGUUGACAGAAUAUGCACAACUUGCAGACUUCACAUAUAGAAUAAGAGAACAAGAAGAACAUACGUUUAGAGAAGAUUGGAAAACGUUUAUUGAAUAUAUGGGAAAUAAUUGUACAGCUGAAAACGCUGGCAGCAUUAAGAUAAAUUCAACAGUGUAAACAAGUUUUGAUGGAUGGAAUAAUGGAAUACUGAAUGGUAUAGUUUUUGUAAAAUAUGCAGGGAUUUGUGGUAUGUAAAAUGAACUAUGGAAAGAGAAGAAAGGAAGUCAUUAAUAUCUUAAGGAUGUAACAAUGAGUGCUUUAAAUUGUGAAACGGAAAAUCUGAUAAAAAUUAUAUAUGGAAAAGAAAAGAAAAUCAAAAGAGUAGGAUGAAAAUUGAGAAUAAGACGAGCCACUGCUUGAAAUACUCUCUGGCAGCAGCAAAGAAGGGGACUCACUCUUCAUUUUGGAGACGUUUUCCCCAUGCAAGCUCCAUUGAAUUGAAUGGGACCUUGUUCUUGUGCCAGGGCUGGGGAACCUGUGGUCUAGUCAGACACUCAUUGGACAUGCCUAGCAGAGGCUGGCAGGAGUUGUAGUCCGACAAAUAUCUGGAGAACCACUGGUUUUCCCAUUCCUGCUUCAGGAGUUGUUUUUUGAACCCUACCCCACACCUGCAAUAAAAGCUAGAAAUGCAACCUUUUCCCUUUCUCUCUUCCAUUUUAAGAGAAAGAAGAAGAAGAAAAGGUUUUUGCCGUUUUAGAUAAUAUCUCCCGGUCCAGCACAAUUGCCUGGUUCCCUGGGUUAGAAUUCUCGUCUUCAGAGUCCUAAUGGCAUUUUUAUCACCAGGAACUUUGAUAAUCUGACGUGUUGUGCAAUGAUGGUAAAUAAGUUCUUCCUUGAACCCCCAGGCUCUUUGCAGUUUCCCCUGAAGGUCGUGACACUCACCACUCGCCUUGUCAAAUAUUCUAGCUAUGAAAGGAUUGAUUGUAAUUUUUUUUUUAAGGCUUUGCUGAGAGCUUGCAAUUUUAGAAAAGGUCAUUCUGACCAUCUCGCCUCCUGUUUCCCCGCAUUUACAUGCGCUAAAGAAUGCGAGACUUGUUUGCUUGCGUAAAAAACCCAGGUGUUAAGAGCUGGGGAGAGAGAGAAGGUGGGAGGGAAAUAAAAAUUACGUAGUUCAGAAUUCCUUGCAUGCUUGCCUCUGCAAAAAAAUGUUUCUGAUUGGAGAUUUGCAGAGUUUUAUCUUCUCCUCCUCGUUGCCCUGUAGCUGAAGACCACAGAGCAUUUUUGCUAAUGGAAGGAGGACUGGUGUUAAAUAUGACUUCUGGGUACAAUUAUGCAAAUUCAAGGGAUGCGGGUGGCGCUGUGGUCUAAACCACUGAGCCUCUUGGGCUUGCCAGUCGGAAGGUCGGCAAUUCGAAUCCCCGCGACAGGGUGAGGUCCCAUUGCUCUGUCCCAGCUCCUGCUAACCUAGCAGUUCGAAAGCACACCAGUUCAAGUAGAUAAAUAGGUACCGCUCCGGUGGGAAGGUAAACGGCAUUUCUGUGCGCUCUGGUUUUCGUCAUGGUGUUCUGUUGUGCCAGAAGCAGUUUAGUCCUGCUGGCCACAUGACCCAGAAAGCUGUCUGUGGACAAACGCCGGCUUCCUUGACCUGAAAGCAAGAUGAGCGCUGCAACCCCACAGUCGCCUUUGACUGGACUUAAUCGUCCAGGGGUCCUUUACCUUUACCUAUGCAAAUUCUACCCCCCCCCCCAUUGUGAUCCAGGGACUUCCACAUAUCAGCAUACACCCCCUUGAGAUUCCUGGGUUGCAUGAUUUGCAACAUUAAUGGCUUCCUCCCUUUCAGCUUUGCAAUUAGACCCUUAAAUGCUCACCUGGGGUGCAUGGAAGUUGUGCAUGCCAGAGCUCCAUAUUCAGAUUCAGAUUCUCUCUCUCUCUCUCUCUCUCUCACACACACACACACACACACACACACACACCCCAACACAGAGUUGGAAAGGACCCUGAGAACCAUCUAGUCCAAGGCAGGAAUAUGCAGCUGUCCCAUACGGGAAUCGAACCUGCAACCUUGGCAUUAUCAGCCCCACGCUCCAGCCAGCUGAGCUAUCCAGGCUUGCACCGUGCUUUAGCGCUGCACAUGGAUCUUGCUUCCUUCAUCUGGAGCAGGCACGUCCAACAGGUAGAUUGUGAUCUACCGGUAGAUCACUGGACGUGUGUGGUAGAUCACUAUUAGAUCAGUGGCUCCCCCCCCCCCGAGAAACUGAACAACUUUGGCUCCCCUAAAAAAAGCUCAAUAUUUUGGCCCUUCACCCCCCAAAAACGGGCCUUCCCUCCUCCCUAAAAGAAGCUCAACAACUUUGACCUGAACCCAAAAAAAGGGAGUAGAUCACUUCCAGUCUUUAACUCAGUGAGUAGAUUGCAGUCUCUUGGGAGUUGGCCACCCCUGGUCUAGAGGUUGAGUUGAACCUUAAAGGCAAGUGCAUCUGUGUGGCUUAGUGCUGCCCCUUGAUCAGUACAGGGCAGUGCUGUGUUGGCUUCCUCGACUGGCCCUUGUUCUCCUUCGGUCUGUCCAGGAUUUGCGCUGAACUUCUUUGGUGGGGAAAAGCUCGCCUUUAUUCCUGCAUCGCAGCGGGUUGGGCUAGAUGACCCUUGAGGUCCCUUCAAACUCUACAAUUCUCUGGUUCUGGGGUGGAGUCUGCUGCGAGCUACAAAAUUCUGCAUUAACUGCAGGAAGCUGAUUAUUUUAACCAAGCGGUUUCUAUGUUGAAAGCCUUGGAGAACUUUCUCUUGGAAAUAAUAGUAAAAAAUCCCCAUUAGCAAUCCUUUAUCCUUAUGCUGCUUUCUAACAAUUAAGGAAUCUGAAGCAUUUUCACAAACCCUCUCUGAAACAAUGAGGGUUUUUGGAAAUCAACAGUGCUAAAGAGGACCUGGUAUUUCCUUUUCUUUUUUUGGAAGGCAGAAUUGUGGUUUUGUCCUUUUUGAGCAGAAGGCGCUCUCUUGCUUUCUGCUCAGUGACUGUAAAUGGCAUUUAGGGUCGCGUGUGGUUUGUGCAGAAUGGAAAUGGGCUGGAAUGUUGACUUGUGUGCGCUCACAAUGUAAUUUUGCAGCUGCCCAGUCUCUGGGUUGCAGGGCACCCUUGCCAGCUGUUAGAAAAAGCAACACAGAGCCUUAUCCCAGCUGGUGAGCAACUCUUUUCACUGACUCAGCCCAGGCCGCUCCCUGAGUCAUCUCCACCACUUCCUAUAUCAUCUCAAUCAUUUCAUGCCAAUAAAGGAGAUGGAUUGAUUGAUCAUCUCAACAAAUGGUGAUUAAGAAUGCAUUUUGUUCCACACAAUUUGUUCCGCUUGGGACAGGGGACUCUUGCAUUUGUCAUGCUAAUUCCUCAUCAUAAAAAUCAAGAAUUCAGCUAUCGAAGCCUCACCCGAUGGUCACUUAAGUCUCUGCAUCCACACUAUGAAUUUUAAACUGGUUUUUAAUUGCUUCUAUUCAGUGACUGGAAGGUGGUGGAGCAGAUCUCCUCCAGAGAUUUCUGUGCAACCUUAUCGAACCUCAGUUCCCAAAGACCCAGAAGCGAUGGGGGUGGGUGCCUCUGACAGGAGGUUUAGCUAAGGACCGACUUAACAGUUUUAGAAACUCAGAUAUAUAAGCGAAUUGCCAAAUGGCGUCUUAGUCCUAGGUUUAUUGGCCGAGGGAGCUGGCGUACAGCUUCCAGGUCAUGUGGCCAGCAUGACUAAGCCGCUUCUGGAGAACCAGAGCAGCGCACAGAAACGCUGUUUACCUUCCCGCCAGAGAGGUACCUAUUUAUCUACUUGCACUUUGACGUGCUUUUGAACUGCUAGGUUGGCAGGAGCAGGGACCGAGCAACGGGAGCUCACCCCGUUGCGGGGAUUCGAACCGCUGACCUUCUGAUUGGCAAGUCCUAGGCUCUGUGGUCUAACUCACAGCGCCACCUGCGUCCCUGUAGUAGCAAUAGUAGUAAUGCAGUAGAUGAGCUCUUAUGCUUAACUGCUUAAGAAAGCUGGAGGGGCCAGCCAGGUGCGGAGAUGUCAAUCACCAACCUGACAUCUAGUCAUCUCCACUAGCGCCAGCUAUAAAUUGGAAUGCCACUGUUCCCAAUAUUAACGUAAUUGGGAUUAAAGUGGCUUUGGAAAAGGUGGGAUUUUUACACUCCCCCAUCUGCCUGUCCCUUGGCUCUUGGAGAUUUUUCUGCCCCACGGUCGAAGCAUUGGUUUAAAUGUUGUGUUUUUGGGGGGCGGGCGCAUGGUUUAAUAAAGAGUGUUCGUGCUCGGUUGCCUAAUGUCACACAAGUGCGCUUGGCCUGUUAACAGUGUGGGAUGGAGAGCCCCACUCCAAAAAACUCUUUUCACACGGUUGCUGGAUGCAUAACGUUCCUGUUUAGGGAAGCUUUUAAUGUUUGACACACUGUUGUAUUUUAGUAAUUUGUUGGAAGCAGCCCAGAGUGGCUGGGGAAACCCAGCCAGAUGGGCGGGGUAUAAAUAUAUUAUUAUUAUUAUUAUUAUUAAUUAAUUAAUUUUAUAAAUAGGUUUUCGAAACCACAAAACAGUACUGAUUUCAUAAAAUUCAUGCACUGCUUGAUUGUCAAGAAAAACAACAGCAACAACAACUCCAAGCGUUUUGGGGGGUGUUUUUAAUCUUACUCAGAGUUGACCUAUUGAAAAUAAUGGAUGUGAUUAAUUCAGGUCAGUUGAUUUUAGUGGCUCUGCUCUCAGAAUACACCUUAGUUGAAUGCAGCUGUGCGCGCGCACACACAUGUACGUGUAAAAUAAAGAUAAUAUACAUAUUAUUUUGAAGAUGCAUGCCUCUAGCUUUGCACAGGACUUCUCCGUCAUCCUCUUGACUGUGGGAAUGCUGCCAGACUGGGCUGAGCAGCAGGAUGACUCCAGUCUGUUGACCUCAGUCCCGUGAAAGCAAAGCCGAGGAGCUGAAUUGCAAAAUAACAAGGCGCUUGAAAGUGAGACGCAAUGCCUUGUCCGAGCAGUUGCUAUCAUUAUCUUGUACUUUUUGAGCCAAAGGUCUCACUUGGGCCAAGCAUUGCUUCUUUUUCUUGUUGUUGUUUUUUUUAAAAAAAUGCCUGCUAUGAACCACUUAUGGGACGCGGGUGGCGCGUUAAACCACAGAGCCUAGGACUUGGUGAUCAGAAGGUCGGCGGUUUGAAUCCCCGUGACGGGGUGAGCUCCCCUUGCUCAGUCCUUGCUCCUGCCAACCUAGCAGUUCGAAAGCACGUCAAAGUGCAAGUAGAUAAAUAGGUACCGCUCUGGCGGGAAGGUAAACGGCGUUUCCAUGUGCUGCUCUGGUUCGCCAGAAGCGGCUUAGUCAUGCUGGCCACAUGACCCAGAAGCUGUAUGCCAGCUCCCUCAGCCAAUAAAGCGAGAUGAGCGCCGCAACCCCAGAGUUGGCCACGACUGGACCUAAUGGUCAGGGGUCCCUUUACCUUAUGAACCACUUAUAUAUGAAGUGCUCUCUAUGAUGAAGGCCCCUCUGUAUGUUCCACCCCCUCAGUGGGUUUCAGGCUGGACAGAUCAGCAUAUUCUCUGACCCACCCCCAUCCCCAGACUGCUUUGCAGCAGCUUGAGAAGGACCAUAGUUCUGGGGCUGAGGAUCUGGUCUGCAAUGCAGAAGGUACCCAAUCCCCUCAUUGGUGGCAUUGAAGUAGCGUACAUCAAGGAUGUUCAACCUGCUCUGGCCCGAUAGGGACAGCAGCGCCUUGUCCCCAGUGUUCUGACAAAAGCUGAGUUUGAGCUGGUGCAGUUGGCAGAGGCCGUGUUUGAAAUUAGCCAGGCUAUCAGCCACCUGUGACCAAGUGAGGAUGUCUGGACUCCAGGAUGGCGUUUGACUCCUCCACCAUCUGGAAGAUGCAUGCCUGGAGAGCCUUGGAUAUGGGCUGUUUUCACUCACUUACCGUAUUUUUUGCUCUAUAAGACUCACUUUUCCCCUCCUAAAAAGUAAGGGGAAAUGUGUGUGUGUCUUAUGGAGCGAAUGCAGGCUGCACAGCUAUCCCAGAAGCCAGAACAGCAAGAGGGAUUGCUGCUUUCACUGUGCAGCGAUCCCUCUUGCUGUUCUGGCUUCUGAGAUUCAGAAUAUUUUUUUUAUUGUUUUCCUCCUCCAAAUACUUGGUGCGUCUUGUGGUCUGGUGCAUCUUAUAGAGCGAAAAAUACGGUAAUUAAUUCCACAACAUGUAGAAUUCUGUCAGUUCUAUUUUAUCUGCACCGUCGGAAUGAAUUUCAGAAACCAAAAUGCUGUUUUUGAGCAGCAGCAGUCACCAUUAAGAAAAAAGAUACACCCCCCCCAAACACACACACAGUGGUACCUCUAGUUGAGGACAUGAUCCAUUCCGGAGUGCCGUUCGCACCCCGAAAAGUCUGCAACUAGAGCAGUGCUUCUGCGCAAGCAUGGAGCGCGAUAGAGCACUUCUGUGCAGGCACGAAGCAUACAGAAUGCUUCUGCGCAUGUGCAUGGCGCGAAACCCGAAAGUAUACACUUCCAGGUUUGCCACAUUCACAACCCGAAAAUCUGCAACAUUAAGCGAAAGCAACAAGAAGUAUGGCUCUCUCUCUCUCUCUCUCUCUGUGUGUGUCCGUUCUUAACCUGAAACUGUUCUUAACCUGAAGACCACUUUAGCUAAUGGGGCCUCCCGCUGCCGCCGCUGCACGAUUUCUGUUCUCAUCCUAAAGCAAAGUUCUUAACCCGAGGUACUAUUUCUGGGUUAGCGGAGUCUGUAACCUGAAGUGUCUGUAACCUGAAGCAUAUGUAACCCGAGGUACCACUGUAUAUAUCAAGGUUGUCAUCUGAUCUAGCUAGAUGUUUAACCCAGAAUCAAUCACAGUCAUUUGAAAAACAAGACUUUGCCCCAAAAUGGCAACUAGGCAUUCUGUUUUGGUGACUGCAACCUUGGUUUAAGGAGCCAUUUGGAGCCUGGCUUAUAAAUCUGAGUUUCCAACAGUGUCAGAGGCCCUGGGCCAGAUACUGGCAGGUGAGAUGGAAGCUCACUGGGUGAUUUUGGGACAGUUACCAACUCCCACCACAUCCCAGCUCCGCCUCCUGGAAUGCCAUGAUAGAAAAGGUAGCAUGUGCAUAGAUUUAUAAAGCUACAAGGCAAGCAGUCUGACUUGCAUAAGGGGUGAGUUGACUUGCCAUCAGAGACUUCUUCUACCUAUGGUAUCAACGACUUGGAUGAUGGACUCAAGGGCAUCCUGAUCAAAUUUGCAGAUGACACCAAACUGGGAGGGGUGGCUAACACCCCAGAGGACAGGAUUAUGUUGAUUUAAGCAGAGUCUGUCGUGCCCAGCGGAAGGAUGAGGAAAAUGUGUUACAUACUCUAUAUUGCUUUAUUUACAGUUCAAAGCUGGUAUAUUACAGAAAGACAUCUUGCCCUGCCGGAGCAGAAAAAUGCAUCCUCUCUCCUCAACAGCUUGGAGAGAAUUACACAGUGAAAAAACAGGAAACCAGUGUACGUCACAUCCAGUCUCCCUUUCCCGUGAGAAACUCCAACAGUACAGACUGUGGAAUGUAAACACCUGUCUCAUGACAAGCAGAGCUGCACAGUGAAGGAAAGCAGAAACCAACAUCCUCCCCUUUCUGUGAACAUCACUGGGCAGCGUGUUCGUACAAUAUCAGUACAAACCCAACUUCUGCACAUAGGUACAGUGUUGAUCCCUUGAUACAAUCUUGGACAAUACAUCAGCAGGAAUUUCAUUACCUGGCAUAUAGGACACCGUUACGAGUCCCUUCUGAAUACAUUCCCUAGCAUGCUGCAACUUUAAUUGCAAGUGCUUUGUGCUUUGCUUACAACCUUCAGAUUUCAGCAAAGCCAAACAUGCUUUGUUGUCCUGGUAAACCUGGAUUGGACAUUUGACAGGAAUUUUCAUAUCUUUGCACAAUUGUACUUACCAUUCACAAUCCUUAAGUGAAUAAGACAGUGCAUUCAGUUCAGCUUCACAAGUACUUAAGCUAACUGUUGUUUGCUUCUUGCAUGACCAAUCAAACAGACUCUGAUUGUACAUAUAGCAAACUCCAGACGUACUUUUCCUGUCUGUAGCGUCACUUCCAAAACUUGCAUCUGCAAAUAUCUCAAGACCACCAGACUUCUGAUUGUUAAAUCUCAGUCUGUAAUGCAUAGUGCCUUUCAAAUACCGCGCUAUGCGUUUCAGAGCUUUCCAAUCCUUGACACUAGGAUUGUUGAUUUGUCUGCUUAGCAAAUUACAGCUAAUAGCAAUGUCUGGUCUUGAACAUCUGGCAAUGAAGUUUAGCUUGCCUAGCACACUCCUGUACAGUGUAGUGUCAGAAAAUGCUUCUUCAGUGUCAUCUACCUGAUAACCUGUUGUCAUCGGUGUGUCUACAGGGUUAGCAUCCAUCAGAUUUAGUUUGCUUAACACAUCAGCAAUUUUCCGUGACUGGUGUACUAGAAUGUUACCAUCUUGAUCUCUCUAUUUCCAGAGAUAGGUAGUUGUUUACCUCACCAAGAUCUUUCAUGUCAAAGUGCUCUUUCAGUUGAGCUAGGGCGCUAUUGUACAUUGCGACAUCUUUCCAAAAGAAUAAUAAAUCAUCAACAUAAAACAAACAGUACAGUUUCUUUUGCCCCUCCUCUUUGACAAAUACACAUGGAUCAGCUUUCCCUUGCUGAAAACCUAGAGAAAACAAUACUUCAGUGAGUUUUGUGUGCCAACACCGUGCACUUUGUUUGAGACCAUAAAGGGAUUUCUUCAGAGCACAAACAAAUCCCUGUUUAACCUGUACGCCAUCAGGUGGAAGCAUAUAAAGUGAUUCAUCUAGAGAUCCGUACAGAAAAGCUGUAUUAAUAUCAUGGUGACUAAUGUGUAGAUUUUCCUCUGCAGCUAGCUUGAGCAUAAGCCUAAUGCUUUCAUAUCUCACUGUGGGUGAAUAGGUCUCGUGAUAGUCUUCACCUGGUACCUGUGCAAAACCUCUGGCUACCAAUCUGGCUUUGUGUCUGACUAUCUUGCCAUUUUGAUCUGUCUUCGCUUUGAAGACCCAUUUGCUUCCAAGCAGUUUCAUUCCUGGAACUACUGGAACUAGCUCCCAUGUUUUGUUCCUUUCUAAGGAAUCAAGCUCAGCCUUCAUGGCAUUUAACCAUGGCUCAGCUUCCUUUGAAUCCAAACCCUGGAUUUCUUGGAAACUUGAAGGUUCAAAUACCUUCUUGGAGCUUUUAACAGCUGUUACUGCUAUCUUAGCAAACUCAUCAGCAAAUCUCUUUGGAGGUUUGCCUUUUGUGGCUCUCUGUGACCUACGAAUUAGCCUUAAGUCUUCAACACUCUCCUCUUCCUUCUUAGGAGAAAAACGACCUAUUGUGAACAAUGGUUCCUCCAAUUCUUGAUCAGAGCUUUCAGAGGGUCGCAUAGAGGCUUUCGCACUCUUGAAAUCCUCUGAAUCACCCGAUUCAGUUUCAGAUUCAGACUCAGAACCUUCAUCAGUGGGUGUGGGCUGUUGUGGUUGCUUUUGACUAUCCUCAGUCUCAUCACCGUCAUCAGGAUAACAUUGGAAAAUUCCCACAUUCUCCCCCACUUUGCAUUGUACUCGACACUUCUCGUGAGCUUAAUUGUCUUAGAGUCAGUCAUCAUUAUUCUGUAAGACCCUUUCUGAUAACCUAGAAAGAUACCAUGCAAUCCACGCUUGUCUAACUUGGAGUUUUGUGGUGAGCGAACCCACAUGUCAGAACCAAAAAUCUUCAUGUGUUUGAUGUAUGGCUUCUUGCCAAACAUCUUCUCAUAGGGGGUACAACCAAUCGCUGAAGAUAAUCUGCGAUUGUAACUGUAAACAAAACACGAGAGAGAUUCGGCCCAAUAACUCUCUGGAAGAUUGGCAUCAUGCAGCAAGGUUUUUAGACCUUGAAGCAAUGUCUGAUUUGCCCGUUCCGCAAGUCCAUUCUGCCAUGGCGAGCGAGGACUAGACAAAUCGUGUUGAAUUCCUUUCUCAGUCAGAAAAGCUUCAAACUGCUGAGAAGUGAAUUCCCCGCGAUCACUGAAAAGAGUCUUUAUCUUCUUACCAUGCACAUUUUCCAACCAAGCACAGAAUUCCUUGAACCUAGGAAAAGCCUCCGAUUUCUGCUUGAGAUUGUACACAAAAAUAUAUCUAGAAAAUGCAUCAAUGAGAACCAUGAAGUAUCUAUUUCCACCCAAAGAGGGCGGUAGUGGUCCAACCAAAUCAGCAUGAACAACCUGGUAUGGUUCUGUAGCUUUCCUACUAGACACCUUACCUUUCGCAGCCAUUUUCACCUUGUUUGCUGCGCAUGCUUUGCACUUCAUGUGGUACCUGCAGGGUUUAAUAGUCAUACCUUCAACCAAGGCAGGCAUUUUAGAUACUGCCUCAAAAUGCAAAUGACCAAAUUUGCGAUGAAAAUCGUGAAUACAUUCUGCAUGCAAACUUUUGUUAGAACCUGCAAUGCAACAAGUGUCAUCCUGCACCACAUCAUCAUAAUACAAAACAAACAAAUGAUCAACAUAUUCUGCAUGCAAUACAUAAUCAUUUUUCUUUGUGAUGAUGCACUUCUUGUUCUUGAAGGAAACGUCAAUGUUCCGCUCAUUCAGCUGUCCAACACUGAGCAGAUUAUGUUUGGCGUCUGGCACGUAAAGCACAUUCUGUAUCGAUAAGUCCAAACUGUGAAGAACAACAGUUCCGUAGCCUUUACUGGGAAUAGUGUGGUCAUCCGCCUGGUGAAUCGCACCUUCCUGCGGUGUAAAAGACACAAACAGUUUCUUAUCGUUGCACAUGUGGUGGGUGGCCGCUGAAUCAACAACGAAGAAAGAUCUAGACGUCUUCUGGACCUCUGCAACCUUUGGAGUGAAGCGUGAAACCAUAGCCUUGUGCUGGGUUGUCCUAGACACCGGACCUUUGCCUUUGCCUCGGCCUUUUCCGCGCGAUGAGCUUUCGCUGCGCUGCUCUGUCUUGGCCCUGGGAUGUCUGCAUUCCCUCUUCAUAUGGCCUAGACGUCCACACGAGUAGCAUUUGACUGCCUUCAAAGCUUUGGCGCCAUCUGGUGGUUCCACUGCACUAUGGGAUGACGUCUGUGAAGACUCCCUUGCCCAUGCAGCUAGCACCCCGGCGAUCUGCUUCAUUUAAAAUCACGGCAGUAACAAAGUCCACUGUCAGCUGAGCAGUUGGUUGCACAGCAAUCUGGGUUGCAACAGACUCCCAACCUGAACCCAAAGAUUGUAGUAUCAUGAAAGAAUACACAGCCUCUGGAAAGUUGAGUCCUCUCUGUUGCAGCUCAUGUCUCAGAUUUUGCAUCUCCAUCAAAUGUAAACGCACAUCUCCACCUUCAGCAAGAGCCAUAUUAUGCAGCUUGUUAAAAUAAAACAUAGUGGAUCCAGCUUCUGUCCUUAAGUGAGCCUCUUUCAGAGCGUCCCAAAUUUCUCUGGCUGAGGUCUUAUCACGCAAUAGACAGAGCUCUUCUGGGGAUACUAUCAAUGUAAGAGUUCCCCUUGCUUUGGAAUCCUUAGCUUCCCAUGCAUCUGUAACUGGAACUGGGGGGGUUCCUGUAAUCACUUCAAACAAACCCUCUUUCCGCAGAAUUGCCUCUGCAUACUGAACCCAAUCGCUGUAAUUUUUCUUGUUGAGCUUGGGAAUCCCACAAGCAUCCUGAAGGGCCAUCAUGACCCUGGCAUUAGCCUUCAGCGUCAUAUCUAUGCUGCUUUAAAUCUUGCUGCGUCACUGCUGCAGCUGCCUUAUCCAAAGGCACACUUAAAAGUUACUUUCGAUUUCCCCAGCAUAGUGACUUGUGCCUGGGAGCCUUUGCCUAUUCCCGGCAAAACCGGCUUUAAAAGUUCAAAGUCCAGCCAUAAAGCCAUUAACUUGAAGCUGGCAGGCUGCCCGGAGCAGUAGCACAUACCUCAUCAAUCACUUCUACGCGCAGAGCAGAUUCCUUUCCGAUCCGUCCCUCUGCAUUCCGAUCCUCUGCCGGCACUCCGAUUCGACCUCUGGAGUCCAUAACCACGUGUUGAUUUAAGCAGAGUCUGUCGUGCCCAGCGGAAGGAUGAGGAAAAUGUGUUACAUACUCUAUAUUGCUUUAUUUACAGUUCAAAGCUGGUAUAUUACAGAAAGACAUCUUGCCCUGCCGGAGCAGAAAAAUGCAUCCUCUCUCCUCAACAGCUUGGAGAGAAUUACACAGUGAAAAAACAGGAAACCAGUGUACGUCACAUCCAGUCUCCCUUUCCCGUGAGAAACUCCAACAGUACAGACUGUGGAAUGUAAACACCUGUCUCAUGACAAGCAGAGCUGCACAGUGAAGGAAAGCAGAAACCAACAGAUUACACUUCAAAACGACCUUGACAGAUUAGAGAACUGGGCCAAAACAAACAAGAUGAAUUUUAACAGGGAGAAAUGUAAAGUAUUGCACUUGGGCAAAAAAAAUGAGAGGCACAAAUACAAGAUGAGGGACACCUGGCUUGAGAGCAGUACAUGUGAAAAGGAUCUAGGAGUCUUGGUUGACCACAAACUUGACAUGAGCCAACAGUGUGACGCGGCAGCUAAAAAAGCCAAUGCAAUUCUGGACUGCAUCAAUAGGAGUAUAGCAUCUAGAUCAAGGGAAGUAAUAGUGCCACUGUAUUCUGCUCUGGUCAGACCUCACCUGGAGUACUGUGUCCAGUUCUGGGCACCACAGUUCAAGAAGGACACUGAAAAACUGGAACGUGUCCAGAGGAGGGCAACCAAAAUGGUCAAAGGCCUGGAAACGAUGCCUUAUGAGGAACGGCUAAGGGAGCUGGGCAUGUUUAGCCUGGAGAAGAGGAGGUUAAGGGGUGAUAUGAUAGCCAUGUUCAAAUAUAUAAAAGGAUGUCACAUAGAGGAGGGAGAAAGGUUGUUUUCUGCUGCUCCAGAGAAGCGGACACGGAGCAAUGGAUCCAAACUACAAGAAAGAAGAUUCCACCUAAACAUUAGGAAGAACUUCCUGACAGUAAGAGCUGUUUGACAGUGGAAUUUGCUGCCAAGGAGUGUGGUGGAGUCUCCUUCUUUGGAGGUCUUUAAGCAGAGGCUUGACAACCAUAUGUCAGGAGUGCUCUGAUGGUGUUUCCUGCUUGGCAGGGGGUUGGACUCGAUGGCCCUUGUGGUCUCUUCCAACUCUAUGAUUCUGUGAUUCUAUGUCAAAGUGGCCGGAUUGGAUUUGCAAUCUGAGAUGCAUAUCAAAGGGCUCUCCCAGUGAAGUUCCCUUAGACUGGAUUAGCUUGACCUGUGAUGGAAGAAUCCUCUUCCCAGUCCUCUAGGUGGGUUGUAUCAGGUGACCUCAGAGUUGACAGAGGUCUCUUCUCCAUCCCAAGGUUGGGUGUUGCACAAGCUGCUAGGAGAAACCCGAACUUCACUUGUUCCUCUUGAGUUUGCAUCACGGGCAAUCUGACCCCCCCCCCCAGCCCCGGAUUGCAGCUCACUUGGUUGCAACACACUUCAGAAUGCAGAGUCUCGGAGGUAGAGAUUAUCUCCCAAAUGUCUGUCCCUUUCAGGAAUGCUGACCCUGAAUGACGAGAUCUUGCCCUGCCCCCCCCCCGUGCUGGCUUGCUCUCGUCUAGAUUUGCGCAGUUCUACCUAUCAGAUCACUGUCAAAGGUUUCUUAGAGGAAGAGGCCUUUUCCCACCGGUAGGACAUCUGCGCUGCAUGCAGAAGGUUUAAUCCCCAAUGACAUCUCCAGGUAGGGCUGGGAAGGUCCUGGGCUGGGAAUCCUGGACCGCUCCUUCCAGUCAGUGUAGGAAACACUGACUGAACCAAUGGUCUGGCUCUGUAUAAGGCAGACUCCUCUGUUCCCUAUUCUGGUAGGACCCCUGAUCAUUAGGUCCAGUUGUGGCUGACUCUGGGGUUGUGGCGCUCAUCUUGCUUUACUGGCUGGUAUACAGCUUCCGGGUCAUGUGGCCAGCAUGACUAAGCCCCUUCUGGCGAACCAGAGCAGCACACAGAAACACCGUUUACCUUCCUGCUGGAGCGGUACCUAUUUCUCUACUUGCAGUUUGACGUGCUUUCGAACUGCUAGGUUGGCAGGAGCUGGGACCGAGCAACAGGAGCUCACCCCGUCGCAGGGAUUGAACCGCCGACCUUCUGAUUGGCAAGUCCUAGGCUCUGUGGUUUAACCACAGCGCCACCCACAUCCCAAGGAUGCUCAUAGAGUGAGCAAAUAAUUUGAGGCUUUACAGAUGAUUUUGGACUCCAACCCACAUCAUUCUUGACCCUUCAUCCAGCUGGCUGGUGGGAUUUGUAGCCCUGUAGCAUCUGUAGUCCAAUGACACCAUGUUCGCUACCUCUAGUCUGUUUACAAGUGUGGAGGUUUUUUUUUUUGGGGGGGGACAGGUUGGCUGAUGGUGAAGCCUUGAAGUCCAUAUCCGGUCCCACCCUUAAGACUGAAUGUGAGUGGAGGUAGCAACUUCUUCGCUGUGCCCCACUCAGUUUACUGUCUAGCCCAGGGUUUCCCAAACUUGAGUCUCCAGCUGUUUUUGAACUACAACUCCCAUCAUCCCUAGCUGGCAGGAUCAACGGUCGGGGGUGGUGGGAAUUGUAGUCCAAAAACAGCUGGAGAAACUCUAGUCCUGAUGAUGAGUUCUGGAGAAUUCAGAAGCUUGCAUACUUUUGUGACAUUUUGCUUACUCUAGCAAAGGGGUUGCUUGUUCUAAUAUUUGGUGCUUUCUUCUUCUUAAUGAGCCCACAAGGCUAUCUUUUUGUCCCCCCCCCCCGAACACUUAGUUCCUGCUUAUCAAUCCCAUCCUGAACUCUAAGUCUUCCUGCACAACUCCUUCUCUAUCCCAAACUAAAAGGUAAAGGUACCCCUGACCGUUAAGUCCAGUCGUGGAUGACUCUGGGGUUGCGGUGCUCUUCUCGCUUUACUGGCCGAGGGAGCCAGUGUUUGUCCGCAGACAGCGGCCAGCAUGAAUAAGCCGCUUCUGGCGAACCAGAGAAGCACACGGAAACAUCGUUUACCUUCCCACCGGAGCAGUACCUAUUUAUCUACUUGCACUUCGAUGUGCUUUCAAACUGCUAGGUGGGCAGGAGCAGGGACCGAGCAGCGGGAGCUCACCCCGUCAUGGGGAUUCGAACCGCCGACCUUCUGAUUGGCAAGCCCUAGGCUCUGUGGUUUAGACCACAGCGCCACCCACGUCCCUUACAUCCACAACUAGACACCAUCAAUUGUGGUCUCUACGCCCCACCCCCCCUUUGGCAACUCUUGCCUGUCAGAUAUAGACCGCAUGUGCUCUAUUAUUAUUAUUUAGGGAAGCUUUUAAUAUUUGUUGAAUCAUUGUAUUUUAAUAUUCUGCUGGAAGCCGCCCAGAGUGGCUGGGGAAGCCCAGCCAGAUGGGUGGGGUAUAAAUAAUAAAUUAUUAUUAUUAUUUAGACAGAGACCCUGCAAACUUCCCCUUUCCAUACAGCUGUGCUGGCUGGGGGCGGAUUUUCAUAGUCUGAAACAUCUGAAGGGCAUCUGGUUGGGAAAGGCUUCAUUCCACGCAGAGCCUCAUUUUGCCAUUCCAUCCUUUGAAAACGAAAUGCUUCACAUUGCAUACUUUCUGUUUUGCAAUCAGAAUAACCUUGCGAGGCCGGUCACUCUUGAAUUCGUGCAUUCAAGGGUUGCAGAUGGGGAACUGAGGCUGGGAGAGAGCAACUUGCCCCCGCCCACCCGAGAACGUGGAGCGGAAGCAAUACUGAACUUGGGUUGGCCGAGUCCAGCUUCUGCAUUCACAUGGAUUGCACAAUUGGCCUAGCAAAAACAUAAUUCCUUGCUCCCUAGCUCUCUCUCUGUGCGGCAAAUAAUUUGCAAACACUACCAGGGACUUCCUAUCCUAAAACUAGCACUAAUACGCCCAGGAACCUCACCAAAAUGCUGGAGAGGGUGCACCUCCACAGGCACAUACCUCCACAUGUGGUGGGAGUGCCCCAAAAUCCAACUAUUCUGGACAACAGCCAUAUGAGAAAUAUGUAAAAUAACUAAGCAAGUAUUAGACAUCACCCCAGAACUAGUCCUACUAAACAUCUUCCAAGACAACAAUGCCCACUUACACCACAAAUAACUCAUAACCCACCUACUUUCAGCAGCCAGAAACACCAUAACUAGACACUGGAGAGACCUGUCAGGAGUAAGCAUGGACCAAUGGUACCAAAUAGUAUGGGAAACAGCCCUACUAGAAAAAUUAACCAAUAAACUGAAACUGACACGGGGACAAAUAGAAGAAGACGCCUUUACCCUGGUAUGGCUCCCCAUUAUUGCGUACACAGCCCAACAGGACAAUGACAAUAAUCCACCAACAGCAUACAAAUCAAUAUGGCUAACCUGAUCCAAAACACCCACCCACCCCACUCACACAUGAAAACAAAGGCCACCACAGCCAACCACAAAUGAACAACCACACCCUAGGCCAACCCCAACCUCUCUCACCACCAAAGGAACACAAGUGAACAGCAGAGAACCGGCACGAGUAACGCUGACACCAAACCCUACAUACAUUAAGCAAAAUAGAAGCACCACCACCCGACCCCCCCUCCACCCCUUUUCUUCCUAAUGUCUCAACAAAUGAAACAGAUUUGUAAAAAUGUUACAUGGAAAAAAUACGAGAGACAUUACACAUACUUAUGUAAAUCAAGAACAUCUUUAAUAAUAAAACGGUAGCGGGGACUUCCUAUCCUCUCUGAAGGAUGAUUUUCCCGGUUCCAUAACGAAGCACAGAGAUGAGAGCGAGCUGGUGGCGAUCAGCAAAAUGUCUCGGGAUAAUUUGUUGAGGGAUGGAGGGCGUGUUGGGUGUAAUCUGAGGACAGCGGCCUCCUCUCGAGGAGUUACAUAACUCGCUUUCCAUUUUGGCCGCUCUCUCCCGGCUAGGAACAGUCCCAUCUUCCCCUGAAACCCAGCAUGCCAGACCUCAUCAAUUACACAUGCAUUGUUGCCCUUUGGGAAUAAUAAAACCCAAUAGCGGAGCAAACAGGCCGGUUUUGCUCUCUGGCAGAGACGCCUCUCCAGCCUCCUCUGCGCUUUUCUCCGGUUCCUGACUGAGUACCAAAACCGGAAUCUCAUCCCAGGAGCCUCCGUCUCCUUCAAACAGCCCCGGCUUAUCGGCGUGCGUUUGGAACGCGGUGCCAGCUACAUGGGUGUUUGGAGAUUAAAAAUAAAUAGGAGACAAUGGCACUUCCUCUUGGCUGCGAUUUAUCACUUAAUAACAAGAGGGUUACUCAUUUCCUCUGGAAAGUGUCUCUAAAAGUUUUGGAGAAGUGGUGCUGCUCUUGAGUUUCUCUCCCUGCUUCCUUAUUUAUUUUGUUAUAAUGAUUCUUGCCUAAAUCAUGCCUCCUUUAUUUGUUUGAAUCGCUCUUUUCGUGUAGGGGAGUUGCUGGAGAUCUCCUAUCCUUAAAUCCUUCUCAGCUCAGGCUUGUAUCAGUUGCUACAGGCUCCCUUUAUGUCAUGGUAGCCGUUUUCAGCGCACACCCCACCCCCCCAAACUUUCUGCAGUUACAUAGGACUUGCAGCUAUCUGAUGUCAGGAAAUGUUUGAUUAGGUGACUCAUGGCUGUAGCUGGAACAUCAGAGAGAGAGUUGUGUCAACCUUAGGCAUCCCUGGCAUGUUGAUUGAACUUUCUCCCUUCUAAAAAAACUGGAUUGACUCCUCCCCGUGGAGGAAUAUCAGUGUCCUUCUUUCCUUAUCAGAAGCCCCAGAGAAUCACGUUUUUCCCCCCAUUCUGUCAUUCCCUGAUAGGAUUCUCUGCGAAGAGGCCAGACUUCAUUGCCACGGGCCAUGAAAGGAACCUUUUGUAGCUGAAAGCAGCAGCCCUUUUUAUUUUCUUCCUUUGCAUAUGCUCCUUAACACCAACAUGGUUUUGUUUUUGUUUUUUUUAAAUCACAUCGUUCAGAUGUACUCAGAGAACCUUUCGAAAGGAAAGAGACAUUUGCAAAGGGGAGGUCAGGAAUCUUCCCACCUGAGUUUCCAGGAAUAAUAGGGUGUUGGUGACUUUGCUCAGCAGGGGUAGUCAAUAUUGUGCCCUCCCAAUCGUAGAAUUGUUGAGUUCGAAGGGACCAUAAUAAUAAUAAUAAUAAUAAUAAUAAUAAUAAUACGUUUUUAUUUAUACCCCGCCCUUCCCGGUUCAAAAACCAGGCUGAGGGUGGCUAACAACAAAUUUAAAACACUUAAUUAUAAAAGCAGCAUAAAAUACAGUAUGAAAACAUGAAUAACAAUAAAAUUCAAAAAUCAAUUUAGGGGAAAUAAGCAUUAGAUAAUCCCCAGGGCUAGUUGGCUGAAUUGGUCCUACUUGGGCCAGUGAGGAGGCCAGGGGAGAAUUAGCUGUGGGGUCUCAGAGCGGGUAAUCUUCAUAAAAGGGGAGGGGGAGGGAAGAGAAGGGAAAUAGAAGAUCAGGCUGAAUUCAAAUUAAAGGCCAGGCGGAAUAGCUCUGUCUUACAGGCCCGACGGAAGGAAGUUAAAUCCUGAAGGGCCCUAGUCUCAUGGGACAGAGCAUUCCACCAGGUUGGAGCCAUCACUGAGAAGGCCCUGGCCCUGGUGGAGGAUAGUCUGACUUCCUUAGGGCCUGGGACCUCUAAACUAUGGUUAUUCAUGGAACUUAAGGUCCUCUGAGGGUCAUCUAGUCCAGGCUUCCUCAGACUCGGCCCUCCAGUUGUUUUGAGACUACAAUUCCCAUCAUCCUUGACCACUGGUCCUGCUAGCUAGGGAUCAUGGGAGUUGUGGGCCAGAAACAUCUGGAGGGCCACGUCUGAGGAAGCCUGAUCCAGUCCAACCCCCUGCAGUGCAGAAAUCUUUGGCCCAAUGUGGGACUCGAACCCAUGACCUUGAGAUUAACAAGAGUCUUGUGCUCUACCAACUGAGCUACACCAGGUCUCAUAAUCCUAGAAUUGUGGAGUUGGAAGGGACCAUGAGAGACACCUAAUCUAACCUUUGCAAUGCACGAAUCUUUUGCCUAACAUGGGACUCCAACUCAUGACUCAUGCUCUGCCAACUGAGGUAUCCUAGCUGCAUCACGUUGGACUACAACUCUUCUCAGCUGCAGCCAGCAUGGGCAAUGAUUGAGCAUCAUGGGAGUUGCAGUCCAACAAUAUUGGACAGACCAUUUAAGCCACUCCUCUGUUCUGCAUCCUUUAGGGGAGAUCAAAGUUCCGCUUUUAGGCGCAGGAAGCGGUGGGGGAACUGAGUGCGAACCACAAUGACAGUGGUCUUGAAAGCUGUCUUCUGUGGGAGCUCUGCAGUUCCUCCACGAGAUGGUCAGUCGCCGCGAGCAAGCUUCCAUGAAACGCUGUUCCUCUGUCUUCUCCUGCAAAGUGCAUCCACCCAAGAAUUUGGGGUAGUCCUGGAUGCUGUCUUAAGUUAAUGUGCCACAAUUUGCGCUGACUCCCUGGGGUGCUGUGGAUUCCACCCCCAGACUGCCGGCACAGUGCCCACAUGUGUUUGCUGUGAAGGUUGAGGAACACACUGGCAGAGAGUCCUUCCUUUGCAGAUGGGUGGGAUAUAAAUAAUAAAAUUAUCAGUUUUUGUUAUUAUGCAGAAGGUCCCAGGUCUCUAGGUAGGGCUGGGAAUGUUCCCGUGUCUGAAAACCCUGGUGCUUGUCACUUUAGACAGAACUGAACUAGAUGAACGAAUGGUCUGGUUCAUCGGAUUCCUACGUACAUUUCAAAACUCAUUGCAUGCUCUUCCCAGCCUCUAUGAGGGUGUGCCUUCGUUGACUUCCACCGUGGUGGCAACCAAAUUCUGGACUUUUAUUGAGUCUUCAGAUAUUGUGUAGUUUUGCUGGGUGAAGUCCCAAGUUCCUCCACAUUCUGGAUCCCCAGGUGGUGUUGCAUUGAAAUUGAACAGGAGGGGCUCAUCCAUCUGUAAAUGACCAUGCCCACCAUCUAAUUGUUCUCAGAAUAUCCCAUGAUCCUUUUGCUCUGCUGAGUGGCAGCAUUGCUGUGGCUCUAGGAAAUUUCUGGCUUGGACAACUUGAUGAUUUAAGUCCGCUGUUCCUUUCCCCGAUGUUGCUAUUGUUGCGGGCUGUUUUCCUUUUUUAAUUCGGCAAUAAAACGGCCCUGUUUAUCUGGCCUUUUGUAGCAACAGGAUGCCUGCAGGGAAAAGCCAGUGUGUUGAAAAAACUGAGGCCAGAACACAGCUUGCUUCUCUCUCCCUCCCCCCCUUUUUUUUGCACAAUACUUAAAUCACUUCCAUAGCACUGACUUCUUAUAUUAUGCAAACAUUGGUGAAUAUUUUUGUGAAAUUGUACAUCUAUCAUAGAACAUAGAAUUGUAGAAUUGGAAGGGACAUCGAGAGUCAAUCUAGUCCAACCCCUUCCAUGCAGGAAUCUCAGCUUAAACAUCCAUGACAGUUGGCCAUGGUUGCUUUACAGAAGUUGCUUUGUUGUCAAAUCCUUCCAAAUUGUGGUUAAUCCUACCUAUAAUAAUAAUAAUAUAAUAAUAAUUUAUUAUUUAUACCCCGCCCAUCUGGCUGGGCUUCCCCAGCCACUCUGGGCGGCUUCCAACAAAAUUUUAAAAUACCAUAAUACAGCAAACAUUAAAAGCUUCCCUAAACAGGACUGCCUUCAGAUGUCUUCUAAAAGUCUGGUAGUUGUUGUUCACUUUGACAUCUGGUGGGAGGGUGUUCCACAGGGAGGGCGCCACUACCUCUGCCUGGUUCCCUGUAACUUGGCUUCUCACAGGGAUGGAACCACCAGAAGGCCCUCCGCGCGGGACCUCAGUGUCCGGGUAGAAUGAUGGGGGUGGAGACGCUCCUUCAGGUAUACUGGACCGAGGCCGUUUAGGGCUUUCAAGGUCAGCACCAGCACUUUGAAUUGUGCUUGGAAACGUACUGGGAGCCAAUGUAGGUCUUUCAAGACCGGUGUUAUGUGGUCUCAGCGGCCGCUCCCAGUCACCAGUCUAGCUGCUGCAUUCUGGAUGAAUUGCAGUUUCCGGGUCACUUUCAAAGGUAGCCCCACGUAGAGCGCAUUGCAGUGGUCCAAGCGGGAGAUAACCAGAGCAUGCACUACUCUGGCAAGACAGUCUGAGGGCAGGUGUGGUCUUAGCCUGCAUACCAGGUGGAGCUGGUAAACAGCUGCCCUGGAUGCAGAAUUGACCUGUGCCUACAUGGACGGCUGUGAGUCCAAAAUGACUCCCAGGCUGCGCACCUGGUCCUUCAGGGGCACAGUUACCCCAUUCAGAACCAGGGAGUCCUCCACACCUGCCCGCCUCCUGUCCCCCCAAAACAGUACUUCUGUCUUGUCAGGAUUCAACCUCAAUAACUGUGGUCUAUUGAGAAGACAAACAAACCUAUCUUUCACCUCUGGUUCAUGGAGCUGCCUUCUUUCAGCUAACCAGAAUUGAGAUGGGUCAUAACUUAGGUUUCUGCUGACCCACUAAACUGUGGUUAACCUGAAGUGGAAGUCUGAUUCCCUUCUUGCAGCCAGAGCCUUGCUCUCGCAACCCUAAACCGUGGCUAGGCAUGACAACCAGUGUGGCACGCAUUGUAUCUCCCGCUUCAAUGGGGAGAGGAAGAAAUCCCUGUUCCGGCAAUUGAAAGUUUGGGAAGCAAAUGUCUAGUUGUCAGGUUGAAGCUGAACGUUCUUCCUGCGGGAGCGGCAGAAGAUCAGAGAAAAGGGAUUAGCUUUGCUUGACGCAAAGGUAGCUGAGUCAUAGGGCAUCACCUCCUCCCCAAACCGAGGACCCACGGUGACAGGUGGAUGCGCCGGAGGAGCUUAGCGCCUCGCCCCUGGCUACUUCUGUUCCAUUUUCCUCCACCUGCUUAUCUGUGCGGCGUGAGAAAUUACACAGCGCCGGUGGUGCGUUCGCAGCAGCAGGGAAAGUGGCAAAGUACCUUUGCCAGUAAACACUUGACAAGCCUUUGUGCGUCAGCCCUCGUGCUCUCUGCCCCGGUUUCUCAAUAACAAGCAAGAUGACCUAGCUCUGUCAGUACUUGUGUGCCAGGGGAGAGAGAGCUGUUGUCUGUUUUCUCCCCGUUCAAGAUCAGUUUGCUACUCCUGCCUUCCCCCGGACCUGUAAAUUUAGCCUCAUGUUUUUUGGCUGCCGAGACCUUGCCGGUCUUGCUACAGCUGCGAAUUGAUUCCCGCCCGCUCUUGAGUCUUUUCCCUGCUUUCCUCCCUUUCUCCAUCCCUUUAAGUCGCCUGUAAUCGACUUUGGCUGACGUCCCGGAGCUGAGAGCUAGGCGCACACACACACACACAGGCUGGAAAGGGCAACUUGAGACUUUUAAACCAUAAAGCUGAGUUCUGUCUGCGCUAUGGUGGGAGGAGAAAUUCAAAUGGAUUUAUUAUUUCUCUUUGCUCGGAGAUGACGGGAAGUUUGCACACUCCUCUGCGACUUUUGUCUGGAAAAUCUGGACAGCUGCUGCCGGUCAGUGUAGGCAGUCCUUAAGCUUGAUGGGUACCAGCAGUCUGACUCAGUAUAAGUAUGAGGCAGCUUCCUAUGUGCUAUGUUGCGUUUCUCCAAUACCCCUAAAAAUCUGGAGGCUGCUUGCCUUGCCAUGUGGGACCGUAGCUGAAGAAGAAGAAGAAGAAGAAGAAGAAGAAGAAGAAGAAGAAGAAGAAGAAGAAGAUGUACCCUGCCCACUUGACUGGGUUGCUCCAGCCACUCUGGGAAGCUUCCAACAUAUAUAAAUUUAUGGGACCGCCUCUCUUGGUAUGCCCCACAGAGGACCUUAAGGUCCAUGAAUAACCAUAGUUUAGAGGUCCUGGGCCCUAGGGAAGUCAGAUUAUCCUCCACUGGGGCCAGGGCCUUCUCAGUGAUGGCUCCGACCUGGUGGAAUGCUCUGUCCCAUGAGACGAGGGCCCUGCAGGAUUUAACUUCCUUCCACAGGAACUGUAAGACAGAGCUAUUCCUCCUGGCUUUCGAUUUGAACCUAACCUGAUCUUUUAUUCUCCUUCCUUCCCUCUCCCUCCCCUUUCUAUGAAGAUUACCCACUCUGGGAUCCCACAGCUAAUUCUCCCCUGGUCUCCUCGCUGGCCCAAAUAGGAUUAAUUUAGCCAGCUAGCCCUGGUGAUUAUCUAAUGUUUAUUGGAUGGAUUUUCCCUCUAAAUUGAUUUUUGAAUUCUGAAUUUAUUGUUAUUCAUGUUCUAGACUGUAUUUUAUGCUGUUUUGUUGCAUCAAUUAAAGGUUUUAAAUUUGUUAUUAGCCAUCCUGAGCCCGGUUUUCUGAACCGGGAAGGGCGGCGUAUAAAUAAAAAAUUAUUAUUAAAACAUAAUAAAACAUUAACACGUUAAAAGGCUUCCCUAUAUUCUUCCUAGCCCAGGAUGGUCCAUUUUUGACUGAUGGCUGGUUGCCUAGGGAGACAAACAGAGGGUCUCUCCAUCCUUUCACCUGGACGAGCUCAGGGUUAGAGCACCUGCUUUGCAUCCAGAAGGACCCAGGUACUGCCCGGGGCAUCUCCACAGGUAGGGAUGGGGACAACCUGCCUGAAGCCCUGGAGAGAUGCUCUAUCAGUCAGUAUGGACAUUUCUGAACUAGAUACUCAGCAUAAAGCAGCUGUCUCUGUACCUACAAGGGCAUGUUGCAGCUCACUUCCUUUCAAGGGAACCAGUGCUGUGUGAUGGUUAUGGUGGUGGGCUGGGACUUGGAGGUCUGGGGUUCAAAUCUCCUGGUCAGCCAUAGAAUUGUAGAUUUGGAAGGGACUACCGGGGUCAUCUAGUCCAACCCCCGCAAUGUAGGAAUCUCACUGGGUGUUCUUGAGCCAAUUGCUGUCUCCUAGCCUAUCCUACUUCACAGGGUUGUUGUAAGGAGAAAAUGGGGAGGGGGAGACCCUUGUCCGCCACCUUCAGCUCCUCGGGGGGGGGGGGGAGGUGGAAUGCAAAAUAAAAAGAUGAUAGAUAGAUAGAUAGAUAGAUAGAUAGAUAGAUAGAUGGAUGAUAGACAGAAUGGUUGCUUGGGAAUGUUCUCUCUUGUGCAGUAAACUCCAAGCUCUGAGUUUCAGAUCCUUGUUUGUCAUAUUUUUCUGCUUUUUUUAGUGGGGUGGAGGCUGUUGAAGUCACCACUCUGUGGCCUAGUGGUUAGAGCGUCGGCCCAGGACAGGGGUCAGCAAACUUUUUCAGCAGGGGGCCGGUCCACUGUCCAUCAGACCUUGUGGGGGGCAGACUAUAUUUUUUUUGGGGGGGGGGAAUGAACGAAUUCCUAUGCCCCACAAAUAACCCAGAGAUGCGUUUUAAAUAAAAGCACACAUUCUGCUCAUGUAAAAACAUCAGACAGGUCCCACAAAUAACCCAGAGAUGCAUUUUAAAUAAAAGGACACAUUCUAUUCAUGUAAAAACACGCUGAUUCCCGGACCAUCCACGGGCCGGAUUUAGAAGGCAAUUGGGCUGGAUCUGGCCCGCGGGCCUUAGGUUGCCUACCCAUGGCCUAGGACCUGGGAGACCAGGGUUCAAAUUGCCGCUCGGCCACUUGAUUUGAACCCGGGACAGUCAUUUACUCUCAGCCGAACCUACCCUGUAGGGCUGUUUUGAGGAUAAUUGGGGGGGGGGGCAGAGAAUUGUGGAAAGCACCUCGAGCUCCUUAGAAAAGGAAAGGUGGAGUACAAAUGUGAAAAAAAGAAUGCCAGAUAUGUACCAAAGUGCGAUUGCUUUGUACUUCUGAGUAGCCGGGAAGAACUGUAACCACAUCGGAAUUCAGGUCCUCUUUUUAAAUGACUCUCCCUCAGACGUUUCCAUUCGUUUUGUGCUGGGCUCAUCUCCCUAGCUCAUUCCAGGGCUGUGGUUCGUGGAGAGGAAUAACCUCAUUGUUUUGCUACCUCCCUGAGUGGGGUGAAUCAGCAAAGUAGAGAAAAAUCUUGCUAUGGCUCUCUCCCCUCUCUCUGUGUAACCACGAAGCAAUAAUACAGCAACUUGCUUUUUAAAAUUGCAACGAAACACGGCUGAAAGUUAGCAUGUGUCAUGCCCCUGGAGAGACGGGAGAGGGGCUGUUCUGCUUCUAGAGUUACUAAGCACUUACGGUAAAAAAUCUCCUCAUCAUCCUGAAUCCCUUCCAAAGCUCCAAACUCUCUCUCUUUUUUCCCCCAUGGGGAACUGGCAAACCGGCUGUUGCUGUUGCUGCUGCGUCACUCAGAUUUCUUCCCCUUUCGCCACGCCGUUUGGGAAAUGUGGUCUCUCAAGGAAAUGCAGUGUGUUGUCUUAGUGCGAAUAGCAAGAGAUUGCUCUUAUGUAAUCCUGCCUUUCAUUUGCUUCCAGCCUGCUUGGCAAAGAGGAAAAACAUUGCGAUGUGAUCUGAUGAAGUCGUAGUCCACAAAAGGGUGUGCCGCAGGGCAGUGUUGUUAAUAAUAAUAAUAAUAAUAAUAAUAAUAAUAAUUUAUUUUUUAUUAUUUAUACCCCACCCAUCUGGCUGGGUUUCCCCAGACACUCUGAGCAGCUUACAGCAUAUAUAAAAACAUAACAAAGCCUUAGACAUUAAAAAACAUUCUGAUACAGGGGCUGCCUUCAGGUGUCUUCUAAAAGUAGGUAGUUCUGUAUUUCCUUGUCAUCUGAAGGAAGGGCAUUCCACAGGGCGGGUGCCACCACCGAGAAGGCCUUCUACCUGGUUCCCUGUAACUUGGCUUCUCGCAGUGAGGGCACCACCAGAAGGCCCUCGGAGCUGGACCUCAGUUUCUGGGCUGAACAAUGGGGGUGGAGAUGCUCCUUCAGGUAUACUGGGCCGAGGCCUUUCUGCGAGAAGCCAGGUUACAGGGAACCAGGCAGAGGGCCUUCUCGGUAGUGGCACCCGCCCUGUGGAGCGCCCUCCCACCAGAUGUCAAAGAGAACAACAACUACCAGACAUUUAGAAGACAUCUGAAGGCAUCCCUGUUUAGGGAAGCUUUUAAUGUUUAACAAACCACUGUAUUUUAAUACUUUGUUGGAAGCCACCCAGAGUGGCUGGGGAUGCCAAAGGUAGGCUGGUUACCCACCUUUAAUUUAGAUUAAUUGUUUAGUUAAGAAAUUAGUUAAUUGAGUUAUUUAAUUAAUUAAGCGAUUUUUAAAAGGGUCAGUUGAUCACCUGCCUCUUGCAUUGCUAGCUGUCUCAGCUCUGGAAGCAUAUAGAAGCCUCUUGCAAUUCGGCAGUGAUCCAGAAAGGAUAUGUCCUCUCCCUGUUAUAUCUCAGACUCUGGCCAGAAAUAGAACGUGAGCUAUUGUUAAUAUAAGGGGUCAGUGAGCCUCAUGGUGAGCCUUAAAAUAGAUAUUUGCCAAAUAUUCUUCAGAAGGAGAAGGGAAGCAGAAUCCUGCAUCUAGACCCUUUAUUUUGACAGUACACAACAUCUGAUUCAGCCGCUUGCAUUUCCAGAUAAACGUGCAGUCCCCGUCAUUUCUGUCAAGGCUGUACCUGGGAAAAAACUCCCCACAAGGGAGUAAGUGUGUUGCGUCUCUUUGAUUGUAAUAGGCUGCAGAAGCAUCGCCUCAAUUAUCAUAGAAUUGUAGAGUUAGAAAGGACCACGAUCUAGUCUAACCCCCUGCCCAACGUGGGGUUCAAACCCACGACCCUGCGGUUAUAGAGUCUCAUACUCUACCCACUGGGCUACCCCAGAAUUAAUUCCAGUUGUUCCCCGUAAGUGGGGAGAGAUCUCCCCUUUUCCACAUUUUGUCAUUGGAAUGAAUGCAGUAAAUUGGCAUCUGUACCAAAUAUUGGCCUGGCGAACGGGUUACUAGCCUAUUUGCCCAGAGAGAGCGACCACAGCUCAGAGCGUCUACCUUGUCUGUCGAAGGCCGGCAGGUUCGAUCCCCGGUAAUUCAAGGUAGGGCUGGGAAAAACCCCUGCCCAGAACCCUGGAGGGCUGCUGCCAGUCAGUGCAGACAGCUCUGAUGGACCCAAUCCUCCAGCUCUGCAUAAGGCAUCAUCUUCCUAGGUUCUUAUGCAGGGCUAGGGACUUGUGCAUUAUGUGCUUGCACAACUGUGCUGUGCGCACCUAGGGUCUGGGAAGCAGCCACAGAAGUAAGAAAUGAAAGAUGCGUUGGUGUGGCAAAAGAUGUGUAGGCUCAAUCACUGGGGGCUACCGGCUUGGGUUUGUUUCACACGUCUCAAAGAAUUGUUGGGAUCCCAUUGGGCCUCCCUGUCUUUUCAUUUGCAGCUGUUCUGGGGCAAAACGACAGCAGGACAGCUUGGAUUUCGUGCUUUGAAAGUCCCCAGUUUCCCACAAAGCUGGGACCAGCUUGGAGUAUAUUAGAUGGUUGGCGGCAAAUCUCUCUUUACGCCUUCCAGGAAUUGAUGGUUGCCUUGACUUAAAAGACUCUUGAUAUACUGCUGGGGUGUGUGUGUGUGUGUGUGUGUGUGUGUGUGUGUGUGUUUUAAACAAACAACCACAUUUUCCACCCUUCUGGUAGGUCAGAUCUGCAUCUGCCACAAUUUCAUUUUUCUCUCCAUCUUAUUUGCAUGAUGAGUCUGUCAGCAUUUCAGGCCGUCCUCUAUAAAGAGACAUUUGACUCUUUUUCUUGAGGCUGGGCAGCCCCUGUGGCUGGAAACUACCGAUGGGGGAAUCCCCCCCAGAUUUUUCUCGUCUUGCAAGAGAGCCUCUGACCAGUCGAAGGGAAUUCUGCAAGCUGUAAAAAUAAAUCCAGCUUGCAUGCAUUUUAAAUUUUUUGUUUUUUAAAAAAUCAACUUUUUAUUGUGCAGGCAAAGGUCCAAAUAUCAAGGCGUUCACCUCCAGUGGUGAUUUUGAACUGUUUGUGACCUUGUAGAAUGAUUCUGACAUCUCCACAUUUCCGGGGGAUGCAGUCCCCUCUUGGUUUCCUCUUUAAAUUGUGCCUCUUCACCACUUCACCAAGGCUUACUCACAGGUAGUUGCAGACCUGAAGAUAUUGUGAUGGGAUGUGGGCAUCGGUAAGGUAAAGGUAAAGGGACCCCUGACCAUUAGGUCCAGUCAUGACCGACUCUGGGGUUGUGGCACUCAUCUCGCUUUAUUGGCCGAGGGAGCCGGUGUACAGCUUCCGGGUCAUGUGGCCAGCAUGACUAAGCCGCUUCUGGCGAACCAGAGCAGCGCACUGAAAUGCCGUUUACCUUCCCGCCGGAGCUGUACCUAUUUAUCUACUUGCACUUUGACGUGCUUUUGAACUGCUAGGUUGGCAGGAGCUGGGACCGAGCAACGGGAGCUCACCCUGUCGCGGGGAUUCGAACCGCCAACCUUCUGAUCAGCAAGUCCUAGGCUCUGUGGUUUAACCCACAGCGCCACCCGCGUCCCCGUGGGCAUCGGUAUGUCAGUCUUUAAUGAGAGGGGUGAUUGGAAACCCUGAGCUUCUGAUUCCGACAACCAAAAUUUAUCAAGUUGCAGAGCAAACUUCCAUCCACUGCAGCAGUAAAUUCUAAACCUAUUUGAUUGAACAAGUUACCUCUUGCAAGAACUUAUAUCCAGCUCUAGAGGCCCAUGUUUAACCAAAAGGAAAACCAGCACAACCAUUCAGCAAUUGCUUUGUUUUUAAAAUGGAAUCAGACUUGACGACUACUCGUAAAUCCUGGGAGGUUUAAUUCUCUCGUUUUUCAGCGGUAGUAACUUACAUUAAAGACCAAUGUUUACUUAAAAACAUGAGGCUGAGGCUACAGUCAUAACACACAUGCAGAUGCUGAAAGCUGGUGCGUUUCUGUGUGUUAUGAUACAGUACAGUUGCCACACCACCGGCUUGAAGGAUUACUACCGCUGAUGGGCUGGUCCUCUGCCUGACCUCCAAGCCCCCAAAUGGGGUGUUUCUUGUGGCAGGGAUGGGGUGGAUUCUUUGGACCCCCAAAGUCAGCCUUGAGCCUUCCAUCUGGGGUUCCCAGAUGUACUUGGACUACAACUCCCAUCAACCCUGAUGAUUGACUGAUUUGGCUGGGGAUUAUGGGAGUCGUGGUCAGCAUUUGAAAAUUCGCCAGGCCCAUUGUUCAGCCUGCUAUCGGCCCUUUGCAACCACCGUUCGAAAUUAGCCAGUGGCUAGGGGCAUUUUGCACCUGGCUCUCAGCUAUUUGCGACCAAGAUGAGGAGGCCUAGGCAUCAGGAUGGACCCUAACAUCUCUACCAUCUGGAGAUGCAUGCCUGGAGAUCCUUGGAUCUCAAAUGUUUUCACACACUAACAACGCAUCUUAUAUAUGCCAAUAUAUAUGCAGACUUUCUCUGGAUAAAGUGAUUUUUCUUCUUUUAAGUUCUCAAAGUUCUUAACCUAGCUCCGGGUUGUCAUCUGAACUAGCCAGAUGUUAACUGAGAAUCAGUCACAGUCAGUCCACCAUUUGAAAAGGGCCAGGGCUUUUUCGGCUGUGGCCCCGAUCUGGUGGAACGCUCUGUCACAAGAGACUAGGGUCCUGUGGGACUUGACAUCUUUCCGCAGGGCCUGCAAGACAGAGCUGUUCCACCAGGCCUUUGACCAAGGCACAGUCUGACCCCCUCUUUGGGAAUCCUCACAGAACUCUAGCCCAAUGGUUGCCAUUAAUUUGAUUUUGAAUUGAUUUUGGAAUGAAUUGAUUUUAGAAUGCUGUGUUACUUUUAUUGUUGUUAGCUGCUCUGAGCCCGGCUUUGGCUGGGGAGGGAGGGAUAUAAAUAAAUUAUUAUUAUUAUUAUUAUUAUUAAUGACACUAGCGUCAUCUUGCCAACUAGAUACAGUGGAACCUCGGAAGUCGAACAUAAUCAGUUCUGGAAGAACGUUCGACUUGCAAAAUGUUCGAAUUCCGAGGUGUGGCUUCCGAUUGGCUGGCAGCUAGGCCUUUUGCAGAUCGGAAGUCGCGUCGGACGUUCGGGUUCCAAGGACUGUUCGAAAACUGGAACACUUACUUCCGGGUCUUCGAUGUUCGGGAGCUGAAACAUUCGGGAAUGGAGCCGUUCGAGAACCGAGGUUACACUGUACAGUCAUACCUCGGGUUAAAGUAGCUUCGGGUUAAGCGUUUUCGAGUUGCGCUCUGUGGCGACCCGGAAGUAACGGAACACAUUACUUCCAGGUUUCGCCAUUCGCGCAUGCACAGACACUCAAAAUGAUGUCACGCGCACACGCAGAUGCGGCGAAUCGCGACCGCGCAUGCGCAGACACGGGUUGCGUUCGCUUCAGGAUGCGAACGGGGCUCCGGAACGGAUCCCGUUCACAUUCAGAGGUACCACUGUAUUCUGUUUUGGCAACUGCAACCUUGUUUUAAGGAGCCAUUUGGAGCCUAGCUCAUAAAUCUGAGUUUCUAACACUGGUUGUGGCAACUGCAACCUUGGUUUAUGAUGCCGUUUGGCAUCUAACUUCUACACCUGAGUUUCUAACCCUGCAAAUAUCCCUAGACUCUCUAGAAGGAUGCAUUCUUCCUAGAUAGCAAUGAGAACGACACAGGUGCUGCUGAAAGAGCUGUCGGCCGUCGUUGCAGCGAUAUGCCUGCUAUUUUGGGCAGCUCUCAAGCUGUUCUUUGCUGAUGCUGCCGGCCUUUUUCGAGGAGCCUGCUGGGCUGUUGGAGCCCCGGCAGCUCGGCAGCUCAGCUAAAUGGGUCAGCGGCCCUGGGCACCUUGUUAGUUGCUUGACUCGGCAGCGGUGCUGUUUGUUUCCCUCCUGCGAGGGGCUUGUUCAAAUGCGUUUGCUGCUGAGGUGGUUCUCUGCAGCAAGGCACACACCACGGGCCCUGAGCGAUGGGGAGGCAGCCUCUGGCGCUGUUCUCCAUUCCAUUUGUGCAGGCUAUGCCAGUCGCCGGCGUUGGAAUGCCUUGGCAAAGGUGUUUCCAUCCUCCCCCUGAAUUGGCCCGUGAUGCCAUCUGCACAAUUAAACCAGUGAAGGCGGUGAAGGUCCUGUGUGAGUGCCUGGAGGCGGUUGGAGGAUGGAUGGCAGUUAGCAGAUUGAGGUUGAAUCCUGACAAGACAGAAGUAUUGUUUUUGGGGGACAGGGGGCGGGCAGGUGUGGAGGACUCCCUGGUCCUGAAUGGGGUAACUGUGCCCCUGAAGGACCAGGUGUGCAUCCUGGGAGUCAUUUUGGACUCACAGCUGUCCAUGGAGGCGCAGGUCAAUUCUGUGCCCAGGGCGGCCGUCUACCAGCUCCAUCUGGUACGCAGGCUGAGACCCUACCUGCCUGCGGUCCCACUUGCCAGAGUGGUGCAUGCUCUAGUUAUCUCCCGCUUGGACUACUGCAAAGCGCUCUAUGUGGGGCUACCUUUAAAGGUGACCCGGAAACUGCAGUUAAUCCAGAAUGCAGCAGCUAGACUGGUGACUGGGAGUGGCCCCCGGGACCACAUAACACCGGUCCUGAGAGAUCUGCAUUGGCUCCCAGUAUGUUUCCGAGCACAAUUCAAAGUGUUGGUGCUGACAUUAAAGCCCUAAAUGGCCUCGGUCCUGUAUACCUGAAGGAGCGUCUCCACCCCCAUCAUUCAGCCCAGACACUGAGGUCCAGGGCCAAGGGCCUUCUGGUGGUUCCCUCAUUGCGAGAAGCUGAGGUUACAGAGAACCAGACAGAGGGCCUUCUCGGUAGUGGUGCCUGCCUUGUGGAACGCCCUCCCAUCAGAUGUCAAGGAAAUAAGCAGCUAUCUUAUUUUUAAAAGACAUCUGAAGGCAGCCCCGUUUAGGGAAGUUUUUAAUAUUUAAUGCUGUAUUGUUUUUAACACUUGAUUGGGAGCCGCCCAGAGUGGCUGGGAAAACUCAGCCAGAUGGGCGGUGUAUAAAUAAUAAAUUAUUAUUAUUAUAUAAAUUAAUUUAAGCAGGGGAUUUCCACUGGCAGCUCCGCGCUGGGCUAUCCCAGUCUAUGCUUGAGAAAUUGCUUUGUGUAAUUGGGUCAUGUGGCGGCAUGUGAUAUUUAGAAGAUAUUAUGCUUGGCUUUUGCCUGUCUUUCUUCCCUCGGAGCGCUUGCAAUGCCGGCAUGCAUCUGGGAACUUUUGGCUUCAAGAACCCUUGUAACUGGAUCCUUGUAGGUUCUGAGCCCUGCUUGCAAGAACCGGAUCAGGCCAACAGUUCCAGCAGCGGCCAGCCAGGUGCCACUGGGAUGCAGGCAAGCAGCAGAAGGAAAGAAACAGCUCUUCCUUGACAUCUGCUGUUGGCAAACUGGUGUCUACAUGUAUUGAGAGACAGCGUUGCAUAAUGGUUGGAGUGCCGAACUAGGAUUCAAACCCUGGCCUCCCAGGACCUAGUUCGGCACUUAUGGGACACAGGUGGCGCUAUGGUCUAAACCACUGAGCCUCUUGGGCUUGCCAAUCAGAAGGUCGGCAGUUCGAUUCCCCACAAUGGAGUGAGGUAAAGGUAAAGGACACCUGGACGAUCAAGUCUAGUCAAAGGCGGCUAUGGGGUUGUGGUACUCAUCUUGCUUUCAAGCCAAGGGAGCCGGCGUUUGUCCACAGACAGCUUUCCGGGUCAUGUGGUCAGCUAAACCGCUUCUGGUGCAAUGGAACACAGUGACAGAAACCAGAGAGCAUGGAAAUGCUGUUUACCUUCCCGCUGCAGCGGUACCUAUUUAUCUACUUGCACUGGUGUGCUUUCGAACUGCUAGGUUGGCAGGAGCUGAAACAGAGCAAGGAGAGCUCACUCCAUUGUGGGGAAUCGAACUGCCGACCUUCUGAUUGGCAAGCCAAGAGGCUCAGUGGUUUAGACCACAGCGCCACCUGUGUCCCAUAAGUGCCGAACUAGGUCCUGGGAGGCCAGGGUUUGAAUCCUCAUUCAGCCAUGAAGACUGCAGAAACUUUAAGUCAGCCUUUCUCAACCUGUGGGUCCCCAGAUGUUGUUGAACUACAACUCCCAUCACUCCUAGCUAGCAAGGCCAGAGUUCAGGGAUGAUGGGAGUUGUAGUCCAACAACAUCUGGGGACCCACAGGUUGAGAAUCGCUGCUUUAAGUGAAGAGGGACCUCUUCAGGAAGGCGGAGCUUCUAACAAGCCUUACUCUAAGGCUGGCUGCUGCUGAAGCAACAUUGGAGCUCUGAUGGGAUCCAGCCUGAACCCUGUGCAAAUGCCUUGCCUCCAAUGAGCUCAGUGCUUGUGUCAUAGCAUUUUUUUGGCCCUCUAGAUGUUGCUGGGCUGCAACUCUUGUGGAACCAUAGAGUUGGAAGGGUGCCCAAGGGUCAUCUAGUCCAACCCCCCUGUAGUGCAAGAACUUCAACUAGAUCAUACAUGACAGAUCGCCAUCCAACCACUGCUUGAAAACCUCCAAGGAAGGAGAGACCACCACUUCCCAAGUGAGACAGUUCCACUGUCAAACUGUCUUACUGCAAGAAGUUCUACCUGAGGUUUAGUUGGAAUCUCCCUACUUGUCACUUGAAGCCAUGGGUUCGAGUCUUACCCUCCAGAUCAGGAGAAAACAAGCUUCUUCACUCUUCCAUGGGAUGGCCCUUGAGAUAUUUGAUGAUGGCUAUCCAUUUGGUCUUCUCUUUUCCAGGCUAAACAUACCCAGCUCCUUCAACCAUUCCUCAUCAGGCUUGGUUUCCAGACCCUUGGUCAUCUGUGCACAUUCCAGCUUUUUGAUACAUUCCUUAAAUUGCAGCAUCAUCACUUGGGAAAUUGUAGGGCGUUUUAACUUGUAAUUUCAUGAGAUGAAAUUUCAGGUGGCAUCCUGGCAUAUGGUUCUUGGUGUUUCUAAGUUCUUUGCUUGCUUCUGGAGCACAGAGAAAAUGAACAUGCUUAGUUGGAUCGCUAUGCCACAAACUGAUUUUUGUUUUCCAGGAAAAAAAGAAUCAACUCAGAAUUUUCUGGGAAACUCCAGAUCAGGAGAAAACAAGCUUGUUCCCUCUUCCAUGUGAUAGCUCUUGAGAUAUUUGAAGAAGACUAUCAUAUCUCCUAUCAGUCUCUUCUUUUCCAGGCUAAACGUACCCAGCUCCUUCAACCGUUCCUCUUAAGGCUUGGUUUCCAGACCCUUUGUUGCCCCUUAACCAGCUUCAAGUACAGUGGUACCUCGGGUUAAGAACUUAAUUCGUUCUGGAGGUCUGUUCUUAACCUGAAGCACCACUUUAGCUAAUGGGGCCUCUUGCUGCCACAGUGCCGCCAGAGCACGAUUUCUGUUCUCAUCCAGAAGCAAAGUUCUUAACCUGAGGUAAUAUUUCUGGGUUAGUGGAGUCUGUAACCUGAAGCAUCUGUAACCUGAAGCGUAUGUAACCUGAGAUACCACUGUAAUUUUUAGCCCUUGGAACAGAGUGUUUGAUAGAAUGGGACAGAGAGAGGGGAAAGAGAAACAGUAUAUGCUAAGUCAGCAAACUUUUUCAGCCGUGGGCCAGUCCACCGUCCCUCAGAACAUGUGGUGGGCUGGAAUAUAUUUUGGGGGAAAAAAUGAAUGAAUUCCUAUGCUCCAGAAAUAGCCCAGAGAUGCAUUUUAAAUAAAAGGACACAUUCUACUCAUGUAAAAACAUGCUGAUUCCCAGACCAUCUACGGGCCGGAUUGAGAAGGUGAUUGGGCCGCAUCCAGCCCACGGGCCUUAGGUUGCCUACCCCUGUGCUAGACUGACCCCAGACUACAGAAGCAUUGCAGGAAACGUAUUUGCAAUGGGCUUUGCUCCAUGGCUAAAACGGAAUGAAAAGGGACAUCUCUCUUGUUCCCGAGCAACUAACCGGGACUCUGCUAAGAAGGCUGACCAGGGAGGUCUCUGGAUAAUAAAUCACCUACUGACGUCUGGAGUGCAUUGAACUUCCUUGCUCGAAUCUCUGCCUUAGGUCCCUUUCACUAGAAUGGCCUUCUUGUGCACCUGUGCCGCCUUUUGUGACGGGCGAUUGCUGGGUUUCUAAAGUGUGAAUUGUUUUAUUUAUUUACGGGGGCUUUUGCAGAACCGGCGGCCUGCGUUUGGAACCAGAUCUGACGCAGUGAAAUAAAAGACGCCGAACGGCAGAUGCAAAGCUGAAUGCCAAGUGUGUGUGUAGGGAAAACACAACAGAAUUCCCUUUCUUUCUUUCUUUCUUUCUUUCUUUCUUUCUUUCUUUCUUUCUUUCUUUCUUGCAAGUAGGCAUUUCAUUUUGGCAGCACUCUCUGAACUGUUGGGAGAAUAGGGGCUCCUUCUUGCCUCUCUUUCUCUCCCCUCGGAGUAGAAAAUGAGAAGGUUCUUCUUUUCUGCAUAUUCUUUUAGGGUCGUUAUUCGGUUUUGUUUCGUUUUACAAAGGUGCUGAGCGCCAGACCGUGUAGAGCCCGCCAGGACUCUAUAUGCUAUGCACCAAACUCGCUGCAAAACCCUCUGCUAAGAAGAACCUCGGCAUAUCAAGAACCUUGGCAUAUACUCACCCUUUUUUAUGUAGUGCAUCCUCCAUUUCCAAGUCGCGGCAGAAAGAAUGAGGCUACAUGUUCAGUGUACCUGUCCCUUAGCACUGCAGUGCUUAGUGAGUGUGCGCUCUGGGAUCGCCAAAGUAUUUUCAGAAUUGCUGCCCUUAAGGACUAGAAACUUGGGUUUCUAUUUUCUUCUUGUUGUUCCCUGGCAUUGUGGAUUGUAGAAUCAUAGAACUGUAGAGUUGGAAGGGACCCAGGGGGAGAGAAAACUGUCUGUGGGAACGCUGUUCCUUCAGUGGCAACCUACGUUAUCCACACGAUCUCAUCCCAAACUUGGUUCUGAGUUUUCUGUAACCUAGGAGGGAUGUCUUUCAGACCAGAGGCCACAUUCCGGUCCCCGCAGGUUUCCGAGCGCCACAUGCCAAUGGCGGAUGGGGUAGGGAUAAAGGAAUGACUGUCAUUUUUACUUUUUGCGAGCUUCUGUACAGGCUCACACAGCCCUCUCUGCCCUCUAAGCUGGCAAACAAGAGCUCAAGGGCAGGCGGAAUCGUUUGAGGUGAGGGCUGUGGUAUGUAGAGAAAGAGAGUGUGGCCUCCGGAGGGUCCUGAAAGCCACAUAACAAGACUUCGAGGGACACAUGUCCUACAUCCUGGGCCUGAGGUUUUCCACACCUGCCGUAAAACGGCUCGCCUCCCUUUCUCAGGUACACCUGGGCUGUUCUUGCCGUCUUUGGGGACCCCUCUUCCGACCCAAGCUUCCAGCCGAUCCUUUUCUCAUAUCGAUGCGCUGCCAGCGAUGCUUUGGCCGCGACCCAUCGGACCACCUGUUGAUCAUUUCCAGGGCAGAGAGAGGGGGUUGGGAUGUGGGAACUAUGCAAGAUGCUUGCACGGAAAGCCAGGAGGAGAUGAUUUCCACCCAAAUUAACCGGAAAGGCUCCUGAAUGAGCAGGCCAGCGUCAUGCUAGCUACUCCCGGUCGCUGUGGCAAGUGACAACGGGUUUGUAGCAUUCAUCUGGUGAAAGCAAUUAAAGCAGCAGUUCUCAACCUGUUGAGUCCCCAGAUGUUGUUGGACUACAACUCCCAUCAUCCCUAGCUAGCAAGGCCAGAGCUCAGGGCUGAUGGGAGUUGUAGUCCAACAACAUCCAGGGGACCCACAGGUUGAGAACCGCUGAAUUGAAGUUUGUUCCUGCUCUGUGGUUGCUGCAAACACUUAACCUGUUCUUCGAGCAUCUGAGCUCCCCUUCACCCCUUGCCCUCAAAAUUUAUAUCGGGCGGGGAGUCUUUUGCCCUCUGGAUGCUUCGAACUACAACUCCCAUCAGACGCAGCCUGCAUGGAUGAUGGGAGUUGUAGUCCAGCACAAUCCAGAAGACCACAUGUCGCUCUGAUCUGCAUGUUUUUAUACCGAUGUGGCCCAGAACUUAGCUAUGCCUUCUCCUGAGAUUAUCCCGCAAAAUAAGACCUAGAUCAGGAAACAAAUAACCUUUUUUAAGCUGUUUGUCCCUGUCUCUUCCGGUGAAGGGACUGAGGACCACAGGGCCAGAGGCGAAAGGAGGCAGAGUCACGAAUGCGAAUCUCACCGUUUCUGCAAUAGGGUGGUUUCAUCACACACACACAGCCCUCUAUCGUCCAUCUAGGCCAGUGGUUCUCAACAUGUGGGUCCCCAGAUUUUGUUGGACUACAACUCCCAUCAUGCCUGAGCUCUGGCCUUGCUAGCUAGGGCUGAUGGGAGUUGUAGUUCAACAACAUCUGGGGACCCACAGGUUGAGAAAGGCUGUUCUGGGCAUUUAAGAAGCAUCAUCAGGGUUCAAGUGCUGGAUAGCUCAGUCGGUAGAGCAUGAGACUCUUCCUCAGGGUUGUGAGUUCGAGUCUCACGUUGGGCUAAAGAUUCCUGCCUUGCAGGGGGUUGGACUGGAUGACCCUCAUGGUCCCUUUUAACUCUUUGAGUCUAUGACACAUUUCUGGACCGGGAGAACACUCAUGGAGGAUGCGAUUCUGUGCUGGUGGUGGUGGGUUUUGGCUCGGGAAGGUGUGUGGUCUGGGGAGAGUCUCAAGGGCCAGAUUUGGCCCUUGGGCUUCAGUUUCCGACCCCUCCCAUAGUAAACAAGGAUUCUCCCUGUGGUCAGUCAGCAAUUCCAACAAGUGGAUUUGUUCGCACCCCGGUGCCGGCAUAGGCAGAGGAGUCGCCACGAGGACCCAGCCAGCUGCAGUCCCUGCCCCUUUUAAAAUGGCAUGAACACACUUGUAGUAUGACUCUAGCAAAAUAACGAAGGAGGGGCCAGAAACACGAUAUAGCUCGUGAGUUUAUGUAUCGGACAGACAAGUAAUUUGGAAGGUGCAUGUGUGUGCUUUCGAGUCAGUUGAAAACGAACUUCUAAAGAGUUGCACAGCCAUUUUACUAGGCAGUUGCCGCUUCUAAGUCUUGGGCAUAGCUUAUUAUAGCUGCCUUGCUGUUCCUUGUUGCAGCUGUAAUAGUUCCAUCCACAUUUCAGUGACCUCUUCAACUAUCUCCUGGUUCUAUGUUCGCUUUUCCUGCCUUCCAAAUAAUCACCGCUAUAUGUAUAAUAAUCCGUGCUGUGUGUAUGAUCCCAUGACUCUUCAGGAAGCGACGUGGUAUUUGGUGGAAAACUAAGAAUGUGAGAAUUUUCUUUGAAAAUGUAGGUUUCUAGUCCCUUUGGUAGACAAAAAAUAAAAUAAAAUGUGUGUGUGUGUGAUACAGAUUGAGAAGAGAGGUCGUGAAGAGAUCGUGCGUUACCACAGUGAUAGGGAACAGCUUUUGAGUUUCAAUUUCUUAUCUCUAAAAUAGAGAUGGAUAAGGAACAAUCUUACUCGGCUAUGAGUGAUCGCCAAAGAAGAAGAAGAAGAAAAAGGUACUGAUACAACACCAAGGUUGCAGGUUCGAGCCCCAUAUGGGACUGCAUAUUCCUGAAUUUUGGGGGCUUGGACUCUGUGAUCCUCAGGUUCCAAUGUACAAUUCUAUGAUUCUGUGGCUCUAAGACAGCUACUUAUAUUCCAGGCAUGUUCAACAGAUAGAUCGUGAUCCACUGGUAGAUCGUGGGGUGUUCCUGGUAGAUCUCUUGCCGCUCAGUGAUCUCCCCCACCCCCCCAAAAAAGGUGACAACAACUCCUCCUUCCUAAAAGAAGCUCAACAACUUUGGUCCAUGCAACGACACUGGGUAGAUCACUGCUAGUUUUUUUUAUACUGUGUGUAGAUCGCAGUCUAUUGGGAGUUGGACAUCCCUGUUAUAUUCUAUCUCUCAAAAGAUUAUUGAUUUAAUAAGUUGGCCACACACUUAGAAUCAUAGAAUCAUAGAGUUGGAAGAGACCACAAGGGCCAUCGAGUCCAACCCCCUGCCAAGCAGGAAACACCAUCAGAGCACUCCUGACAUAUGGUUGUCAAGCCUCUGCUUAAAGACCUCCAAAGAAGGAGACUCCACCACACUCCUUGGCAGCAAAUUCCACUGUCGAACGGCUCUUACUGUCAGGAAGUUCUUCCUAAUGUUUAGGUGGAAUCUUCUUUCUUGUAGUUUGGAUCCAUUGCUCCGUGUCCGCUUCUCUGGAGCAGCAGAAAACAACCUUUCUCCCUCCUCUAUGUGACAUCCUUUUAUAUAUUUGAACAUGGCUAUCAUAUCACCCCUUAACCUCCUCUUCUCCAGGCUAAACAUGCCCAGCUCCCUUAGCCGUUCCUCAUAAGGCAUCGUUUCCAGGCCUUUGACCAUUUUGGUUGCCCUCCUCUGGACACGUUCCAGUUUGUCAGUGUCCUUCUUGAACUGUGGUGCCCAGAACUGGACACAGUACUCCAGGUGAGGUCUGACUCCACUUAACUCCUGUGUCUUAUCUUCUCACAAAAAACAGGAUUCUAAUAGUUGUUGCUUUGUUUUGUUGCACUGAUGCAUUGAAGGUGUGCAGUUUGCUUGAUCUGAGAUCUGGCCUGGAGGGAGAAUAAGCCUUGCGCUGUUAAUAACCUUGCGUAAUAAUUGCCGGCUCCUUUUGUAAUCGUCGGCUAGGGGUGGGGUGGGCAGGUUCAGUGCCAGCUGAAGAAGGAGGCAGCCGGCCCAGCUUGCUUGGAAGAGACCCACGGGCGAGGAUUCUUGCUCAAAGAGGCUGGCAAAGAAAGCGAUCGGAUAUCAAAGAGGAAGGGAUACAAUGCCCCUCUCUGCACGAGGCAAGGGCAGCUAGAAGGAACCGUGAGGUGGAAGAAAACACAUUGAGGUGCAGCUGCUCCAAGUGGCCAGUGGUUUUCUUUUCCAGCCGAGCGAGCCAGCCAUGAGAUUGUGCAAUGCGAAUGUUCCUAUUUACACGUAUUUCUCUCCCUGUGCUUGGGGAAAAGCCAUAAUGACAACUUGAAAGUUUGGGGAUUUUAUGCUAUACUUCUGAAACAGGUGGAAACAUGGGAUGGCGUACUACGAGAAAUCACCUGUGUUGGAGAAGGAGCCAGCUGCAAUCUUUGGCAUUUCCAGGUGUCAGGCUGUGGAAGACACGUCUGAAAAUCCCAGACAGCUGCUGUCAGCUGAUGCCAGAAAGCCCCUCUCAACCUCCGGAUCCUAGAUUCUGCUGGACUAAAACUCCCAUCAUUCCUAGCCAGCAGGUCGGUGGUUAGAGAUUAUGGGAGUUGUGGUUCAAGGGCAUCCGGGGACUGAAGGUUGAGGAAGUUUGGUGUAGACCAUUGGUCUUCAAAUGAUGUGUCAUGAUGCACUGCUACAAAACACAGGGAAAUAAUAAUAAUAAUAAUAAUAAAAAAUAAUAAUUUAUACCCAGCCCAUCUGGCUGAGUUCCCCCAGCCACUCUGGGCAGCUCCCAACAGAAUUAAAAGCACAAUAAAACAUCACACACUAAAAACAUAGCCUUCAGAUGUCUUCUAAAAGUCAGAUGGUUCUUUAUUUCCUUGACAUCUGAUGGGAGGGCGUUCCACAGGGUGGGAGCCACCACUGAGAAGGCCCUCUGCCUGGUUCCCUGUAGCCUCACUUCUCACAGUGAGGGAACCACCAGAAGGCCCUUGGAGCUGGACCUUAGUGUCUGGGCUGUGAACAAUGGGGGUGGAGACGCUCCUUCAUGUAUACUGGGCCAAGGCUGUUUAGGGCUUUAAAGAUCAGCACCAACAUUUUGCAUUGUGCUCGGAAAUGUACUGGGAGCCAAUGUAAGUCUUUCAGGACCAGUGUUCUGUGGUCUUGGUGACUCUCCAGAUGUUUGCCAAACUACAACUCCCAUUGGUCAUGCUUACUAGGGCUGAUUGGAUUUGUUGUCCCACAACAUCUGGAGGUCCAAAGGUUCUCCACAUCUUAGCUACUGAGCUAUAGCCUGAUCUUAGGUAGGUUAGGACACCAAGACUGCUACCAAAGAAGUAGAUGUGGGGGAAUUAAAGGAAAUAAAGGAUCUCCACAUGUGUUUGGGUUGAAGGUGAGUUGUGGGUCUGUAAAAGUUUGUUUCGUUUUAUUUUGAAAAUAAAGCGAAGAAAGAAAAAAAAAGUGGCCAGGUAGGUUGUUCAUUGCCAGGUCAAUGUGCCUAGGAUUUUAGUCUCAAAGAUGCAUGCAUCGUAUUGUACCUAAAUUUCACCAGUGAGGUUGGGUGGGAAUUUUCCCCAAUUUAUAAAUUCAUUAAUAAGCAAGAAUGGACGUCAGUUGCAAAGAAAAUGCUAAUCAAAUAUGGCAGUUUUGAAGUGUUUCACUUUGUUCACUAAACGCGAGUAAAAUAAACAUGCAUCAGAAAAAUCUCCGAUUCAAACUGGAUUUUUUUCUCAUGCAAAUUGCCCCACUUUGCAGAACCUGAUUUGGUACAUUUGAUGAAAAGCUCCUCUUUGAGUGUUAGCAAGUUUGAACCAUUCAGCCAAGGACACGAUGGCAGCUGGGCUUCCAAAUUAGUAAUAUCACUGCAUUUUUUUUAUUAUUCCAGAUGCUCCACCAGCAAACCUGAAAGUAGCGUUCAAAGUUGGGCUGAAAUUGAAAUCUCCGGGAGAAGUUAGUUAAAAAAAAAAAGUGAAGAGGAUAAAAUAACCGAGGCUAAAACCCCGUUUGAAGCUGCCACUAAGGCAUUUGUGUUAGGUGAGGCCACCUAGUUGCAUUGUAUUUUUGUGUAACUAAAUCACUCCUUCUACUGGUUUCCCAAACAAACUGGUAAUAAGGUAAGGCAGGACUUCUGAUACUUUAUUUUUUCCUCUGAAAGGCUAAACUUGCCUCUUGACUUGCAUUCAAGUUUUUGGUCUCCAAAGAAAAUAGAAGCCGGACUCUUGAAACUGAAAAUCAGAGAUUUCCAGUGCAUAGGAUGGGAAGACUUUACUGCACCUUCCAUUUUUAGAGUUGGAAGGGACCCUGAGGGUCAUCUAGUCCAACCCCCUGCAAUGCAGGAAUUGGCAGCUGCCCCAUACAGGGAUCGAACCUGCAACCUUUGCAUUAUCAGCACCACGCUCUAACCAGCUGAGCUAUCCAGGCUGCUAGAUGCUCUCACAAGAAGAGUUCCAAUUCGGCAUGGCAUAUUCUCUCCCCUCACUGCGUUUCCCACCAAUUUAAGUAAAACUGAUGUAGCAGGAAUGCUUGAAUAAUGGUUCUCUUCAACAUCAGUUAAGGCAUCUCUGAAGGGACGCAGAUUGCGCUGUGGGUUAAACCACAGAGCCUAGGGCUUCCUGAUUAGAAGGUCUGUGGUUCGAAUCCCUGCAUUGGGGUGAGUUCCUGUUGCUUGGUCCCAGCUCCUGCCAACCUAGCAGUUUGAAAGCACGCCAAAAAGUGCAAGUAGAUAAAUAGGUACCGCUCCGGUGGGAAGGUAAACGGCGUUUCCAUGAGCUGCUCUGGUUCGCCAGAAGCGGCUUAGUCAUGCUGGCCACAUGACUCGGAAGCUGUACGCCGGCUCCCUCGGCCAGUAAAGCGAGAUGAGCGCCACAACCCCAGAGUCGUCCGCGACUGGACUUAAUGGUCAGGGAUCCCUUUACCUUUACCUUUAAGGCAUCUCUGAAACCCCUGAAUGCUGCUGCCAGCCAGUGUAGACAGCAUUGAGCUGGAUGGACAAAUGGUCUGACUCAGUAUAAGGUCCUAAAUACAUGCCACCAUCUCCUCAUCCUGAAUUCUUCUUCUUCUUCUUCUUCGCCCGUCCAUCCUUCUGAGUUGCCCCAGCUACUCUAGGCAGCUUCCAACAGAUAUAAAAACACAAUAAAACAUCAAACAUUACAGGGCUGCCUCCAGAUGUCUUCAGAAAAUCAGAUAUUUAUUUCCUUGACAUCUGCUGGGAGGGCAUUCCACAUGUCAGGAGAAGGCCCUCUGCCUGGUUCCCUGUAACCUCACUUCUUGCAGUGAGCGUACCACCAGAAGAAGUCCCUCAGAGCUGGACCUCAGUGUCCAGGCUCCUUCAAGAGUUGUCCCCUCGUACGAACCAUGUGUGGCUUCCAGAAUACUUCUUUGCAUCUUCCUGGGACCGGGAAGGUCCUUGUCUCUGUAGGUUCGCUUCAAGAUAGGCAUGGCAUCUCCUGUUGGUACAUGUUUUACGCGGUGCCUUCUCAUGCAAAUAGGAGGCGCCUUGUUUGGCUGUCGUAAUUGAGGCAUUGUCAACAGCGUGCGCCCAAAGGGCCUCCCUGCAUGGGGAAGUUGGAGAGGGAACGAACUCUUUCCACUUCCUCGUCUGCUGUCUCCAGCACCUCGUUCUGCAAGCUCAUCUGCAGUAGGGAAGGAAGAGAAGAGUCUGUCCAUGUGGGCAGUCAGGUUGCCCAAGGGCGAUGGGGAUGGGAUAUCUUCUUCCCAGGCCAAGUUCAAAAGCCCAUUGGUUGGUUUUAUGGUGCCGUUGGCCAGGAAGAACCUUCUGCUUUCAGUUCAGUACCCAGAAUGGGGAAAACGGGGGCUUUUCAACUGCUGCAGACAAUGGACUGACUUCCUGCCUGCAGUUCGGGCAAAUUUUUAGCUUGGCCCCUUCGCUUUUCCUUGCCAAAUGCUUGCCCUGACUGACCGGCUUUUUUAUUGUUAAUAGUAAUAGUAACAACAACAACAACAACAACAAAUUUUUAUACCCCACCCUCCCCAGCCAAGACCGGGCUCAGGGUGGCUAACACCAGGUAUAAAACAAUUGAUUAAAAUACAACUUAAAAACAAGAUUAAAAUACAACAUUAAAAUGCAGCCUCAUUUCAGUAGAAACUGAAAUCAAAAGCUGAAUUUAUACACAUCUGAUUGCACAAGGAACGGAAAAGGGGGGAAAUCAAAUAAAACCAUCAGCUCACAUGAAGGAUUCAGGAACAUUUAUGUCUGUAUAAGCCUUCCAGAUUUCCAAAGAGGUGCUCAAACAAGGCUGAUGUUCAUACGAAAUACGUCCACGUGUAGCAAGGGCGGCGAGGACCUAGAAUUGUAGAGUUUUAAGGGACCCUGUGGGUCAUCUAGUCCAGCCCCCUGCAAUGGAGGAAUCUCAGCUCCUUCAAGCUUCAAAAUAUAUGUCUCUUAUAUCCCACUUUUUCCUCCAAGGAUCUCAUGGUGGUGUACAUGACGAUUAACCAAUGGAGUGAAGUCGUUAAAUAAAAAAAAAUUCAGUAUGAAUUUGAGGUUUUGCUUCCUCUGUUGGUUCUUUUCUGUCUUAGAAUGAACUGGUCUGGCUGUCGCUUGUUUCUGCAGCUACAAGACACCUUCCUUACCUGUACGGCUCUUUGGCUGUUCCUGGCACACCUGGAAAGGCAUCAACUUGCAAACAAUACCCAGCUCCCUAGGGAGGUCUCCAGGGCUGGGCGAUGUCAGCUUCUCAACAUUGUGAUGUACAGUCGUACCUUGGUUCUCGAAGGGAAUCUGUUCCAGAAGUCCGUUCGACUUCCGAAAACGUUUGAAAACCAAGGUGCAGCUUCUGAUUGGCUGCAGGAGCUUCCUGCAGCCAAUCGGAAGCCGCAUAAGACGUUUGGAUUCCAAAGAACGUUCGAAAACUAGAAUACUCACUUCCAGGUUUGCGGCAUCCGGGAGCCAAAAUGUUUGAGUCACCAGGCGUUCAAGAACCAAGGUACUGCAUCACUAGAUGAAGGCACCAUCGUACUCUGGCCCUCAAGCCAGUCCUGGGCGAUGUAUCGCCCAGGCCUAGAGGUGUCUCACGUGUAGGACAUGUUAGCACGGCAUCAGGAUUUUGCAUGGUACCUGUUAUGUACUCACCCUGGGCCAGCAGACGGAUACUGUAGAUAGUUUUCACUCAGGUCCACAUAUGCAAAUAGGGGAUUGAAAGUGACGUUCAGUGAUUGGAUAGUUACAGAAAGUGGUUACUGUUGCGUUGUAGUGGAGCUCUAUAUAAGCAGGCUGGCUGAACCCUUCAGUUCAGUUCUGUUCUGGCCUGUGAAUAAACAAGAGCUGUUCGAAGAAUCGCUGUGUCGUCUGAUAUGUUCACCCACAACUUAACAGUACGCAAACCAUGUAAAGCUCAGAAGCAGCGGCCAGGGCAGCAUCGUCUAAAUGGAUGAAGAUUGUGAGAGAGAAAGAGAAGCUGAGUAAACCCCCCUUUUUUAAGCUUUCCGUUUGUUGAAGUGAUACAGUCACCAGGAAGCUGUGUUUCUCCCUUUUCCUUGGAGGAAGGAAGUCUCUUGUACAGGACCCCCUGAUGUUUUUAAAUACCGGUUGUGUGUUUUCUAUUUUUUUUAUUUCAAAAAAGCAGAAAUCGCAGUCCAGACAGGAAGUGAUUAAGACAUGAAUAAAGAUUUCAAAUAGACUUGGGGUCAAGGGAAGGAUGGAAGUCUGGCUGUGGGCCUGAGAUGCUGGAGAAGAGAAGGGGCAGAAUAAUGAAGUCAGGAAUGUGGGAUUCAGCCCUGGGAAAAAAUGAGGAGUCUUCGCUUUCGGAGGAGGCCGGUGGCCUUAGAGGGGCUUGGCGAUCGGAAAUUGCUUGUUUGCUGUCCAUCAUCUCCCUUUAUUUCUAACUUUGAAGGUUUUUCUCCUCAUUUUAUGGAGGCGAACAGCAAGAUUUUAUCCUAUCUCCUUUUAAGGUCCUUCACUUUUGCAGGCAUAAAUCAAAGAGGCGAGUCACGGGGAUACAGAGGCAACAAUGGCAUCAUGUGCCUUUACUCUUUGUUUUUAGUUUUAUUUGGGUGUCUGCACCCUGCUUCCCUCGCGAUAGAAAUCUUACUCGAGGCAGUUUGCAAAAUAAAUAACAUAAUACGAGUCACAACAUCUUUUUUCUUUUCCUUCCCCAAAGCGGUAAGAUGGCAUCGCUAAUUACGUUCACAAAGAAACCAUCGUCAACAGCAGCAGCCUGUCGCCUGGAACACCCAGUUUUGCUAAGGGAUGUUGAGACUUUAAACAGAUUCUGGCAUUUGCCCGAAAGGAUAUGUGGGGAGGAACAUGAAUGCAAGGCCUGUCACCCCACUGAACUUACUGGAAAUCUCCAUGCUUGGGAACUGGACCUUAUCAGGGGUCCCAGUCGAGAGGAGGGUCCCAAGGAGUUCUUACACCCCAAUUUCAGCAUGGGAAGGUCUGAAGUAGAGUUGGUGGGUGGGGCUGGGUGUGGGGGUCUUUGGGGAUGGACGGGGCUGGCAUGCAUGCCGCUGCCCCUUCGACGAAGAGACCCUAGCUCACCUGCCCCUCUUCCUGCCCUUCAAGCUAGGGGAAAAAGAUGGAGUGAUACAGCUGCCUUUUCAUGGAGCUCCUCUGCCGGCCACUCGGCUCCUUGCCCAGAAGGAGUUUCCCUUCCAGGUGAACGACAAACUGCAAAGCAUCUUUUCUUGGUGUGCUACUUGCGCUGUGUACCUCUGCAGAGGGACACGGGUGGCGCUGUGUGAGCCUAGGGCUUGCCGAUCAGAAGGUUGACAAUUUGAAUUCCCACGACGGGGUGAGCUCCCGUUGCUCGGUCCCUGCUCCUGCCAACUAGCAGUUCGAAAGCACACCAAAAAGUGCAAGUAGAUAAAUAGGUACCGCUCUGGCAGGAAGGUAAAUGGCGUUUCCGUGCGCUGCUCUGGUUCGCCAGAAGUGGCUUAGUCCUGCUGGCCACAUGACCCGGAAGCUGUAUGUCGGCUCCCUUGGCCAAUAAAGCGAGAUGAGCGCCUCAAACCCAGAGUCGUCCACAACUGGAUCUAAUGGUCAGGGGUCCCUUUACCUUUGCAGAGAGAGCUGGUGGAUGUUCUUGGUGGCUGUGGAGCUCCUUCCCUUUCAGACUUGCUUUUGCAUCUUUCGGAAGUCCUAAAAGACCUCCAUUGUUUGCACUCGUGCCGGUGACUAGGGCAAAUUUGCAAAGCUUUGCUUGGAGAGUUUGUCUGAUGAGGUCCAGAGAAACUGAGCAACCCGAAAUCUCUAGGUACAUCAGUGUAAGCCUAGUUCUUCCCUACAAAUGCAUCAUUUAAACACCCCGUGUUGCUUCAUGACUCUGAAAGAAUUGCACUGUGUUUGAAGUGACACACAGUCGAUCUGUGUUGGCUGAGCGACACGUGCAAAGUCAAUGGUUGUUCCUACAGCAAUCUUAUUUUAUUUGCAGUUAUUAAAAUUUUAUCUUGUCCUUCCUCCCAAAUGAGGCCCAAGGCGGACUGUGCAUAUGUGGAGAUUUUGCUUGGACUUCUUUUUCUCCCUGGAUUAACACCUUUGGGGAUGACCCCUGACUUUCUUUAUUAAGCAGGUAAGCAGAGAAGUUUAUCUGUUGCAUCUGUAUCACACUUUUUUCUCCAGGGAGUACAUGGUUCCCCCCCCCCCCACCGUUAAUCUGUACAAUGACUCUGCGAGGUAGGCAAAGAGACUGUGACCGACUUCAAUGAAACCCAGUACGUUUCAUGACUGAGUGGGGAAUUUGAACCCAGAUCUCCCAGGUCCUGAUCUGACACUUUAACCACUACACCACACUGGCAUCCUAGAGUCCUUCUGCUGUGGGGCAGCUAUUAAGUAGAUAAAUGAAGUGUUCUUGGCCUCUGGAAAGAAUGCACAGGGAAAUAUGAAGGGCUUGGCCAGUCAAAGGUAGCACCACACUUUUGGGACAUUGGCUGCUGCUUCCAACCAAAUUAGUCCUCAAGAGUUUCCUUCUUUCAAGAUGUUAAUACCUUCCUCUUCCUCUAAACAGGAGUGUAGGCGAUUGAUGGUACUAACAUGGCAACACCUUUCCUCCAGAACUCGCCGUCUAUUGAUAAUCGGCAGGCUCCUUUGUUGUUCUGUUUCUGAUGCCUGCUGAAAACUUUUUUGUUUAGACAUGUCUCCCCAGACAUGCUAAAAAGAAUUUGGUGCCUACUUGUUUCUACCGUCUGCUGAUUUUAUCAGCAUUUUCUUAUGAAUAUUCCGAUGACUUGCUUUUAUUAGGAUCACAAGGAGAACGCUGCUGUUUCAGGUCAGUCUCGCAGGCAGUCCAGCAUCUUGUUCUCACAACGGUCAGUAAACAACGAGGGACACAUACAUUCAAAAUUCCAUUGAAACUAAUCACGUUCAGUGGAAUUGACGAACUUGGUCUUGUGACACCAGCUUUUCAAAGUCCUAUAGUCAUUUAUACCUCCAGUGUCCCUUCCUGUCCCAGGUAAUCCCCCCCCCCCCGGGUUUCCUUUGGGAAACAGUGACCUCAGGCAGGGUUUCCCAGUCUCCAUCUAUGUUUGGACUACAACUCCCAUCAUCCCUAGCUAGCAGGACCAGUGGUCAGGGAUGAUGGGAACCGUAGUCCAAAAAUGGCUGGAGAGCCAAGUGUGGGAAAUCCUACUCUAAAAAAAAAUAAAUGAAAUAAGAUAGAUUGUUAACAACUGGGGAGCUAGUUAUCGUCUCUGUAAUAAGUGGCGGGGGUGUUGUGUGGAGGAGCAUACAACCCCCCGAUACAGUCGUACCUUGGAAGUUGAGCGGAAUCCGUUCCAGAAGUCUGUUCGACUUCCAAAACAGUUCAGAAACUAAGGCGCAGCUUCCAAUUGGCUGCAGGAAACUCCUGCAGCCAAUUGGAAGUCGCGUAAGCCGUGAUGGACGUUCAGGUUCCAAAGUACAUUCUCAAACCGGUAGAAUCACUUCCGGGUUUGCAGCGUUCAGGACCCAAAACGUUCGACUCACAAGUCGUUCGAGAUCCGAGGUACGACUGUACAAGUUUGCAAGACACUAGUCCCUAGUGAUAAACUAGAUCAGAGUCUGGGGUUGAAGCUUUCACCUCCCUUGGCUUUUCCUCUUCCAAGAAAGAUGUGCCCUGCGAACUGUCAGUUCUUAAUCCACGGCAGUCGUCUUAUCCUUCUUUCGCAUCUGCUAAGGCAGCCCGUUCUCUUGGGUUUCAUGGCAAGCUCCAGGCUCAAUUUGUCAGAACCCGGAGAACGGGAACACCUUGCAACGCAGCUUGCGGUUCUUUCUUUUUCUGGAGUUCAAAAGUUCUCCUCCAUUUGCUCUGCGGCGUUAACGAGGCAGCCCCGCUUGAAGCCAUGGGUGUAGCUGCUGCUUUGCUCAGAGUGGGGCACAUUGUUGAGCCUUUGAAGCGCUUUCCGUGUCACCUUUUGAUGUGGGCUCCAUGCAAAUUCCGCGGCGGGAGGGAACGGCGUUGGUUUUGUAUCGUGCACUUUAAAAAAUAAAAAUAAAAGGAAUGCAAAAGGUUCUUUAUCGCAGCUUCCCGCAGUUUUUACCUGCUCCAGUUCCUGUGAAACGCCUCUGUUGUCUCCCCACCCUUUAGGCAUCUCUGUUAUUUGAUGGAAGGAGCUCUGUGAUCGCGGCUACAGAGAGUCCCACCUGCGUGGUGAGAAAAUCACACCUCUCAUUGCACGGGUGCGCAGAUUCCUCCACGCAUUAAAAAAAUGUGAGAGGAGGGUUGCAGGCUCGCUCCAUCGCCAUGCUGUUUGGUGCAUGGGAAAAGGGGCUCUGUGCGCAUACUGAUGUUCACAAAUAAGACCUCUGUGUAUGCUCAGGAGCACUAUAAGCAACCAUUCAUAAACACAUACAACAUCCCUUCUCAUGCCCAUUGACUGUGGUUCUUCCACUUUUAUCCUAUGUCUGUUUUUCUGCUGCGAAGACAUCCCCCACCCAUUGCCAUAUUCCACAAAUACGGCAUCUGGAAUACAUUUCUGCAAAUUGGGGAGGUGUUUUAUUGCUCCAUGAGUUUAGGGUUGGGGGGGUCUUUUUCCAGCCUGGGAGGCAGCAUUUCCCUCGGGGUAAUUGUCCAGUGGUGAGUGUUGCUCCUUGCUGCUGUCCGCCUUUUCACGGGAUGGGAUAAUAAUAAAUAAUAAUAAUAAAUUUUAUUUAUACCCCGCCCUCCCUGGCCAGAGUUGGGCUCAGGGCAGCUAACACCAGUAAAAUUACAGUAAAAAAAUAAUAGGAAAAAAACCAACAAUUUAAAAUACAGGUUAAAAUGCAAUUUAAAAUGCAGCCUCAUUUUAAAAGUAGCCCAUAGAUCAAAACCAUAAGGGGAGGGCAACAUAAAGGUCAGACUGAGUCCAAACCAAAGGCCAGGCGGAACAGCUCUGUCUUGCAGACCCUGCAGAAAGAUGUCAAGUCCUGCAGUCUCUUGUGACAGAGCAUUCCACCAAGUCGGUGCCAGUACUGAAAAGGCCCUGAGCCUAGUUGAGACCAAUCUAACCACCUUGUGACUUGGGACCUCCAAAGUGUUGUCAUUUGUGGACCUUAAGGUCCUCCGCAGGGCAUACAAGGAGAGGCGGUCCCUUAGGAUGUGAGUCCUCGGCCGGAAUAGGGCAUGUGGGGGAAAAAGGCAGCAAGAACAGGGAGGAGGGCCAGAAGGGGUCUGGGUUUAGUGAGCAGGAAGAGUCUGUGGCAGAGGGCAGUCCAGAAGUAGGAGAAGCAGAGGCUGGAGAGAAGUCGGAUCAAGAGGCAGAGAGAAUGUAGGCUGCUGAAGAAGCCAGGGUGUCUCCCCCUCCUGCUGUGACCAGAACCAGAAGAGGUAUGAAGAGGGAGGAGCAAAGACAGGUAUGAUGGUGUAGUCUCAGAUUGCUUAGGAAGGACCAUGGGGAGGAGGAGACCCUCACAACUGCCUCAUGGGGGCAAGCUCUACUGGGACAAGUUGCCGUGCUCACUAGGCCUGGCCUUAUGAGCAGAUCUUGGUUCCUUGAAUGAAGAGUUAACUUCACUUAUGACGUGAUUUAUUGCUGACUUUCUUGUGACAUCAACGGAGGGACCCUGGCUGGGGAUUGGGCCUCGGCAAGUGCCCUACGAUGCCAACUCUGGCACCAGUUUUGUGCAGCAUCCCCUUGAAAGCUUCCUGGUUGGCCCCUUCAGCAGAGUCCAUGUUGUUAUGCUUCGUUGGGCCUGAUUCUGAGGUUCUGCGCGGACCGCGAAACCUGCACUGCGCCUUCUUAGGCCCUCCUCCUUUCGCCGGAAGGCCUCUUGUAAGCAAAAGGAUGUUGGAUCCAUCUUUUGAAAUGGAAGCGGCCGCAUUCUGCUUACCUUCCCCCAGAGCAAUCGAUCUCUCGCACCAGGGAGACGUUUGUUCUCAUAUGGCUUCAAUGAUGAUGGAUGCCCCCGGUCUUGGGUAUUGAUUGUUCCUGGGAGAUAGCGCGAUUGGAGCUCAUAUUUUGGAUUUUUUUUUAAAAAAAAGAAUCCUGCUCAGUGCCUGCUCACAGAGGCUUGAAUACUGUAUUUUUCACUCUAUAGGACACACUUUUUCCUCUCCAAAACUUAAGGGGAAAUGUGUGUGCGUCCUAUGGAGCGAAUGCAGGCUCCUUGGCUUCAGCAAUAGCAACGCGAAGCCUCCGAAGUGCAGAGGGUUGAUCUAGGUGGAUAAAAAGCAUUGCCCAAGCAGACACCUUCAUUCUCGGCCAGUGUUACAGGAGUGCGCCGGUCAGUAAUCACACAGUUCAAAGACGGGAGUGUUUGCAAAAACACAACCUCCACAGACUUGGUUGAGCAUCAGGUGUAAUGAUCAGCCUAUUUCCGAUGGUCUUCCUCCAUGGAAAUCAGUUGCUGAGACUGAAAAACCCCAACCUCCUUACCAGGGCUGUCCCCCAAGAAAUCUGAGACUGUGCCUGCAUGCGGACAGCUUCCCCUCCGCCCUUUUCAUGCCUCUUUUGGUUCUGGGAGUCAAGGGGGAGGGGAGCUUGUCACAGCAGCAGCGGCAGAGACCCUUGACUCUUCACCAGCCGGACUCAUCCUUUCCUCUUGGCCUCCCUUCUCUCCUGCUUCAGCUUCUUCCUCUAAUUCUGGACUUCUCUCUGCCACAGACUCUCCCAGCGCACUAAGCCCUGUUACAUCUAUUUCCUGAUGGAAUAGCCUUUGGACUAUAAUGUAACUUAAACAGAAAACUAUCUUUAGAAAGAUUUUUCCUCCAAAAGCAUUUUAUUUUAAAAAUCUGAUUUAAAUUAAAAAAAAUAAUAAUCUGAUAUAUAUAUAUAUUUUAAAAAAUCCGAUUUUUACUUUUUAAAAGCCAUUGAUUUUUACCCACCCUCCUUUCUCUGUACUUCUCAAUCACGGUUGUCAAAGGGCUUCUAGGGUGGACUGAGUCAGAGAAGGCAGAGUUGGGUUUCCAUGGCUGGCAGAAGCCCAACAGACUCAUUGCGUUAAUCGAGUGCCAUUUCCGUCUCAAAGGUGUCAUCUCAUCAGUGGGGUUUAUCUGCCUCGGUUGUUCUGUUCCCAGUGCCUGCAUAUUAGCACGACACACCACACGCUUCCACGAGAUAGGUGUGCGCACGGUUUCUUUUUUCAAGAGCAAUAUAGUCAUCUCACAGAAAGCAAAGGUUUGUGUUUAUUAAAUGAAGUGGAGCCUCUCUUAUCGCCCUGAUAGGGGACGGCGCCUUCCUUUCGCCCUUCAGAAAAGCCUCGGAUCAAAGAGGCCGGCGGAAGGUUACGUGAGGCUGGCAUGACUCACCGCGAUAAACGGCAGGGCCGUCGCCCAGGAAGAUGCAGGAGAAAAGCGUUUGCGGGCGUUGAGCGCACGUAACAGAAAGAGAUGAAUGGCCGGGCCUCUCCAUAGGCACAGGUGUGACGGCCCUGGGUUUAUUGACUGAAGCCUCUGCUCAGUGCUUCUGCAGAUAACGCGAGCCGACCAGGUCAGGGAUAAGGGGAGGAAUCCUGCAGCGAUCUGGGCAUUCGAGCGCUUCCCGAAGGUUUGCUGUUGUGCCUGGGUGAAAUAUACUCUGAGUCGAGAGUGGAUUUCAUGCUCUUUAUUCAGCUCAUAGUGGUGAGGAGGAAUGGAAGUUCCCCCACAGUAUCUGCUUUAUAUACAUUAUUUACACAAUGGGCCCCACGUGAUUGGCUAUUUCCGGGAUUCUCCUGUAGGCCAAUCAGGUUGUGGAUUCAAUUCCAUCUGGAGCUGGAUUGGGUGGCUCCUGCAGACCAAUCAUACUGCUGCAUUGUUCUAGGACCAAUCAGACUGCUGCAUUUUGGAUCCUAUUCAACUCAGUACAUAAGACUGGGAAACAGACCCAAAGGAGGAGGCAGCAUGGUGUAGUGGUUGGAGCAGCUGUUCGCAGCUGGCUGAGGAUGAUGGGAGAUGUAGUCCAGAAUAUCUGGAGAGCACCAGGUUGGGUUAUAGGCUAGGAUUGUGGAAACUCGGGUUCAAAUCUCGGCUCAGCCAUGAGGCCCAUCCCUCAGCCUUGCAGGGGAAAUGAUUCGAGGGCGAGCAAGGCAUGAUGCCUUGAAAUCAAGGAGGAAAGGUUAGCGUGUGCCAUAUUUCAAACAGUUGUUGAGCUUUUUUUUUUAUUAGUUUUCCCAAACUUGUUGAGCUUUUGGGCAAAAUUGGGAUGUCAUACGCCCGAAUUUUCCUGCACAUUUUUUGCUGAUUUCCGCCUGAACACUGCUGUAUUCCGAAUAGGUCCAGGAAAUUCCAGACAUAUGGCAACCCUAAAAUAAGCACAAAUAUCCCGUGGAAGUUCGUAAUCACAGAAGAGGCUGCCUGUGGUCUCUCUGCAUGACUUACUGGAAGGAAGCAAGGCUGAAUCAGUGACUCAGUCUGUCCCUACUGGAAGCAGGUGAUUCUAUCCCCACCUCUGCAUUGGUUGUAAUUUCAGUAUUAAAGCAUUCCCAACAGAGCUUUCAGGGGAGGCUGCCUGUUGCUUCUCUUUAUGAGUCAAUGCCCCGACCUCCUAAUCACAAACUCACAUGGAGGCACAAGAGAGAUUACUCUUCCACGGUGUAAAAUAAACUCAGGUGUAGGAAUGAAAUAUACUUCCAAUGUUAUUUCAGAAGAAACGGAGAAAAAUUACCCGUGCACAUUCUGUCUCUAGAAGUAUCUGAUUUUUUGAUCCUUUUAUUUAUUUAUUUUAAAACCUGCAAACCUAAAUAAGUUUGUUACAUUCACAUAUUUUGCACGCUUUGUUCUGCUAGCCAUAUCUGAAGAACAAAGAGCACCUCAGGGCAAAGAGUGAUAAUUUCUGGUCCCUGUUAGGCACAGUCUGCACCAUUCUUUUAAAACAGUAUUGUACCACUUCAAACUGCUGUGGUUCCCCCCCAAGGAAUUCUGGGAACUGUAGUUUAUUCAGGGUGCUCCGAGCUGUUAGGAGACCCCUGUUCCCCCCACAGAGCUACAAUUACCAGAGUGGUUUAACCAUCAACCUCUCUUCCCAGGGAACUCUGAGGCCUUAAGCACAACUUGGUUUCUGGGAUGCUGCCAUGCCUAUUCAGGCAUACCCCAUGCCAUUGUUAUAAGGGCUAGAAAGCUGUUUAUGAAAAGCAAGCAAUCUAGGCGGCUGACACCCUCAUAAUGCUGAACUUUGUGUCUGAUACUAACAUUCCUCACAGGUGCUGAAUAGGCAGCAAACUCCAGUCGCACUGAGAUGGACUGAUAACAUUCAGCAAUGUUUGUUCCCGAGAUGAUUAUGUUUGGGUGUGCGGCUGUAGCAAUUUGCGUUCUUAAGCAUGGCAGGUGAAAAUAAUUCCUACCUCCAAGAGCAGACAUUGGCUUGCACGGCCAGGGCACGUUUUCAAAAUCUGUUACAGCUCCCAUUUUAAAACUUUUGGAUUUUGGAAGCCCAGCAACCAAGCUGGGAACUUGUUCCAAGCUCAGAUUUUUUUUCCAGAAAAUUAAAAUUUGAACUGCUUAUUGUUUCCACCCACUGCCCACCUGCCCCUUCUCAGAAUUGUAUAUCCGACUGAGGUUCAUUCAAUGCAAAGGAUUUAUUUGCACCUCUUGUUUUAGAGAGCAGACGCGAGAUCACAAGUGGCGAAUGACCUGUGGCACUCCAGAUGUUGGACUCCAUUUCCUAUCAGCCCUUGCCUGCGUGGCAAGUGGUCAGGAAUGAUGGGAGUUGUAGUUCAGCAACAUCUGGAGGUGUGAAGGUAAAGGGACCCCUGACCAUUAGGUCUAGUCGUGACAGACUCUGGAGUUGCGGCGCUCAUCUCGCUUUAUUGGCCGAGGGAGCCGGCAUACAGCUUCCGGGUCAUGUGGCCAGCAUGACUAAGCCGCUUCUGGCGAACCAGAGCAGCACAUGGAAAUGCCAUUUACCUUCCCGCUGGAGCGGUACCUAUUUAUCUACUUGCACUGGUGUGCUUUCGAACUGCUAGGUUGGCAGGAGCAGGGACCGAACAACGGGAGCUUACCCCGUUGUGGGGAUUGGAACCGCCGACCUUCUGAUUGGCAAGUCCUAGGCUCUGUGGUUUAACCCACAGUGCCACCCAUGUCCCCCUCUGGAGGUGUAACUUGCCCUAAAAUAGGGUAAGGGAGGGCUAUAGAUCAGCGGUAGAGCACCUGAUUUGCAUAAUAUUAUAAUAACAACUUUAUUAUUUGUACCCCGCCCAUGUGACUGGGUUGCAUGAAGCUGGGAAUGAUGAUCUCUUAAGGAGUGAGAGAUUGGUGGAGGAAUCUCGGAACCCAAGCGUGCCAUAAUAAGUGGAAAGUUUCUCUCCCCCCCCCCCCACCCUGCCUCUUUGGUCUAAAUUAAUCUUUAGACGUGAAAGAGGCAGAGAGAACUCAGGCGCAUUAAAGGCAGAUUUAUCGCAGCAUGAAUUCCCAAACAGAAGAGUCCAUUUCAUCAUACCUUUCUGGCUUUGGCAGGUGAACAGCUGCCGCUCUUCUGCAAUCAUGUUCAGGUGUCAGCUUCUUGUUGUGAAGUUGCAAAAGCUUCUCCUUUGUUGCAGUGCGCUGACUACGUACUGAGGUUUCUUUGAGGCGCGGGAGGCAUUGUGCGCCGGUGUGCGCAUGUAUGUGAUUGCUUAAGAACAUUAGAAGACCCCUGGCUGGGUCAGGCCAAUGGCCCGUCGUCCAGCAUUCUGUUCUCACAGUGGCCAACCAGUUGCAUAUAGACAAUCACGGCUAAUAGUCAUCGGUAGGCUUUUAGUCCUAUCAUUUCUCUAAUCUUCUUUUAAAGCCAUCUGAGUUGGUGGGCGUCCCUGCCUGCCUGGGGGAGCGAAUUCAAUUCCGGGUGUGCUUUGCUAACUGGUCUUCAGGAGAGAGGGUGAAUGGCAAUAGCCAUUAGAAGAGGGAGAAAAGAAAUUGUCCCAGGUUAAAUAAAUAAGGGAAACCCAUCAAUCAUUUUUUAAAAAAAAUGAUUUUGUUGUUUAAUAUUUAGUUUGUACAUGCUUCCCACCAGUGCUUGAUGCGCUUCGUAUUUCAGAGGAAGGGAAAUUCAUAAACAAACAAGCAGACACAUACUUUUGGUCUUUACGAAUCGACGGGGUGGGAGAUGCGCUACCAAAGGCUCUCAGUUUCAGAUAAUAAUAAUAAUAAUAAUAAUAAUAAUAAUAAUUUUAUAAAAAUAUUAUUUACAUACCGCCCAUAUGGCUGGGUUUCCCCAGCCACUCUAGGCAGCUCCCAACAGAAUAUUAAAAACACAAUAAAGCAUCGAACAUUAAAAACUCCCCUAAACAGGGCUGCCUUCAGAUGUCUUCUAAAAGUCAGAUGGUUGUUUGUGUAUUUGACAUCUGAUGGGAGGGCAUUUCACAGGGCAGGUGCCACCACCGAGAAGGCCCUCUGCCUGGUUCCCUGCAACCUCACUUCUCACGUGAGGGAACCACCAGAAGGCCCUUGGAGCUGGACGUCAGUGUCCAGGCUGAACGAUGGGGGUGGAGACACUCCUUCAGGUAUACACGUGCAUUGCUAGGCUAAAGGCAUAGUCAGCAAUUCAUCCUCACCUUCACCUCCCUCCCCAUCUCUUUGUAUCCUCCUCCCGGCUCGAAUUCACUGGGCACAAGGCUUGUCCCUUUACUGUGAGUUUGCCAAGCGCCAUGCAAGUGGAUGCUGCUUUGCAGAUAAUAUCCAUUAAUAGCAAUUAAUCUGGUGCUUUCUGAUAACUGUGGCGAAAUGGUCUCCCAUGUAGCAGAAGCAUAACGCGAGGAAGCGUCAUGCGGAAAGAUCGGGGCCUGCAGUUUGUGAACGACCGCAGCUGCAGCUGAUCCAGGGAACGGGGAUGCGAUUGUAGGCCUGUGCUUUUCGCUGGAUCCGGGUUCAAGAGCUGCUGCGUAACCUGCCCUGCUCCAGCUUGUAAGCAAGGCACCCUGUGCAGAAGAUGCUGUAGACACGGUCCAGUCCAGUCUUCCCCGAUUCGGUGCCUUGGACUACAACUACCAUCAGCCCCAGCUAAUGCAGCUGUGCUGAUGGGAUUUGUAGUCCAAAAGGCCUGGAGGGCAAUAGGCUGUGGGGAGGGCUGUCUCAGCCAAGAGAGUGUGUGUGCUGCACAAUGGGAAAUCCCCUGAUUCGAAUCUUCUUUCAGCUGUUAAUUCCCAGGGUGGUUUCUUAGGUAAGUCAUUAUAAUCUCUUGGCCUCAGUGGCCCCGUCUGCAGUAUGGGGAUAAUGCUGACCUGCCAAACAACAGGGUUAGUCUUACAGAUCGCCGAGAUAGAGUGUGUGAACCACUUUGAACAGACACAUAGCACCGGCGUUAGUCAUAGGCGGGAACAGUUUUGAACUUGCACCCUGCUAUUACUGGCGCGCUUCUAAACUUUCUGAAUCAGUCAUACCCUCAAAGAAAAGCUCAUCUUGGGACUUUUUUAAAUUAGUGAAGUGCGAAGACUUGGGGAGGGUCCCAAAGGAGGGGCAGGAAAGGUGGCGGUUUGGGUGGCCAAAAAGUAAGGGGUGUGUGUGGAUUGAGGUGCUCACUUGUCUCAGUGGCCCAGAAACCUGAUGGGUGCUACAGGGAGCUGAGUGGUGGGUUAGUGGGUGCUCUGCAGAAAGUUGGGGGCAUUAACCCCCCCCCCCCACCUCUGUGCUGCAUCAGAGAGUUAAUGGCUGGGUGUACAGCAGACUGUUAACCCUGUAGGGCGAAGUUUGAGAGUCGAGUGCAUGGAAAGAAUUGUGCCACCUUCUCCCUGGGUUCCUCCUCCCUGGGUUGCCCACAGUAGUAGCAUCAUUCCCCCCACCCCACAGGUGUUGUUGUUGUUGUUUAGUCGUGUCCGCCUCUUCGUGACCCCCUGGACCAGAGCAUGCCAGGCACUCCUGUCUUCCACUGCCUCCCGCAGUUUGGUCAAACUCACGUUCGUAGCUUCGAGAACACUGUCCAACCAUCUUGUCCUCUGUCGUCCCCUUCUCCUUGUACCCUCCAUCUUUCCCAACAUCAGGGUCUUUUCCAGGGAGUCUUCUCUUCUCAUGAGGUGGCCAAAGUCUUGGAGCCUCAGCUUCACGAUCUGUCCUUCCAGUGAGCACUCAGGGCUGAUUUCCUUCAGAACGGAUUGGUUUGAUCUUCUUGCAGCACCCCACAGGUAGGGGGAGCCAAAGAAACGGAGGGUAGAUCGGAGCCGAGUUGGUUAAACACAUGCUUUUCCUGCAGAAGGUCCCAAAUUCAAUCCCUGACAUCCCUUAUUAAAAAGAACCAAGGGAGUGAUGAUAAGCAAGGAUCUGGCAUAUAUUAAAAUCUGAUCUAAGGCAGCUUCCUCUUCCUUUCUGGUCCUUGGACCCAUUCUCUCACGCUUUUAAUGGUCCGUUCCCAUGAAAGGAAUCUGCCAGACAUGUAGAUGUUGUCUGCAGGGUGUUCUUUUGUUUUUUAAAGGAGAUUGUUUUUAAAAGCAUAAUUUUUUUUCCCCAUAUCUUGGGCACAGGGGGUGUCCUCCGAGUUAUGUCUCUUUGCACCAUUCCACUUCUUAAAUUGCUUGCCACAGGGCUACCACAUUUUGUUAUUGAAGGCGGACUUGUAACGGCAGUGGGUAUUCGGGAUUGGGGUGAACUCUGCACAGGUUGGCAGCCAGCCGUGCAGUCUCGCGGGAAACUUCGUUCCAUUCCCCCAUCUCCCCAAAUACCCAGCCACUACUCCUUGCCCGCUGAGCAGGCUCAGUUCACUUUGAGCUUUCCCGGCGCACUCAAACACUCCCCAUCAUUCCCCCCCCCAAAUGAUGAUGAUGAUGUUUGCAUUUGCAGAUCUUGGAGUUCCCACAAGCAGGCAUGCACCUCUUUCUCGCUCUUAAGUGGGAGGGUGGCAGCAACUUUUGCUAUAUUAAAAUCUAUACUCUAAGAAUGAGUCUGCUGUCAGUAUCAUGUUGAUGUCCUUUCCCCCAUACAAAGAGCUUUUACGGGUUUUUUAACAUGGGAAAAUCCUGUAAGUCGGGGGUUGCGAAGUCGUUUGUUGGAUCACGGUUUCUAUCAAGCAGUGGCCAGGGAUGAUGAAAGUUGUAGUCUAGGAAAGGGCGCAAGGGCACUGUGUUGGCUAACCUGGCUGUGAGUAGAUUAAGGUUAAAGGACUGUAGUCUGGCUAAGGUUAGAGAAGAGUCUGCUUGGGAUACGCCCACGUUCCCAGGCUUUCAUCUGCCUUUGGGGUGCUUUGAGAAGCCAGACGGGAGCUGUGUGCUCUUAACUUCCCAGACGCAUCCUUCCAGGGAAAAAAGGAGGAGUCUUGCCUUCUGGUUCCCUCUCCCUUUCCACGGAAAUGACUUUUGGCCGCAAACACUGUGACAUGACAGCUUUCCCGCUUGCUCAGUAAAGGCGGGUUUCUGGCUCUGCUGGGAGAAUCCUGAUCUGCUGCCAGAAGUCACUCCGCAUUUGAGGUGGCGUCUACACGGAGAAGAGCGUGAGAAGCAGCACUUUUGCUCUCCCUCCCUGGAGGCUGAGGGAUCAGGGCUCCAUCUGCAUGUGCUUCAGAAGAUUGGAUGCUGCCUAAUUCAGAGUCAGGCCGUUGGGUCAGCAGCAGAGUUUAACAGAGGAGCCUGAACAGAAAGAGGUUUUUCCUCCAUUCCUCAUCAUGCUAGGUCCAGGAGUCAUCUGAUGAAGCUGAAUAGAAUCAGAGAAGGGUAGAGUUGGAAGGGAUCCCAUGGGUCAUUUCGUGAGUCCAACCCCAUGUAAUGCAGGAAUCAAAUGUUGGGAGACUCAGAAAGCCACCUUCUUGACUGUUGGACUCACUAUUGGUCUCUUCUGCCCAAUCCACCGGAGCCUGUCUUCGCAUGUAUGGAGAGUCGCUGACUCACCGAGGGUUUGAGACAACUAUGCCACUGAAUGCCAGGAUCAUUCAUGCCCAACUUCUGCCUUCCCUUAGGCAUCUGUUCAGCCACUCUGGGCAUGGAAUGGACCCCUGACCAUUAGGUCCAGUCGUGGCCGACUCUGGGGUUGUGGCGCUCAUCUAUCUUUACUGGCCAAGGGAGCCAGCGUACAGCUUCCGGGUCAUGUGGCCAGCAUGACUAAGCCGCUUCUGGCAAACCAGAGCAGUUCACAGAAAUGCCGUUUACCUUCCCGCCAGAAUGGUACCUAUUUAUCUACUUGCACUUUGACGUGCUUUCGAACUGAUAGGUUGACAGGAGCAGGGACCGAGCAACGGGAGCUCACCCCGUCGUGGGGUUCGAACCGCCAACCUUCUGAUCGGCAAGCCCUAGGCUCUGUGGUUUAGACCACAGCGCCACCCGCGUCCCUGGACUCGAAAUCCUGGCAUUCAGUGGCAUAGUUGUCUCAAACCCUUCAUUGAUAACGAAGAUGCAAUGCGUUGAACCUUUGACCUUUUGCAUGCAAUGGAUGUCCUCUCCCACUGAGCUUGCACCCCUUCCCUUGACUUGGCCACUGACUGGUCAGUUCUGUGAGCUAAGCUAAGCUGGAAGAUAGCAACUUGACAAUGGCGACCCAGUGAGUUUUGUGGGCGCACAUUUACCCGCAAUCACUUAGAGGUGGAGCAGCUGCUUUGCUCGAAUUACCAGCAUCUUCAGGAAGACAGGGAGAGGUCCCCAGCCCCAAACCCUGGAGAGCUGCUGCCAGUCAGUGUAGACCAUACCAAGCUAGAUGGUCCAGUGGUCUGACUCAGUAUAAGGUGAAUUCCUGUGUUCCUAGUUAUGCAUCUCUCACGUUAGAUAGCUCAGUUGGUAAAUCACGGAGGCUCUUAGUUUCAGGGUCAUGGGUUCGAGCCCCACGUUGGGCAGAUUUCUGCAGUGCAGGGGUUGGGCUAGAUGACCCUCGUGGUCCCUUCCAACUCAACGUUUCUAUGAUGUCCGACAUUUUAUCCCACAUGGCCUCCAUUGUCGUUAAUGCAAAUCCAGCCCUGUCCAUGACACGUAUCAAAGGGCGAGAGGGUAGGUCCUUAGGGGGGGUUGCAAUCUAGAAAUAGACAUGAGGGAGGCUGAAGAGAAAGGCAGGGCGAACAGCGAAAGGCUAGAUCAUUAAUUUCAAUUAAAUGUACUUUGGCUUAGUUACAGUAGGAUAUUGGGACUCGGAGAGGUGUGCCAAAAGUCUAGUGCAUGGGUGGGAAAGCAUAAUUUCGCCUGUUUUCCUUGCAGAGGAGUUGAAGUUUUGCGGGCAGCGUACAGAUAAAAGACCAGCGGCUUCAGCUUUACUCCAUAAAUGCUUAGUGCCGCCUUCCCCAGCCAACCAGAAGUUGGUUGGACUACAACUCCCAUCAUCCCUGGCUGUUGAUGCUGCUGGCUGGGGCUGAUGGGAGCUGGAGUCCAACAACAUCAGGAGGGCCGCAGAUUGUGCAGGAUUUCUGGUGCUUGAGGAGGUGCUCCUCAGAUGCAGAAUGUCCCGGAUUCUGUUCCUGGUAAGGUAAAGGAACCCCUGACCAUUAGGUCCAGUCGUGACCGACUCGGGGGUUGCGGCGUCCAUCUCACUUUAUUGGCCGAGGGAGGCAGCGUACAGCUUCCGGGUUAUGUGGCCAGCAUGGCUAAGCUGCUUCUGGUGAACCAGAGCAGUGCACGGAAACGCCGUUUACCUUCCCGCCAGAGUGGUACCUAUUUAUCUACUUGCACUGGUGUGCUUUCGAAUUGCUAGGUUGGCAGGAGCAGGGACUGAGCAACGGGAGCUCAGCCCGUCGUGGGGAUUUGAACCGCUGAUCUUCCGAUCCGCAAGCCCUAGGCUCUGUGGUUUAACCCACAGCACCACCCGCGUCCCUUCUGUUCCUAGUAUGCCCUGUUAAAAACAAGAAGUGGCUGCCUGUCAGAGUCAGAGCAAGUGAGGUCCCUGUGAAUGCUAGCACUUGCCUGACCCCUGUGUGCUUGCUUCUGUAACCCUGCUCAACUCAGGAUGAGCAAUUUGAUUAUUUACAAUAAUCUCCAGCGCCGUCUUCCUCCAAGGAAAGAUGACUCCCCAGAGGCGGCUUGGAGGAAGAGAAAAUACGUUCCCAGACAAUGCAGGAAAGCACCUUCUCAUUAACAUGUCCUGCGCUUUGCAUGCUGUAGUUAAUGCACACUCCUAAGGUGCACGCUUAAAAAUUGCAAUCCUGAGUACACCCAACUACCAGCAAUUUAGUCGGUCAGAUUUACCUCUGAGCAGACUGGGCUGUGAAACAUUCAGAACUUCAAAUCUACAGCAAAGUUGUGGGAACCUGUUUCUGCAUUAAGAGCGAUGCACGGAAUUCGCACCAAGGUCCUGUGUUUUCACCUGUGUGCCAUUCAGAACGGCUUGUAUUUUGUCUGCUAAAUAAGUGCGGUUGGCAGGGAAGUUGCAUUAUUGAUCACAGAUCGAAGUUAUAUUAUUUGAGAACACAAGGGCAAUCUGUUGACAUAGUGUGUGUGUGUUUUGGGGGGAAAUAAUGUAUCCUAUAUGGGAUGCGGGUGGUGCUGUGGGUUAAACCACAGAGCCUAGGACUUGCUGAUCAGAAGGUCAGCGGUUCGAAUCCCCGCGACGGGGUGAGCUCCCGUUGCUCGGUCCCUGCUCCUGCCAACCUAGCAGUUCGAAAGCAUGUCAAAGUGCAAGUAGAUAAAUAGGUACCGCUCUGGCGGGAAGGUAAACUGCGUUUCUGUGCGCUCCUCUGGUUCCUCAGAAGCGACUUAGUCAUGCUGGCCACAUGACCCAGAAGCUGUAUGCCGGCUCCCUCAGCCAAUAAAGCGAGAUGAGCGCCGCAACCCCAGAGUCGGCCACGACUGUACCUAAUGGUCAGGGGUCCCUUUACCUUUACCUUAUUGUACCCUAUACCGAAAGUUAACCCCUUACAGUUAAAUGCGUCCUGUUUCCAACAUAUGCAGAGAUCUGGAGCAAGUAGCACGAGCCCACGCCAGUGAGAUACCUGCAAGGGCAAAGAGUUUAGCCGAACAAUUUGCUCCAGAUGGCUUCAGUCUGCAAGUGGUUAUCCCAGAAUGCACCUCUGCCAGGAAAUCCGAGUGGAAGUCGACAAGGAAUUCUAACAGAGAAUUCAGAUCACCCUCACCAGACUAAUUCCCAGCCUUAUUUGGUGGGAAGCACUGGCAAAUCCGGUAUAAAACUGGUACGAGUUCGUAGGAUAAAAUGCCUUUAUUAUAUAGGAUCGUGAGCCCAUUUCCUCCCCCAAUGCAUUGAGAAUUCCCUUGUCUCCCCACAAGCAUUUUAGAAACAGGGGUGCAUUCUCCUCUCUCACGACCAUCCUGUUUGUUUCCUCCCUUAAUUCCUUCUGAGGAGUCCAAACCACAGUGAAAGUCCUUUGAAAGCCGGAGUAACUGUUUGUGAGAACAAAGCCCUUGGUGAAUCUUGGGUUUUUUUUCAACGAGGCAAACUUUCUUAAUAUCCUCUAAAUGUUUGCGUGGUCUGCAAAGCACGUAUCUGAAGAUAACAUCAGAAUUAUUUCUUUCAUGGAAAGUGGAGCUGAGGGAUGCUGAUUGCAUCUAUGUAGGCCUUUUAAAAUGCCUCUUCAUCUUGUAUCACUUCAGAUGAAAGGAUUUAACUGCAGAGCACAGCUAACCAUCACAGCUAAUUAGGUGUAAUGCUCUUUUCACACCAGCACUGAUUUGCAAGGCAAAACUUUGGGCAGGUCUCCCUUUUCCCUAGGUACCAGGAUACCUUGAGUCUGGAAAAGGGUUGUGAGGUUUGCAUGAAGACAGGGAGAGACAGGCCUGGCCUGAUCCACAGACAGAUAGCCAUGUCAUUUGCCAAGUCCCAGACACCAGGCAUCUAAGUAUGGCUGCUUAUGCAGGGUUGCCAUGAGUCCUCCUUUUCCAGGACAUGUCCUCUUUUUUUCAGGAUUAAAGUUUCUGUCCGGGUAUAUUUUCAAAAUUUGGCAAAAUGUCUGGGGUUUUUUUUAUUUGUUUACAGUAACCCAAGAAAAAAAUUCUAGUGCAUGACACUCAGAUGUAAGGCACCCAGCUAAGCAGAGAAUCAGAACAGAGCGGCAUCUUAAACUAGCUACAUCACAUAUGAAUCCCUUCUCUUGUGGCCAAACUCAGAGGACUUUGGCUCAGCCACAAGAUUUUGGACCAGGAGUCUGGGAGGGCGAGAGUUAACACCCCCCCUGCCCUUAAGGAGAGUCCAUAUGUACAUUUUAAACAGUUUAAUUAAAUUGUUCUGUGCACACUGAUGUUCACAAAGAUGUGGGCACGAGCCGCAAUACUUUCGUGUGGCAGGUGAGGGAGCAAUAUCUAUUAUUAUUAUUAUUAUUAUUAUUAUUAUUAUUAUUAUUUUCUUGUUGAAAGUUAAGAACAGUUACUAGCAAUGUAUCACAGCUUCUAUAGCCUAUGUAUAGUUAGGGGUAUUUAAAAUGAGAAUCGUCAUAGCGAUCCAUAGAUAAAAGUAGGAGUCGGCAAAUGUGUCCUCUUUUUUGCUCUUCAGAAUAUGGCAAGCCUAAGUAAGGAACGUGAGUGGCACUGUGGUCUAAGCCACUGAGCCUAGGGCUUGCCGAUCAGAAGGUUGGCGGUUCGAAUCCCCACGAUGGGGUGAGCUUCCGUUGCUCAGUCCCUGCUCCUGCCAACCUAGCAGUUUGAAAGCACGCCAAAAAGUGCAAGUAGAUAAAUAGGUACCACUCCAGUGGGAAGGUAAACGGCGUUUCCGUGCACUGCUCUGGUUCGCCAGAAGCGGCUUAGUCAUUCUGGCCACAUGACCCGGAAGCAGUACGCCGGCUCCCUCGGCUAAUAAAGCGAGAUGAGCGCCGCAACCCCAGAGUCAGCCACGACUGGACCUAAUGGUCAGGUCCCUUUACCUUUACCUUUAAGUAAGGGUGGGGUGGUUUGGUUGUUUUGUGUGUGUGUCUGAGUGUUAGUAUUCAAACACACACACAAUUUUAUAUACCACUAUUACUCGGAUGGCGCUGUGGUCUAAACCACUGAGCCUCUUGGGCUUGCCGAUCGGAAGGUCAGCGGUUCGAAUCCCCGCGAUGGGGUGAGUUCCUGUUGCUUGGUCCCUGCUCCUGCCAACCUAGCAGUUCGAAAGCACGCCCAAAAGUGCAAGUAGAUAAAUAGGUACUGCUCCGGCGGGAAGGUAAAGGGCAUUUCCAUGCGCUGCUCUGGUUUCGCCAGAAGCGGCAUAGUCAUGCUGGCCACAUGACCCGGAAAAACUGUCUGCGGACAAACGUCGGCUCCCUUGGCCAGUAAAUCGAGAUGAGCGCCGCAACCCCAGAGUCUUUCAUGACUGGACUUGUCUGUCACGGGUACUUUACCUUUAUUACUACUAAUAAUAAUGAUUAAUAAUAAUGAUAAUAAUAAUAAUAGUUUCCACCAGCAUCUGGUUGGUCACUGUGAGAAGAGGAUGGUGAACCAGAUGGGCCAUUGGCCUGAACCAGCAUAGCUCGUCUGUUCUUAAUUGUAUUUUGCAUGUGUGUCAAGGCAAAACACAAGCAAAACAAUUUACAAGCAAAAUAAUAAAAACAGCUGCGCCGCUAUAGCUGUUUUGGCUACAUAAGCGAAGGUUAGUAAUCAAAUUGGAAUCAGAAUAUAGCGUUAGAAUAAGCUUUUACAUGUCCAAAUGAGAUAGUUCUGAGAACAAAGGCCAGGAUCUUGAUUGAAUUAAUCAUUAAUUUGAUCCGCAGCGCGGGGGAGGGCCACUUACUCCGGCUCUCAACGUUGUAAUGGAAAUGCAGGAAAACAGGAAUUGAUGGUUGUUACCUCUGGCAUGUCACUGUGGCAUAUCAUCUUCAGAAUGAAGCUGAUGGAGAAGGCAGGAUACAAACACCAUUGUGUUGGGUAAAGUUGGAGGAGUUAACUGUGAGGUCCAUUUGGGACAGUCUGCAUAGCAGUGUGCAGCAAUCUUAUAUCAGUUUAACCUUCCCUAAAGGCUCAGUUUGGGGGCGGCUCAUGGGCUCGUUGAAUGACCUCCGUGGGCCGCAGGUUGGGGACCCCGGACUAGAUGAUGCUCAGGGUCCAUUCCAACUCUACAAUUCUAUGGUUCUAUGGAAACCCACAAGCAGGAUCUGGGAACAAGAGCACUUGUUUCCCCCCCAAGCAACUGGCAUUGGUGCCUCCAACUGUGGAGGCACAGCCUAGCCAUUGUGGCUAGUAGCCAUUGAUGGCCCUCUCCUCUAUGAAUUUGUCUGGUCCUCUUUCCAAGCCACCAAAGUCAGUGGCCAUCCCUGCCUUCUGUGGCGGUGAGUUCCAUAGGUUAACUGUGUGAAGAAGUACUUUGGAAGAGUCGGUGAAAGAAGACUGGAAGAAAUUUAAAGACUAUUUACAGAAAUAUUGUAAAAUUAAUGAAUCUUAGAAGGAUGUUGGAUAGAAACUAAGUGGUUUCCAGCUGUAAUGCUUUAAGAGAUACGAAAAAGUGUUUACAAAUGGGUAAAAGCUUAAUGGUAAGGAUUUGCAGAACUAACAAACUGAACUGGAAUAAAAAAAAGGGAGGUACGAGGAGGUCCGGGGAAAUAAGUGUAAGGAAGAUAUGCUAUGGAAAAUUAAUGUGUUUUUAACUGUUUUUAUUUUGUAUGUUUCUUUUUAUUUUUCAUUUCUUUGUUAUACCUUAAUAAGGGUUUUUUUAUUCUUUUUGCUGUAUUUUGUAUUUUCUUGUAUUGUUAUUUUUUGUUUUUGUGUAAUUCUUGUAUUCUUUGAAAUUUUAAUAAAUAUCAUUUAAAAAAAAAAAGAAGAAGAAGUACUUUGCCUGUCCUGAAUCAUUCAGCUUCCUUGGAUGUCCACGAGUGUUGCGGGAGAGGGAGAAGAACUUUUCGCUUUUCCAGAUGGAAAGGACGCCCCUGGUAUCUAUAACUGAACUUACUAGGUGGGUUGGGAGUUGGGCCAGGUUGGGCCUGCAGCCUUUCCACUCCUACCUGCAGGCCUGGCUUCAGAGAACGGCUUUGGCUGACUUCACACAGGUUCCCACGUUGACCCCGGAGCUCUUUGACAUCUCUGCGAAGCUGCUGGAGGCAGUGGUUAGGGGGUUUGGAGUGCCAUUUUGUCGGUACGCAGAGGACACCCAGCUUUGCUUCUACCUUGCAUCCCAACCAAGUCGUGGACCGACACACAGAGACAUCGGUGGGCUAGAUGAAGGCCAGUGAGCUGAAGCUUAAAUCGCAACAACCUGGAAGCCUGGAGUGGUUGGUGGUCCCCAGGUCAGGAAUUUGUUAAAUUGCGUCUUCUGGAUGGGGUUCUCCUCCCUUGAAGGAACAGGUGCGGUGGUGAUGAUGAUAACAACAACAACAACAACAACGACAAUAACAAUAACAAUUUUUAUUUAUACCCCGCCCUCCCCAGUCAAGACCGGGCUCAGGGCGGCUGACACCAGAUAUAAAACAAUGGAUUGAAAUACAACUUUAAAAAACAAGAUUAAAAUACAACAUUAAAAUGCAGCCUCAUUUCAGCAGAAACUCAAAAACUUUUGGGGGGAUGAAAACGUCAAGUCUUCACCAAGGCUAAGUGUCUUACAGGCCCUGCAGAAAGAAAUCUGUCGCUGGAGGAGACUGCAGUGGUUUCAGGGGAGCCAGCCUGCAAGAAAUCACACGGAGUAUGUGAAGUUAACUCUUUAUUAGAAGGAGCAAAUAUGGCCUUCUCAGGGGUGCAGCAACGUACAGCAGCGCUUCUCUCUAGGCUGUUGCUUUCAGAUAUUGUUCCUUUAAAAGAAAGAAACAAGACAUAGCAUAAUUUCCUUUUACCGCCAGUUGCUUUGGGCACCUAUGCUAGCAUAUGAGUAAGGCUGUGUGAACUUUCAGGGCCAUAUACCCAGCUGCUCAUUUCUCUUUUUUUGCCGCUAAUCUGCCUUGCUAUUGGCUGAUGUUGUUUUUACACCCACAGUGUCCUUCGGUGUCGGCCUGUUCCAUUUGAUAACACCCCAGCCUUUACCUGCUCCGCACAGUUCCUUAUCGCACACAAAGUGAUGCCUUUCCUUUAGUUUGGCCCGGCGUGACACUCAUUGGGUCAUUUCUCCUCCUGCUAAGUUCUGUGUUCUUUAUUUCAUUCCUCUGUGCCCCUGCGGCUUGAUGAAGGUAGAAACUGUCUCUCAUGCCUUGUUACGCUGCCGUUUCUACGGGGAUAUAUCCUUGGUAUUUAUUACCCCUGCUAUGCAAAAAUCUCCAAAUGAAUCCGAACUUCAGUGUCUAAAAUCCCUGGUAGAGGACAAGGAUCCUGAGAUCACGUUAAGGGUGGCCAAAUUCUGUGCGAUUGCCAUAAAACGUAGGGAACAAGCUGUGCUAUCAUAAUGAUUAAGGUUUUAAAUGAUAAUUUUAGGUUAUAUGUUAGUGACUAAGUUUUAAUUUAUAUAUUUUUUAACUGUUGCUAUAGUUGUAUUGUCCCUGUUAUACCUAAUUGCAAAUUCAAAUCUAUCCCUAUCGCGUUUUAUGACUUCCUUGAUACUGUAUGUGGGCUGGAACUGGUCUGUGACCAAAAUAAUAGAAUUCAUUCAUUCAUUCCUCUACUCCUGAAAGCGACAGGAAAAUAUUGCCACUGAGCUUCUGGGAACACAAGGGGAGCAUGCAGGAUCCGGCCAGGGACUCAUCCGGUCCAGCACCCUGUUCUUACAGUGGGCAACCCUGUGAGAAACCCACAAUCAGGAUUUGAACACAAGAACACUCCUGUGUUUUCCAGAAAUGGGUGACCUUUGUAGCCAGCAUUGUCUACACGGAGUGGCAGCAGCUGUCCAGGAAUUCUGACAGGAGUCUCUCCCUAGCCUAUCUAAUAUGUCAGGAAUUAAACCAAGGUCCUCCUGUAUUUUCUUUUCUGGCAUUUACGGAUAGAAUUGUAGAGUUGGAAAGGGACACCAAGGGUCAUCUAGUCCAGCCCCCCUUCCAAUGCAGGAAUUUCUGCUAAAGCAUCCCUGACAGAUGGCCGUUUGCUUGAAAACCUCCAAGGAAGGAGAGUCCACAACCUCCUGAGGGAGACCAUUCCACAGUCAAACAGCUCUUACUUUCUUGUCGCUUGUAAUGAGUCACCCGGAGUGGCCGAGUGGGGAUUCGAACCCUUGUCUCCCUAGUCUGACAUCUAGUCUGACAUCCCCUGGCGAGUCAGUUCUGGCCUUUGCACACACACACACACCUCUUUUUAUUUUUCCGUUUUGGAAAUGCUGCUUGCUUUGCUACCAGAGAGGCGUGCCGUUGAGUUGGGAAUUUCCCCCGAGACAUCAUCAUCAGCCUUGCAACUGCCGGGAGCAAGUGACAGCCUCCCAUCUUCCUGUCCUCUCCUUCCCCUGGCCCUUUCACCUGGAGUGACUUGUCAGAGUAGGCAGCUAGUUAACUCAGACAGCUUUAUAGGCAGGGCGUUCGCUCGCCUAUUAAAGAGCAUUAAUGGAUUCAGGCGUGUCUGCCUUCUCAAAGGAGAGCAUCCUUUGGAACCAUGGGCGGGUCUUUUGCUGCCCUUAUUUGCCAGUUUGCUGUCUUUCAACGGGGCUGAUGGUUUAUCCAAGCUCUCCUUCCUAAUGGUGGUGGAAUCUGCGCCAAGCCUUUGGGGAGAGAGAAUAUCUUCAAGUCCGUAACUCUGCCCCCGGGCUCAACUGGCUGUUUGGGGUCCGGUCACAGCCACUCUGUCUCCUGCACAUCACAGCACUGAAGUGCGAAAGAUGUGUCCCCAGUGUUAGGAACUCAGAUAUAGAAGCCAGGCGCCAAAUGGCUCCUUAAACCAGGGUUGCAGUCACCAAAUCGAACAUCUAGUUGCCAUUUUUGGCCAAGGCGGCUUUGCUGAAAAAUAAACAAGGGACUGACCGUGAUCAUCAGUUAAACAUCUGGCUAUUUCAGAUGACAACCUUGAUCUGGGUUAAGAGUUUUGAGAACUUAAAGAAGAAAAGCCAGCUGAUUCUGGGACAGUCCACCUAUAUACAGUGGCACCUCGGGUUAAGAACUUAAUUUGUUCUGGAGGUCCGUUCUUAACCUGAAACUGUUCUUAACCUGAAGCACCACUUUAGCUAAUGGGGCCUCCCGCUGCUACUGCGCACCGCCGCGUGAUUUCUGUUCUCAUCCUGAAGCAAAGUUCUUAACCCGAGGUACUAUUUCUGGGUUAGUGGAGUCUGUAACCGGAAGUGUCUGCAACCUGAAGCGUCUGUAACCCGAAGUACCACUGUACCGGCCUGUUCUAUGCUCUUUUUCCUAGUGGUGACAUAAUGUAAGAAUAUUCUUCACAGCUGUGAGCAGGGCAGCCAUGUGGGGUAAAUGAACAAUCACAGUGGUACCUUGGUUCUCGAAUGGCUUAGCUCCCAAACAAAUCGGCUCCCGAACACCACAAACCUGGAAGUGAGUUUUUCGGAAGCAUAACAUCUGACACGGCUUUCGCGGCGUCCGAUUGAGUGCAGGACGCUCCUGCAGCCAAUCGGAAGCUGCACCUUGGUUUUCAAACUGUUCCGGGAGUCGAGUGGACUCCCGGAACGGAUGAAGUUCGACAACCAAGGUACCACUGUAGCUGUAACUUUCAUCACAGAGAGGGCAGGGAUGGUGUGUGUGUGUCAUUUAGGCAACAAUAGCUUUAUCUAUUUUGAAUGCCAUUGGCUGUUUUGAGUUUAUUGAUUUAUCUGUUUGUUUUGGCUGCAAACUCGUUGGUUUCUUAACUGCUGUGCUGUCCAGCGAUUUCGUUUUUCUGUGUGUGUUUAAUUUCAUACCGUGUGGAACUCUGGGGAGCCACUGCCAGUCAGACACCGCUGAGCAAAGGAGGUGGGUGGUCUCAAAAUAGAAUAAUAGAACCCCCUAGUAUUGAAAGAGUUGACCCUUGAGCAUCAUCUAGUGAAACGCCCGGAAUCUCAAAUCAAGCCUAGGUUCUUGUGUUCCUACAUGUUGUUGUUGUUGUUUAGUUGUUUAGUCGUGAUGGUUGUAGCUGAUGAAUUGUAGCUCACGGCAGGGAAUGGAUGUCUCUUAAGAACCCUUUGUUGUCGUUGUUUAGUUGUUUAGUUUAGUUGUGUCCGACUCUUCGUGACCCCAUGGACCAGAGCACGCCAGGCACUCCUGUCUUCCACUGCCUCCCGCAGUUUGGUCAAACUCAUGCUGGUAGCUUCGAGAACACUGUCCAGCCAUCUCGUCCUCUGCCGUCCCCUUCUUCUUGUGCCCUCAAUCUUUCCUUACAUCAGGGUCUUUUCCAGGGAGUCUUCUCUUCUCAUGAGAUGGCCAAAGUAUUGGAGCCUCAGCUUCAGGAUCUGUCCUUCCAGUGAGCACUCAGGGCUGAUUUCCUUCAGAAUGGAGAGGUUUGAUCUUCUUGCAGUCCAUGGGACUCUCAAGAGUCUCCUCCAGCACCAUAAUUCAAAAGCACCAAUUCUUCGGCGACCAGCCUUCUUUAUGGUCCAGCUCUCACUUCCAUACAUCACUACUGGGGAAACCAUAGCUUUGUGUUCCUACACACCCCGAGUAAAUGGGUUAGGUAGCAUCAAGCACCGACUUGGAAGUGUCACACUCUGGCGUGCAUGACCUAGAUUCCCGUGACCUUCCUUGCCCGGGACUUGUGUGUGCGAUUAGCCGAGUUGUAAUUCUCAGUAAUCCCUCUGUCCGUUUUCUGUCCUUGGGUGACUGGUGUCGGCUGGAGAUGAGCAGCGUCAGAAACGCCGCGGGUUUGGGAAAUAGUCCUGACUGCCCGUACGCCCUGCCCCAAACAUGGCUGCUCCCUCGACAGCCGUUCCAGGCUUUUCGCAGGGGCACACACCCCGGUUCCUAUUGCAGGAGCAGCUAUGAAGUCAUCCGCAUGCUUUGCUAAUUCUCUCUGCUGGGGAAGUGCUUUUGCAAGCAGAGGAGGAGAAGACAGGAGGGCUGGGAGUGGCCUUUGGCUCGAAAAGUGGGGAAUGGAAGCAAUUGAACUGCAGCCUUCCCAACCCCGUCAGCUAACCCAAGGCAGAGUCUUUGGGAGGACCCAAAAACUUGUUUCUGCUCUUUGAUCCUCCGUAGCAGAGCAGAGGAGAGUUUUCUGUGAUGGUUCCCCCACCCACCUGAUCCUCUUUUGAUUACAGCCUGUAAUGUGGUUUAUUUGUGCGCCGAUCCGCCUGGAGUUUUAUAAGCACCAUCGCCUUCUCCUUGAAUUUUCCCGGAGGCCGGUGCCUUGCAGACCCAACACUCUAAUUAAAGCAAGUUUCUGUGAGUUGAGUUGUCUGCGAGAAAUUGCCUCUUUGCAAGGCUGCGCCCAGCACAACUGAGCUUCACCACCAGGAAUUACAGGGGUGUGUGUGUGUGUGUGUUUGAAUGCAUGUGCGCAUACCUUCUUGACAAGGCUACUGUCGCCCUUGGUUUUAUGCAGAUCAUUUCCAGAAUUAAUCAUUUUGUGUGGUUUUUAUUAUUAUUACAGUGGUACCUCAGUUAUAGGGACGCAGGUGGUGCUGUGGGUUAAACCACAGAGCCUAGGACUUGCCGAUCAUAAGGUUGGCGGUUCGAAUCCCCGCGACGGGGUGAGCUCCCAUUGCUCGGUCCCUGCUCCUGCCAACCUAGCAGUUCGAAAGCACGUCAAAGUGCAAGUAGAUAAAUCGGUACCGCUCUGGCGGGAAGGUAAACGAUGUUUCCGUGCGCUGCUCUGGUUCGCCACAAGCGGCUUAGUCAUGCUUGCCACAUGACUCGGAAGCUGUACGCCGGCUCCCUUGGCCUGUAGAGCGAGAUGAGCGCCACAACCUCAGAGUCAGCCACGACUGGACCUAAUGGUCAGGGGUCCCUUUACCUUUACCUCGGUUAAGAACAGUCCUGUUUACCAACGAUUCGGUUUACGAACUCUUCAAAACCGGAAGUAGUGUCCCAGUUUGUGAACUUUACCUCAGUCUAAGAACGGACUCCAAACUGUGGAAGGAUACCGGCAGCGGGAGGCGUCAUUAGGGAAAGCGCGCCCUGGUUUAAGAACGGUUUCGGUUUGAGAACGGACUUCCGGAACAGAUUAAGUUCGUAAACCGAGGUACCACUGUAUUGCAGUACCCCAGAGACAACAUGUUACAGUGGAUGGCGUCGUGUGGCAAGGACAUGUCUUGAUUUGAUAGGCAGUUCUGAUCAGGGAACUUUCAAUUCACUGAAAAGCAACUCUUAGGCCUGACUGCCUCUGCAGAUGCGUCAUAUCAGCUCUGAGUUCCUCCUCUUCCCAGGCAUUCUGGUUUCUUGGAUAAAAGCUGCCAGAGCUUGGAAGCUGCCCAGCAGCCUCAUCUUCUGCCCUGGGGCUUCGUCUCAGAUGCGUAUGGGCUCAUCCCCGUUAGAGUCACAGAACCACAGAAUUGUAGAGUUGGAAGGGGGACCCCAAAGGCCAUGUAGCCCAACCCCUUACAACUAUGGCUCUGAGCUAUGGAUCUUCCCCAACCUUGGCUAGACUACAGUGUAUAGACGACUGCAGCCUAGGUUUAAGGUGUCAAUUGGUGAUUAGCUUAUAUAUCUGACUUUCUCACACUGCCAAAGAGCUUGGGACUUGGGGAAGCUCAGCAUUUGUCCAGCGUGUGACGCAAAUGUGCAAGGUGUUUUGAGCACUCAUGCGCUUGACAGACUUUGCUGCUCAUGGGGAAUCACAGUUCCAAUGUUUUCCUGCGCUCCGCAGUACGCUUCACCCGGCUUGCGCUCCUCAUAACGUCGCAGUUCUCAGAAAACCAGCACAGGAAUAAUUUGAGUGUCCACAGGCUUCUAUUUGCACAGAGAUAGCUCUGAGGAAAACACCACGGCAGGAAAAACAAAUACAUUAUUCAUUUGAACCUUCGAUCCCUGAGUCAUUUCCUUGAUAUAUAUCCCCCCCCCCUAUUUAUACCUUUCUGUGCUUACAACCCUGGUUCUAUUUUCGGCACCAAAGCUUUUAAUCCUGACGUCGUCGUGUCUGAAUGCAGGUAGCUUCUAAAUGGGUUUACGUCUGUUCUGUGAUUCAGAGAGAAGGGGCAAAGUGGGGUGGGGUGGGGGAGAGUGAAUCUUGACAAAAGCACAUCGUAGUUUUGUAUCUGCAAAAUGGAAAAAGGUGAGGCUUCGUGCAAGAGGUGUAGAAGGGUGUCUCUGGAGCAUACGGCGCCCCCUUUUACCGCUUGCCUUCGCACGGUCGAAUUCCCCCUUCGUACAAGUGAUCAGCCAUGAAGCUGCCCCAACCACCAUUUCCUGUUACAUCCAAACCAGGAAACCACAGUGUAUACUUUCCAAACAAACCAGCCUCUGUAAGCCAACAGGUGACCGACCACACCAGGAUGCCGUAGUUAACCUUCGUUUCCUGUUACAUCCAAACCAGGAAACGAUGGCUUUGUAAACCAACCAAACCGUAGCUUCAUAUUCUGACACAAUUCAUAGUUUAACAACUGUUGGGGCCUCAGCCCAGUAUACCUGAAGGAGCAUCUCCACCUCCAUCGUUCUGCCCGGAACACUCAGGUCCAGUGCCGAGGGCCUUCUGGCGGUUCCCUCGCUGCGAGACGCCAAGUUACAGGGAACCAGGCAGAGGGCCUUCUCGGUAGUGGCACCUGCCCUGUGGAACGCCCUCCCACCAGAUGUCAAAGAGAAAAACAACUACCAGACUUUUAGAAGACAUCUGAAGGCAGCCCUGUUUAGGGAAGCUUUUAACGUUUAAGAGGUUAUUGUAUUUUAGUGUUCUGUUGGAAGCCGCCCAGAGUGGCUGGGGAAACCCAGCCAGAUGGGCGGGGUAUAAAUAAUAAAUUAUUAUUAUUAGUUGGGUGGGGGACCUUAGACUUGGUGGCCGAAAAGUCACCCUCCAAACCUCUCCAUCUGGCCCUUGAGUAUCUCCCCAGGCCCCACCCCCUGCCCAAACCCCACCCCCUCCUGUCUCUGCUUCUCAAUCCACUUGAUAGUUGUUGCCUGACUGGCUCCAGCCCGUGAGUCAAGUUUCAGAGAUGCUUAACUUGGGCAGAAACAGAGGCUUAUGCUGAAUCAGACCAUUGGCCCACCUGGUUCAGCAUCGUCCGUAGCAGUCCGGGAGCAUCUCUCUGCGCUUUCCAAACAGGGAUUCUUUCCCAGACUUAACCUGAAGGUGCUGGGGAUGGAGCCAAGGCCCUUCUGCAUGCAGAAUGGGUGCCCCACCCCAAGCUAUGCCCCCAAUAAUGCUGUCUUUUCAAGGAUUUCGCAAGCAGCUCCUCCUGUUAUGUCUUCUUACGUCUCUCUGUGUAAGAUCCAGUGGUUUUUUCCCUGCUCCCCGUGUAACAUGGCCUGGAUAAAUUGCUCACCCCCGCCUCCUCCGAAACGUCACCGUCACCAUUCCCAGGGGUAUUGCGUGAGGGCCGUGGCUCUUAAAUUUGAUCCAGGUGGUAAGAUUCCCUAUUCCGAUCGAAAGAGCUGGGUGGGCCCCACAGCGGCGAUUUCCUUACAUGAGAAAAAUAUGGAGACCCAGCGUGAGACCUUGGGCUCCUCAUUUGCCAUUGAGCGAUCGCGGAUGGGGGUGUAGAGGGCGGACGGGCAGCGGUAACCCGAACCGUGGCCAGUGUGCUACAUGCUGAGCACGUUCCGCACUCUGGGAUUAGGAGCUCUGGCCAAGCAGCUUGCAAACAGUAACCCUUGCCCGUAGCUUCUGCGAGUGGCGGUUCUAAACCCUGCUAUCACAUGCUGUGUGUUUUUACCUGCAAAUAACUGCAGACAUGCCCGUUGCAAGCAGUAGAUCCAGCACGUGCAUCAGCGUGCAUAAAUUAUGCAGAUUAAUUGGCACGCCCCGCCGUGUUUUGCAUCAAUUACCAUGCGUCUCGCGGGGCAAAAAUAAUGCAUGUCACUGGAGCCUCAUAGCAUCUAUGGGGAAGCUCAUGUUCAGCUGCCGUCUGGCUUCUGAGAUUUCGCCAGUUAGUGCCCCUGUGAGACUAUAUCUGCGGAGGCCCCUUAGCACAAUUAUUGUUAUUAUUAUAAUUAUUAUUAAUUGCAUUUAAGUUCCACCUUGAGGGAACUUAAUAAGGUGGAACCUAAUCAGCCAUGGCUUCCCCCAAAGAAUGCUGGGAGCUGUAGUUUGUAGAGGGCACACAAGAUUUCUUAGGAGAUACCCAUUACCCUCGCAGAACUACAACUCCAGAAUUCCUUUUGAAGAAGGUUUGAUGGUUCCCUCCAUGAAUUGUAGCUCAGGGCAGGGAAUGAAUGUCUCCUAAGAACCCUUAACAGACUACAAUUCCCAGAAUUCUUUGGGCAGAAGCCAGGGCUGUUUAAAGUGGUACGAUAGCGCUCUAAGUUUAUGGUGUGGAUGUGGUCUACGUCAUGUGGGAAGCUUACGCAAGUAGAAGCCAGCUAUCUUCUUCAGAGAGCUGUCUUCGACUGGGGCAGGAUGUUGGUUGGAUCCUGCGUUCUCAGCCCCACUCCUCUGUCCUGCUUCCAGAUUGCUAUAAUGGCUGAAUAGGGCUGGUUGUGUGAAGCUACUUAAUCCAGUGUACAAGCGUUUGGUUUCGUUUCCCCUUCAGUAAGUGUGUCCUCUCCCUUCUUCACAGGUGUGGUGGCCAAGGCGAACCUAGCAGCGUCUUCCAUUGAGGAAAGUAUUUCCGGAGCCUUGGAGAUGUUCAUCAGUUGUUCCUGGAGACGAGAAGAAUUUUGCAUGGGUGUGCAUCUUCAGGGUUUGGUGGCUGUGGUUGUUUUCUUCAAGAAAAUAUAUUCUUAAUGGUCAUUAUUUGAUAAAAGAAGCGGGCCCCCAAAGGCAUCGCAGUGAGCUGCUGGCUGGAGGCGUCAAGAAGGCAAAGAAGGGAACUCUUGAAAUCCCAUCCAAAGGAGAAAUCGGAAAAACUUAUCAAGGGCGGUGAAAGGGAAAAAUGGGAAAGUGCGUGUAACAGAAAUGACAGAGGACUCAGAAACACCUGUGUGAAUUUGGAGGCCCUCGCCAAACCAGCGAGCGAAGAUCCUUGCAGGUAACAGAAUCUGAACCCCACUCCUUGUUCCUCCCAAAUUUAUACGGCGCAUCUCUAGCCCCACACCUGGGGCUAGAUGAUGAUGAUGAUGAUAAUAAAAAUUAUUUAUACCCUGCUCUCCCCGGCUCACCAAUAAAAUCACAGUAAAAAACAUAAUGGGGGGGGGGAACCAAUUUAAAAUACAGAUUAAAAUGCAAUUUAAAAUGCAGCCUCAUUUUAAAAGUAGCUAAUAGAUCAAGACCAUAAGGGGAGGGAAACAUAAGGGUCAGACUGAGUCCAAACCAAAGGCCAGGUGGAACAGCUCUGUCUUGCAGGCCCUGCGGAAAAAUGUCAAGUCCCACAGGGCCCUAGUCUCUUGUGACAGAGCAUUCCACCAAGUCGGGGCCAGUACUGAAAAGGCCCUGGCCCUAGUUGAGACCAAUCUAACCACCUUGCGACCCGGGACCUCCAAAGUGUUGUCAUUUGUGGACCUUAAGGUCCUCCACGGGGCAUACCAGGAGAGGCGGUCCCGUAGGUACGUGGGUCCUAGGCCUCAUACCUUUUGUCAGAUUGUAGUGCCGCCUCUGUUAAUAUUUUUCGUUUGCCCCCUUUCGCCCAGAUGCUUAAGGCAUCAGACAGAUCCUUCACCCUCACUUUAUCCUCUCUGCGUUUUUCAAAUAAAUAGCUCCCCCCCCCCAUUCAACACCUCGCGUUAAUGUACACAGCCGCGAUCAUUCUCCCAUUCUUGUUUGGAAAUAUUCUUACAACCAACCAAAUAAAUAAAUAAAUAAGGCCACUAGAGAUGCCUGGAGGUUGCAAAAAUGCUCCCUUGGUAAGGCAGAUUUGGAACGGGCCUGGGGUCUUUCGAAAAAGUAGCAUUGAUAGAUAACACACCCUUCGUCUCCUGUUUGGGGCUGACCAGCGUAGCUGCAGUUUUGCACAGCCGCCGCUCGCAAUUUUAAGGCUGCCGUGUUUUCCAAAAGCCUUUUGCAAGAAAGGUUUUUUUGGGGGAGUGGGGGAACCCCGCGACGUUUCAAGGGUAGUUUAUAUAGCUCAGAUGUUUAAUGGAUAGUUUAUACAGCUCAGAGGUUAACCGGUUCACUUGCUGCCCAGCAAACGACCCUUCACAGCUGAUCGCAGCAGAUUGUUCAGCGAUGAAGCCAGCAAGCAACUUAACAGCUUUCGGGGAAUGCAGAAAGCAUGUGCUGGAGACGUGAGCAAGGUUUACUGGGUCAGAUAGUCCAAAGGAAGCAGGCAGGGGGGGAGUACCAAUUUGGUAGGAAGAGGGCAGAACCACUCCCCUGCACCCAACAGAUUUAUCAAUUAUUAUUUUUUUAUUAUAAAAUAUUUAUUAAAGUUUAAACAUUGCAAAAGAACAGAAGCAGAACAAAAAAAAAUAUGGGCAAUAAACAAUUACAAAACCUCAAAAACAAAAAUAAAUACAGAAAUACAAAACAUCAACAAUACAAAAAGAAAAAGAAAAGAAAAGAAAAGCAUUAAAAAGGAAAAACAAAAACAAAAAAGAACAAACAAACAUACAAAAGAACCACAUAUUUUCAUAUCCUUAUCUUUCAUUUGCUUAUUUCCUCGACUUCCUCACACCUCCUUUUUUGUAUUCUAGUUCAAUUAAAUAUUCCAGCAAGUCCUUUCCCUCUUUCACAAAUUUAGUUCCAUGGUUUAACUUAACGCAAUUUUAGACUUAAAUUUACCUCUUUACCCAAUGUCAAUCUAUUCAUACUUGAUUCUUUAUAAUAUUUCUACUAAAGUCAUAUAACUUCUUUCCAGCAUCUUUCUAACAUUCAUUAAUUUUGGAAUAUUUCUGUAAAUAAGCUUUGAAUUUUUUCCAAUCUUCUUCCACCGACUCUUCACCCUGGUCUGGGAUUCUGCCAGUCAUUUCCGCCAAUUCCAUGUAGUCCAUCAGCUUCAUCUGCCAUUCUUCCCUGGUAGGUAAGUCUUGUGUCUUCCAGUGCUUUGCAAUGAGUAUUCUUGCUGCUGUUGUAGCAUACAUGAAAAAAACUCUGUCCUUCUUUGGCACCAAUUGGCCCACCAUGCCCAGGAGAAAGGCCUCUGGUUUCUUUAAGAAGGUAUAUUUAAAUACCUUUUUCAUUUCAUUAUAGAUCAUCUCCCAGAAUGCCUUAAUCUUUGGGCAUGUCCACCAGAGGUGAAAGAAAGUACCUUCAGUUUCAUUGCAUUUCCAACAUUUGUUAUCAGGCAAAUGAUAAAUUUUUGCAAGCUUGACUGGUGUUAUGUACCACCUGUAAAUCAUUUUCAUUAAAUUCUCUUUUAAGGCAUUACAUGCCGUAAACUUCAUACCAGUGGUCCAUAACUGUUCCCAGUCAGCCAUCAUAAUAUUAUGUCCAACAUCCUGUGCCCAUUUAAUCAUAGCAGAUUUCACCAUUUCAUCAGAUUUAUCAAUUUAAGGCUGUGUGUACAUCAUAGCUGUCAACCAUCCCUUAUUUGGCGGGGAAAUUCCCUUAUCCCUGCGCCGUGUCCCGCUGCUGUCCCUUAUUGAUGAUGUCCCUUAAAUUUCCUGGGUUUCAAAGGAAGCAGCUCCUCUCCCUCCCUCCCUGCCAGCCAGGGAGGAGGGAGGCUCCAACUGUGUUGCUUGGCUGUGUUGCUCACCCAAUAAGGAGUCUAAGAACGACUGGGGGGUGGAGCUUGCAUGCCUUGUGCCGAUCAAAUCAGUCGUGUUGCCUGGGGACUCACCUUUGCUCAGCGCUUCCCAGCGGAGAGGUGACGGUGGUUUUCCUUGCUGCAUCCCCUUUGCCGGGUUGCUGCGCUGUGGGAACCACCGCUUGAGGCUUUGUUUGGCUGCUGGCUGGGCUUUCUGCCUUUGGCUCAGAAGCUGAACAUACCUGUGCCCGGAAAAUCCCUUAUUUUGGCUGCUGAUCCCUUAUUUUCGAGGCUGCUGGUCCCUUAUUUUCAAAUCUGUAAGUUGACAGCUAUGGUGUACAUUGCCUUUCCCCACAAGUUGGAUGCAGAAUGAAAAUGCGAGUUGUGGAAUAUUUCUUCAUUAAGGACCCUACACUUGCUCUCUGCACUCUCAACUGUAGACAUUAUUAUUAUUAUUAUUAUUAUUAUUAUUAUUAUUAUUAUUAUUUCCUCCCUUCCCCCUAAGGUCCCAGGGCGUGUUACAACAAUUGAAACACAAUAUUAAAAGCAGUUUAAAGCAACUUAAGAGAAUGGCAGAAAUAACUGAAAGUUUAAUUACGCUGGCAUCAUUAUUAUCCGUCCUGAGGCAGAAUUGCUUUGAAACUUUGCAUCCUAAUCACUUCUGGCUUUUGACCGUUCCUCCGCAGUAUCCGCCAAGGGCCGUAGCUCAGUUGUAGAGGACCUGCUUUCAAGGCAGAAGGUCCCAGGCUCAGUCUCUGGCCAGUGUGGCGUAAUGGUUAGAGUGUUGGACUUAGGACCUGGGAGACCAGGGUUCGAAUCCCCACUCAGCCAUAAAUUUCAUUGGGGGAAAUCUUGGGCCAGUCACCACCUCUCAGCCCAACCUACCUCACAAGGUUGUUGUGAGCAUGAAAACUGCUUGCCUGAAACCCUGGCGACCUGCUGCAAGUCAUUGUGGACAAGCUUAGAUGGACCCAGUGAUGUGACUCUGUAUUUUUGUAUAUAUCCCCUGCAUUGCUUUGUCUUUGACCUGUUGGGAAAUUACGGGUAGGUGGGUUUUUGUGUGUGUGUGUGUGUGUGUGUGUGGUGGCCAGGGCCAGAUUUAGGUUUGAUGAGGCCCUAAGCUACUGAAGGUAAUGGGGCCCUUUAUAUGUCCAGCUGUCCUCUGUCAACAACAAAAUGUCGCUGUUGUUUUGUGUUGAAUAUAUGCUAUAUGGUAAUUUAUGGACCUAAUGGGUAUCUAAAGCCAUUUGCACAUAACAAAAUAUGUAUUUUAUCAAAGUAAUUGUUGAACUGAAAUACAAUUAAGAAGUAGUACAGUGGUACCUCGGGUUACAGACGCUUCAGGUUACAGACUCCGCUAACCCAGAAAUAGUAUCUCGGGUUAAGAACUUUGCUUCAGAAUGAGAACAGAAAUCACGUGGCGGCAGCGGGAGGCCCCAUUAGCUAAAGUGGUACCCCAGGUUAAGAACAGUUUCAGGUUAAGAACAGACCUCCAGAACAAAUUAAGUUCUUAACCCGAGUUGCCACUGUAUAUUAAUAGUGAAAUGCAAUUAAGAAGAAGUAUAAUAAUAAUAAAUUAUUAUUAUUAUUAUUAUUAUUAUUAUUAUUAUUAUUAUUAUUUUGAGGGGGGCAAAAUAGAGUGGUCUUAAGCUAUAGCUUGUUUAGCUUAUCCGUAAUCGGGCAUUGGUGGUGGCCUAUGUUUUCCUUACAUAAAACCGACUUGAUGACGUGAGAAUGGGUUGCUUGUGCAAAUUCUGGGAGGCGGGAAGUUAUAAACACCUUCAGCUAAUAGAGUUUCAGGAGGAAACAAAUGGGCUCUUCAAGUUAAUUGAGGUGAGGCUCCCAAAAUUCUCACACACAUCCUGCCGCCUCCAGUGAUUCUAAUUAGGAUACAGAACAAAGGCUGUUGUUGGGUUUGGAUGGGGAAUCACUGAUGGAAUGCAAGCCUUCCAUUGACCCUGGACGCCAUAACCUGCUUUUGAAGGAAAGAUUAGACUCUGUCUGCUCUAUGUGAAUAUAAUGAAAAUAAAACCGUUUUAACAAUGGAGUAGACCAUUAUUGAUCGUCUUAAAUCAAAUGCAUUUGUUGAGUCUCUUGUUUGCUUUUUAAUGCUACAAGGUUGAGCCCUUAAAAAGCAGAGUGUUUUAAAUGUAAAAGGUAAAGGUAAAGGACCCGUGACAGUUAAGUCCAGUCGCAAAUGACUCUGGGGUUGCUGCGCUCAUCUCGCUUUACUGGCCGAAGGAGCCGACAUUUGUCCGCAGACAGUUUUUCCGGGCCGUGUGGCCAGCAUGACUGAGCCACUUCUGGCAAAACCAGAGCAGCACAUGGAAACGCCAUUUACCUUCCCGCCGGAGUGGUACCUAUUUAUCUACUUGCACUUUGAUGUGCUUUCAAACUGCUAGGUUGGCAGGAGCUGGGACCGAGCAACAGGAGCUCACCCCUUCACAGGGAUUCGAACCGCCCUAGGCUCAGUGGUUUAGACCACAGCGCCACCCGCGUUUUAAAUGUAAUGUGCAGUUAAAAAGAAGUAAUUUGGAGUGUGACAAAUAGCCCUCAAGAGGGCUUGUAAUAAUCAAAUACAGGGAAACUUCUAACAAGAUACAACUGGGGAACGUCAUCCCGGUUAUGUGCAAACUUUCAGUGUCUGGGGGGUUUUCGCCUCCUGCACAGAACCUGGUAUCAUGUCCCAGAAUUUGAACUUGCUGACAUCUUUCUCCGCAUGAUUUUAAAGCAACAGUGGAGUCCUAUACUUGACUACUAUAAGUAAGUCCCAUUGAAUUCAAUUUGGCCUGCUCUCAGGUGAACGGGUAAUAGAAUUGAAGCCCAAGUUUCUAGCCCUCUGGUUAUUGCUCUUAUUUUUGCAGAGGAAAACUUGGGAACCCACAGGCAGUGCUUGGUAUAGCUCUGAGAGCAGCCAAGGGCAGGAAGGGGAGGCUUCUCAAUGGCCAGAGGACAGAGAGCUUAGUGACACGCUCAGCUUCAAUCACCUAACUCUCUUUGUAGCUAUUAUUCCAGGAGUGGCUGGCCGGGUGGGGCUUUGAGAGUCACCGGACCUCCUUCUGGCUGGGUCACUGCAGCAGACCAAGAUGGGGAGGGGAAGGGGUGCUGUUGGUGCCAUGCAAACGCACCGGCAGAGCCAAAUUCAGCAUUCCUGCCAGCGCAUUCACACUGCGUUGACCUCACUGGUGCCUCCCUCUUCCCUCUCUCUGUCUCAGUAUAUUGCAGUGACCUGAACAAAGCGUUGUCAGGUGGGCAGCAGAGCUUCUUCAUUAAAUCCAUUGCUCUGUUACUCUCUGUGUGCUCUUUGACUUAGAUUUGGUUCGUCGUCACGAGCAAAAACUGGAAUAAAUCAUGCAAAGCAAAGGUAGAUGCAAAAAGUUAAGUUGUGCUUUUUUGCCCACAAGGCCCCGAAUUUGCACCGCCUGCAUGCAGCAAUGAUGAAUUCACUUUAAACCCUGCUGAUUUAUGUGAGGCUGGAUAACUCAGUCAGUAUUGAUGCUUUUGAAUUAUGGUGCUGGAGGAGACUCAUGAGAGUCCCAUGGACUGCAAGAAGAUCAAACCUAUCCAUUCAGAAGAAAAUCAGCCCUGAGUGCUCACUGGAAGGACAGAUCCUGAAGCUGAGGCUCCAAUACUUUGGCCACCUCAUGAGAAGAGAAGACUCCCUGGAAAAGACCCUGAUGCUGGGAAAGAUUGAGGGCACAAGGAGAAGGGGACGACAGAGGACGAGAUGGUUGGACAGUGUUCUCGAAGCUACCAGCAUGAGUUUGACCAAACUGCGGGAGGCAGUGGAAGACGGGAGUGCUUGGGGUGCUCUGGUCCAUGGGAUCACGAAGAGUCGGACACAACUAAACAACAAGAGCAUGGGACUCUUAAUCCCAGAGUUGCGGGUUCGAACCCCACAUCGGGCCAAAGAUUCCUGCAUUGCAUGGGGUUGGACUAGCUAGGAUUUCAAGGCUGUGGAAUCUUGUGGUGUCAAACCUUGGUGAAAGAGUUUGGCCCAAACCUCGUUUGAGUUUGCAGUUUGUGCCUCUCCUUCCCAUGACAGAUAGUGUGGCACUUGGUAUUGCAUCAAAUUGGUGUGUGCGGACACACACACACACACACACACCCUCCUCCCUGUCCUGUUCCCCAGGUACAUUUAGCUUCAGCAAAUGAAUUACCUUGCUCCUUUGCUGCGAGUUCUCCUGCAGCCUGCCAUAUGUUUGAGCUUGAUAGAGAUGCUUAUCUUCCAGGGCUAAAAUUACCCAGUGAAGGAUGACAUUUCUUAUCAAGGCCUUUGCUGAAUCAGACAGAAGUGGUGUAGGGCUGUGUGUGUGUGUGUGUGUGUGUGUGUGUUGGAAUCUGGUGCCCAUUGCCAGGAAGUUGUGCUGCCAAAAGGACCUUGCCCUUUCAUAGCUUCUGAUCCAAGAGAUCGUUGGGAAAACGUGCCUGGUUGUAGCCACAAAAUGCAAACAAGAGGAUACGUUCCAACAGCAGCUAGGAUUCUCUGUGCACAAAGAAGGAAGGAAGGAAGAAGUUCCCACCAAAGAAGAAUUACGGAAUUGGCAAAGCUAACAGCAAAAAUUUGAGAUCCCAAUGUGGACUCUUUUGUGGGAGAAUGGCACACUGUUUAGACCUUGUUCAUGAGAGACAAUCUUACUCGGCUAUGAGUGAUCGCCAAAGAGAAGAGUCGUUUUGCUGGUAACUUGGGAAACUGCCUUAUGCAGAAUCCGACCAUCCAGCUCAAUAUUGCUAUUUACACUGAGUGGCAAUGACUCUCCAGGGUUUCAGAAAUCAUGCAAAGCAGAUUCUCUGCCACUGAGCCACACAUGGGCCUUUCCUCUUAAAUUUUUAAGGAAUGCAUGGAUGUGAAUCCUUGCAUUUAUGACCAUCUGCAGCAGAGCCCUUUCCCAUCCAUAAAGGGCCAAUAAAGCCGUUUACCUACAAUGUUAAAACCGUAGGCAUCAAUUAAAACUGGGCGGGCAAACAUUGGAAAGCUGCCUUAAGCUGAGUCAGGCUGUUGCUGCAUCUCACUCAAUAGUGCCUGCUCUGGCUGGUAGUGGCUCUCCAGGGCUGCCGGCAGGUGACGCCCCCAGCCUUUCCUGGAGAUGCUGGGGAUUUGAAUCUGGGACCUUCUACAAGGGCUCCACCGCUGAGCCACUAAUUCCUGUUAUUGAUUCCCAAUUAACAGGAAAUAGUGGUGGAAUCUUCCCCAACUUGGGUAUCAAAAGUUGGCUUUUGGAGCCACCCAGAAAGGAAUAUAUAUGGCACAAUAUGGGGCAAAAUUAGAAAACAUGUUUGUGUGUGAUAUUUCACCUUCUCAUUCCAAAUUGGGUGGAGGUUUACAUCCUCUGCUUGCAUUCUGCUAAAAGCAACGAGUGGACACUGCCUGGUUUGUUUAGUUUUGCACAAGCUGUGUCCCCUGUUGCUGGGGGUGGAGUGGGGGCUGCAUUGAGGGACACCAGCAGAAAGCCUCCCUGCCAGUUUGCUUCAUGAUUUCAUCCCCCCAAAUUGUGCCUGGCACCCCCUUGCUCCCCACACCGAGACUGUACCAUGUAAAAGUCCCCACCCCACCUGUUCUGUUUGUUAGUCACAGUCGGUCACAGUUGCCCCUGAGCUCACAGCCUUAGCAGAUCCAGAUCACUGCGGAUCUCCGCAGGGAGGCUGAGAUGCCCGACAGAUGAGGGCUGUUCGCUGGGAAUCUUUUUGUCUGGCUUGGGGGACCAACGGCCCUGAGAGCCUCUUGCUCUACCACCUGAGUUAUCCUGAGGCACUGCGACAAUGGAUUUUUAAAAUCACAGUUCAGUCUUGGUAGUUGUGCUACAGGGAGCAGGAUAAUGUUGGAGGGAGCGUGUGCCUAUAUGCCAGUUGCUGGAAACCAUAAUUAAUAAUAAUAAUAAUAAUAAUAAUAAUAAUAAUAAUAAUAAUAUAUUAUUUGUACCCCACCCAUCUGACUGGGUUUCCCCAGCCACUCUGGGCAGCUUCCAACAAAGACCAAAAAUACACUAAAAUCUCACACAUUAAAAACUUCCCUGAACAGGGUUACAGGUAUGUAACCCGAGGUACCACUGUAAUUGUUUAUCUCUUUGACAUCUGAUGAGUGGGCGUUCCACGGGGCGGGUGCCACUACCGAGAAGGCCCUCUGCCUGGUUCCCUGUAGAGUUCUGUCAAUCUCAGGUCCUGCUUUCGGGCUUCCGAGUGGCAUUUGUUGGCCACUGUGUGUAGCAGGAUGCUGGACUCAGUGGGCCACUGGCCUGAUUCUGCAGGGAUUGUCUGAGGUGCUUCUGCAAGGCCACAGGUCAGCCCUGCUCAGCUGCUAGUGGCAUUCAUCCACAAACCACAACAUUGCAGGUGUGUGUGAAGGGGCCCUGGCAGCUUACCCCACAUGACGGAUCGGGAAAAGUGCCAGCACACACACUGACUGCAUUGCUCAUUCUCAGGACCUGUGCAACUCACAGUUCUCUUCUCCAGAGACGCGCAGAGAUCUUUGAGCAUCUGUAAAAGUCGUGCGUAGAAGCAUUUGAAACAAACAUGCAUUUCUGAACUGGAUCGAGAAGCUAGAAACCACAAGGGUUUGUGCUUUCUUUCUUAUUUUAUAGAAAUGAUAAAGUAUCAGAGGAGCGAGUGAGUCACGCUUCCUUUCUCUGAGUGCGUUCUUCCCCUUGUGCGAUCUGCAGCAAGCCACUGAGGUGUUGAGAAGUUGGGGUCAGGGUUUUCCAAGACGGGGAGUACUCUCCGCUUCCGAAUGAAGAAUCCAGCAAGCGUGGGCCCAGGCAAAAGGGCAAGCAGAUCGGGUUGGGGGGCGAAACCUUAACUUUCUGACCUUCCUGUUGACCUUGUAUGGAAAGGUGAAAACAAAUGAGCAUCAGAGGCGAGAAUUGGGGGGCCCAAAAGAGGCAGGCUCCCCCUCUAGCACAAUAAACAAGCACAGAGAAUUGCAGUUGCACCCUUUAUUUUGCAGGCUGGAAGGGGUUUGCUGUUCCUUGUUUGACGGCACUCCUGGGAAAUGUUUUUAAAUUGUUUGUUUGUUUUAUAUACCGCCCUUCAUCAAAAGAUCUCAGGGUGGUUCCCAAGAUAAAAACACAAAUAGUUGAAGCAAAAAACAACAAAACAGUAUACACCCCCAUAAACACAUUUAAAAGGCUGUGGAGUAUUACUUAGGGGGGGCGUCAUUUUGCUCACUGGCCGCCCUUUGGGAGGGAUGGAGGGUUCCGAUGAUGGAGCCCACGGGGUCUUUCACAGAUGAAGACCCUCAUGCACACAAGGGGAGAACGAGGUCAUACCCACUGGUCACGCACUCCACUGCCUCUGUGCCCACUGCCUGUGCCCUCACCCCACUGGCCAGCUAAGCUCAGCGUGUACAGCUGUUGGGAUGUGUCCAAGGGAAUGGGGGCAUCAGGCAGGCCCCCAGCUGGCUCCAGCCCACCGGCCAACAGCUGGGCAAACUCUGGUCUCCCUUGGAAGAGCAUCAAAACAUCGGCACACAGCUUCAGAAGCCUUCAGAAACUUGAGCACGCCUUAAGCAGUGAAUCUCACGCAACAGAAGCGGCGGACAGAGGCAUAUGUAAAGCGUAUUUACAAGCAUUUUAUUCAGCAUCAGGUCAAAGGAAAAACAUGUCUGCUCCCCUUCGUGUCCAAGCAGCAGGAAGCACAAAGCAAAAGCAAUUCACAAACAGAAGUUCCCAGCAAGCUGUGCUGGAAUGUAAACAGACAUGUGACAUAUAACAGCUCCACACAUCUGUUUUGGUGGAACGGAACAUCAGUAUCCUAACAACAGCUUGCUCCUUCCCCAUUUGCACUGAAUGCAUAUGGUGGCCGUGGGGGUCUGGCCAGCAGCAGUCCCUCCCUCUGUUGCUGGGAGACAUGACCAGAGUGUGCAGUCUGUCUGUCUGUCUGUCUCUCUCUCUUAUGUGUUCACUAAGCACUUUAUGGGAUUUCUGCGCCGACUGCUCACUUUGAGACUUUGCAAGCUCAGUCGGUACAGCAUGAGACUCUUAAUCUCAAGGCUGUGGGUUCGAGCCCUGCCCUGGGCAAAAGAUUCCUGCAUUGCAGGGCAGGGGCUUGAGACUCGAUGACCCCUGUGGUCCCUUCCAGCUCUACAGUUCUAUGAUCCUGUGCUUAUCCCUUGCUCCAUUUGAGAAUUAUAACUGGUUGGGCACCUUACGAAAUGCACUCUUGAGCAUUGGCUCUGUGCCAGAAGGUAGGCAGUUAGUUUGUAGAGAGUAUAGGAUUCUAGAGUUGGAAGGGAGAUCCUGUGGAUCAUCUGGUCCAACCCCUUGCAAUGUAGGAAUAUGCAGCUGUCCCAAACGGGGAUCAAACCUGCAACUGUAGUGUUAUCAGCACCGUGCGCUAACCAACUGAGCUAUCCAGCUGAGUCCAGUCCAUCCAACCCUCUGCCUUUUGCAAACUUUUCUCGACACAAACUCCUUGCAAAGUUGUUCACUUAUUCAAUUGCAUUGCCUUCACUUCCUGUGUCAUCGUCUACAAUUGUAUUCCAGAGUCAAGGUUAUGUAAUUAGAAGACAGAAGAGGCCAGAAUAGAAGAACAGGAUUGCUUCUUUGCUUCUUAUGUCAGAGGUUUUCAACCUUUUAAAGUCCACAGCUUUUCUUUCUGUGGCACCCCUGUGGGGCUCAGGAGCCAAGUUGUGUCACCCGUUGCCUGAAGAGAUGACAGCCUCACCCUUUUUUGAACACCCUCUCUUGGGAAGUGUCCCCUCAGCCUCCUCUCCUCUCCUCUUGGGAGUCCUCCAGGCAGCUGCUGCUGCCGUCUCUGGUCUCUGAGCUGCCCCCCUCUGUCCCUAAAAGGGGUGCCUUCCGGAAGCACCAUUCGCCUGGGGAGCUUGUAGUUGGGGCUGCUGCAACAAACAGCUGUGCAAGCCUUUGGGAGGCAGAGAUGUGAGAGGGCAUAAGAGGAAGGCGGGAAGGAAAGUGUUACCAGCGGCACCCCGACCAUCCUUCAAGGCAGCCCAGGGUGCCACGACACAUUGGUUGAAAGCCACUGUCUUAGGCUGUUGGCUCUUAGGCUGCUCUUCUGUAUGCUUUUUCGGGUUUUAGCUGGGACCUGCCCCAGCAGCCGUGAAAGUUGCACGGCAAUUCAUCUGACAAAAACAUGACUCAGUUCGGUACUCGGCUUGGGCGUUACACCAGCCUGCAUAAAAUGAAAGUAUUAUUCUGCCCUCACACCUUUGCAUAAUUCAUCUAACUUAACUGGGCUGGGCUAGCGGUUGCACAAGUAAAUUUUUUAUCAUUUCCGCAAGAAGCGCAGGACAAAAACACUCUGCACCUUUCAAACCGCGAGCUCCUGCUGGUUUCCAUUUGCUGAUUCUGACUGUGGGUGGGAUGUGUGUGUGAGAGAGAGAGAGAGGGGGGGGAACUUAAUACAAAUGGAAGCCGAGUUUAGAAUUUCCUCCAGUCAUGCGACACUGCCUUACGCAGAGUGAGAGCCUUGAUCCUUCUAGCCCAGAAUUCGUCAACCUGGUGCCCUCCAGAUGCGUUGGACUUCAGCUUCUACCAGCUGGGAGUUGUGGUCCAAAACAGCCGAUUGACCUCCAGGUGGACUACAACUCCCAUCACCCCUGACCGUCGUCAAUUCAGACUGGGGCUGAUGGGAGUUGGAGUGCAACAGUAUCUAGAGGACCACAGGUGGUUUGCCCCGAUUCCAGGAGGACUGCCUCCCCAAGUGCCCCCAAAAUGAGAUUGCUGGCUGCUGACCUUCCAUGUGCUUAUCUGUCUCGAUCUUGAUCUCUCUACAUACAUGCUGGUACAGUCAUACCUCAUGUUGCGUCCGCUUCAGGUUGCGGACAGCCGAAACCCGGAAGUACCGGAACGGGUUACUUCUGGGUUUUGGCAGUCGCGCAUGAGCAGAAGCAUUAAAUCGUGUUUUGCACAUUUGCAGAAGCGCCGAAUCGCAACCUGUGUGUGCGCAAAUGCGGGUUGCGAAUGUGCAUCAUUCAUGGAUCACUUUCGCAACCGAAGCAUCCACUGUAUUUGUAAAUAAUAAUUUUUCAAAUGACUUAUGGAUUUGGCCACUGUUGCAGGGGCCAAGCUCCGUUUAUGUUUGUGGUGUCCAGUUAAAAACUGCUAUUUAAAAUGUGACUUUAGCUACGUGUCACUGAUGUGAAUUUUGCAUUAGUUCAUGCGUUUCGACAAAACAAAUAGAAAAUGCGACCAAAUUUUUUUGGGUGGGGGGGAAAUGGGGGACAUCUUGAGACUAGAUAUUCUGUUGUGGCACCUGUAGCCCAGGUUUCAGGAGCUGUCUGGCAAAUAUCUCACCUGUCUGAAUUUCUGUACAUUUCGGCUUCGGCCUUCAUGGUCCGGCAGAGGAUAUUUAUCCUUGCGAGACUCUCUCUCUCUCGUGAACAAGCCGCUCAGUGCUUCAGCGCUUCAGUUACCCAUGCUAAGCUCUCCAAACACGGAAGGUUUUCCGGGACACUCCCUUGUCGACCUUCGAAGAAAUUGAGCGACAGGCACGUUGCGCCUUUGCUGAAUCAAGGCUGCUGACUGGGAGAUAAGCAUCUCUCAUUAACCAAAGGCGGAAAUUAAUAAAUGGCUGCAAACCUCUGGGUGAGAGCUAUAUUUACACUGUCAGCGCAGCAGGUUUAGAAACUACUUCACAACUCUGAUGUGUGCAAGGGGAAAAGCAACCAGACACCGACAGAGUGCAGGCACAAACUGUAGCCCUGAAGACUCAAAUUCUGUGGCUGGGGUUUUUAUGUCCGUUUAAGCAUGGGUGCCUAAACAUUCGCGAGCUGCAUAAGCAGCUCAGGGUACAAGAAUUGGAGUUCUGCUGAAUUUUGGUGCGCUGACUCAUACAGUGCAUCUAUUUCUGUGUAUGCUUAACGGUUAUUUAGCUUCAGGUAGAUCUGACGCAGUCGAGAUAAAUAAAAAUAAAAUAAAAAAUUGUCCAGUAGCACCUUAGAGACCAACUAAGUCUAUUCUGGGUAUAAGCUUUUGUGUGCAUGCACACUUCUUCAGAUACACUGAAGUGUGGGAGGGUGGGGUGAGGUUUUUUCUCAGAAGGAUAGUAGGAGAUGGGUGAUUGACUCAAUGGGUAUGGUAAACCUGUUGAUGACUGUAAACAGGUUAACAAGUUAUUUAGCUGCGGGAGGCAGUGGAAGACGGGAGUGCCUGGCGUGCUCUGGUCCAUGGGGUCACAAAGAGUCGGACACGACUAAAUGACUUAACAACAACAACAAAAACAACAUAGAAUUGUAAGCUGGAAGGGAUCCCAAGCGUCUUCUAAGUCCAACCCCCUGCAAUGCAAGAAUCUCAACUAGAUCAUAAAUAACAGAUGGCCAUCCAGUCUCUGCUUAAAAACCACCAAGGAAGGAGAGUUCACCACCUCUCAUUGGAGCCUGUUGUACUGUUUAACACAGGGUUUCCCAAACUUGAAUCUCCAGCUGUUUGUGGACUACAGUUCCCAUCAUCUCUGACCGCUGGUCUUGUUAGCUAAGGAUGAUGGGAAUUAUAGUCCAAAAACAGCUGGAGACCCAAAUUUGAGAGACUCUGGUUUCACAGAUAUUUUAAACGUGCAUAAACAAAUGGUGGUUGAUACGGUUUCAGAUAUGGAACUUGACUUUUCAGAGUCAUAAAGAACCAUCCUAAUUACCAGCAAAGAAAAUCCUGUUGUUUACAGUGCAUAGAGUGUAAACCAAAAUAUGACAGACCAUAAAUUUGGCAUCCCAAACAUGACGUCCUCCAUGUUUUGGACCUCAACCUUCAUGAUCCUCAUCAUUGGCCAGGCUAAUGGGAACUGAAGUCCAACAAAACCUGGAGUUCCCCAUCCCAGCUAUAGAGAACAUAGCACUUUUCAAAUCGUCCUCAUUGCAAGGGGAGGCAGGAUUAGGGGCAGUAAAUCCAUGUGGUUUUAUCACCAACACCAUCAUUUGUUUACUUAAUUGAAUUUUUUUUUGCCUGCCCUUUACAAUACGAACCUAGGGUAAGUAAUUGAAAUUUAGAGGCGCCAUAUUGAAAACAGCUUAAAAUUAUUUGCACACGUUGUCUUGGGGAAUCGUACAAAAGGUGUACAAUGCACAGAGAUUGUGGAAAUAAGCAUAGGGAAUGUAAAAGCCAUAGUGAAUCAUCUUCUAUUUAUACUAUUUAUCUUCUAUUUUCUACCCAAAGCAGCUCACAACAUUUCGAAGAAUAGUCAUUCAAUUUAAUCAAACGUCAGCCUUAUACAGAUGUUACGCUUGCAAUUUGAGUAAGGUUCGUGGGUAGGUUGGGGCAGAGUUUGUGGCCAUGUGUCCUGCUGUCGCCCACCCCCCAGAACACAUGUUCAGUGUACAUUUAUAUAGGAAGUUGCCUUGAGUUAUGGUAAAUUAUGUUGGUUAUGGGUAGAGCAACAAAAUUAUGCUGGAGCUCCACUCCCUGAAAUUUUGCUUGUACCUCCUUCUGCUUUCCCCCCUCAGCUGUUCACUGGGCAUUUAAUUUAUUUCCAGUCCCUUGAGGACCAGAAACCUGUUCUUUUUAAAAUAAAAAUCAAAAAUCGUCUUUCCCUGGGUGUCAAAUUUCUGAACCUGACACAGAUUUCUGUAAUUUCUGUGGCAAACAGCGCCGACACAAAAAAUAUUACUUCACCCCCCUCAAUGUGUGUCUCUCUGUGUGUGUCUGUGUGGUAGUUUUAGACACAUCGAUUCCUCAACAUGCAUGGCUUCCUCUGGGGAGAGAAAUAAUGGAUGCAGCAGUCUUUCAGGGGAGGAAAACGCAACGACUGCAUAGAAAUCUACCUCGUAUGCCUUCAGCCAGUUAAGGUUAUUGUGGGGGUGGUUCUGUGCUUUUGAUUUAGCUUUCAAGAAAUGGUUCAGUAAACUCUCAGUGAAAGCUUUUUUUAAAAAAAAAAUAAGGGCAAACAGAGUAGUAGUACAGGAAAAUCCAGCCGAUACGAUUGCUAUGUAGUUUUUGGUGGGGUUUUUUAUUUAUUUAAAAAAAGCAUAUCUCCUCCCCCGGACUUUCAGAAGUGUAGUGGGUUACCUUUUGAUCUUGCUGUUCCUAGGGUGGAGGUGAAGAUUGAGGUGGAAAUGUGAGCAAUGCUCUUCUGUGAGAAUUUAAGAGGGGGAGGCCAGCAUCGUGUGAACUCGCUCCUCUGGGGAACUCCUUGGGGAUGCCCUCAUCUCACAGAUAACACCUGAGGCGAGGGUUUUGUUUUUUUUCAGAGGUCAUGCUUUUAAAAACCCACACGUGCCCAAACCCACCCACGGUUUAUUGGAAGUUGCAGAAGACCAGUGAACUGAAAGGUUUCACCUUCCUGGGGGUGUGAGCUUGAAAAAUAUUAUAUUAAUAAGGGGAUUCACCCCCUCCUUUAAAAAAAAAAAUCAGCUAAAAGUACCCUGCAUAUUUUAAGAUGGCUUGGAAGGCCCAGCUGCACUAUACAUUUAAUAAUAAUAAUAAUAAUAAUAAUAAUAAUAAUAAUAAUAGUUAGCUGCCCAGAGUGGCUGGGGAAACUCAGCCAGAUGCGCGGGGUAUAAAUAAUAAAUUAUUAUUAUUAUUAUUUAAAGCAGCACCAUUAGCAAACGACAGUUCCCAAGGAGCCAAUUCCUAAAGUAGCACCCAGAGUGCUUUAGAUACAAAGUGUAAAUGUCACCGAAGUGUGCACUUGUGCUCUGGCACCUCUCUCUGUAGCAAUCGAGCAGUGCACCACGGCGCGCCAAAACACUGCACGGCCGUUUGCUGCCUUUAUAAUAAUAAUAUUACGAUAAUUUAUUAUACCCUGCCCAUCUGGCUUUGUUUCCCCAGCCACUCUGGGCGGCUCCCAACAGAAUAUUAAAAAUAUGGUAAAACUUCAAACAUUAAAAGCUUCCCUAAACAAGGCUGCCUUCAGAUGUCUUCUAAAAGUCAGAUAGUUGUUGAUUUCCUUGACAUCUGAUGGGAGGGUGUUCCACAGGGCGGGCGCCACUACCAAGAAGGCCUUCUGCCUGGUUCCUUGUAACCUCACUUCUCGCAGCGAGGGAACCGCCAGAAGGCCCUUGGAGCUGGACCUCAGUGUCCGGGCUGAGUGAUGGGGGUGGAGAUGCUCCUUCAGGUAUACUGGGCCGAAGGCCGUUUAGGGCUUUAAAGGUCAGCACCAACACUUUGAAUUGUGCUUGGAAACAUACUGGAAGCCAAAGUAGGUCUUUCAAAACAGGUGUUAUGUGGUCUCGGUGGCCACUCCCAGUCUAGCUGCAGCUUUCUGGAUUAGUUGUAGUUUCUGGGUCACCUUCAAAGGUAGCCCCACAUAGAGCACAUGGCAGUAGUCCAAGUAAGAGGUAACUAGAGCAUGCACCACUCUGGCGAGACAGUCUGCGGACAGAUAGGGUCUCAGCCUGCGUACCAGGUGGAGCUGGUAAACAGCUGCCCUGGACACAGAAUUGACCUGUGCCUCCAUGGAAAGCUGUGAGUCCAAAAUGACUCCCAGGAUGCGCACCUGGUCCUUCAGGGGCACAGUUACCCCAUUCAGGACCAGGGAAUCCCCCACACCUGCCUGCCACCUGUCCUCCCAAAAUAGUACUUCUGUCUUGUCAGGAUUCAACCUCAAUCUGUUAGCCGCCAUCCAUCCUCCAACCGCCUCCAGACACUCACACAGUGCCAAGAGCUACCUGAACGGCUGUUUGCGCCCGGUUUCCCGAAGAACAAUAGCUCGUUAAUCAAAGGAACUGGGCCAAGCACUUUCCCUGCCAGGAAAGGAGAAGCCAGGCCUGUUCUUUUGUUACAGGUGCCGCUUCAGCUAGCUAAGUAACAGACCUUCUGGCCGUCGGCACAAUGCUGUGUUUGUGGGCAACGUAUGUUUCUAGGAGAGGCCCAAAGCCUCUCUUAAUAUGAUUGGCGUUCAGUGACAUAGGGGUCUCACAACCUCCACCUGCAUGCAAAGAAGGGCUUUGGCAGUUGGAGCAUACGAGAACCAUGUUGUUGUUGUUGUUUAGUCGUUUGGUCGUGUCCGACUCUUUGUGACCCCAUGGACCAGAGCACGCCAGGCACUCCUGUCUUCCACUGCCUCCCGCAGUUUGGUCAAACUCAUGCUGGUAGCUUCGAGAACACUGUCCAGCCAUCUUGUCCUUCGCUGACAGAUGGAUGCCAUCGAAAAACAAGGCGGCCAAUCUUUUUGCAUGCUUGCAAAGCCUUUUCCAUGCAGGAAGUGACACCAAAGUUUUAGGGCACAUCCCAGACAAGCAAAAAUAUGGAACGAGUGUGCAUGGCAGAGAUAGUGAAGGGUGUGGCCUAGGGGAAGGGGGUGUGGCUUGGGAGAGUCCUGAGGGCCAGAUAGCGGGGCUUUGAGGGCAUCAUUCGACUACCAGGUCUGAAGUUCUCCAGUCUUGCCUUUUUUUUUUUUUUAAGGGCACAUAACUGUUCUUUAUUGCCGCAAAGUAGACACUUUAAUUUGAGCACACAGUCAAUAUAGAGUAUGUUUACAUUAUGCAGUGCUCACGUUAUUUAACGGCUAACUUUUAAUGGCAUGCUUUCAAUUAAUUCCUUUUUUUAAAACAACAGAAUAAAACUUUAUUUAGAGUUCAACAAUAACAAAGGAAAAAACCACAGUAGUUGCUACAUCAAAUCAUUACAAUUAACCAAUUUAAACAAUAUAUAAAUACUAAUAAAGAAAUUACACAACAUCACUUUUAACUUACUGAGGUUUUCAUAUUACACUUUUAUCUCUUUAUCUUUUUCUUAACAUAACCGAUUAGACUCAUUGUAUUAUUAUUUCUACAAUUUUUUCACACACAGUUCCAAAUUAUUGUAUUUCUUUCUUUGUUCUCAUCAAAUAUCAAAAAACAUUAUAUUUGUUUGCUUUACAAGGAUCAUUCUAUUUCUGCCAGGAGAUAUUUGUUAUUGCAAUACUUUGCCAAAUACUCAUUAAAGAUUUUCCAUUCUUUCUGUACUUUCUGUUUUGGAUACCCUGUAAUUCUCCCUGUCAUUAUGGCCAUCUGUAGAUAUUCUAUCAUUUGGAUGGACCUGCAGCCUUGCCUUAAAGAGAGGGAAAACCCAAGAAACAUUGAUAGCCACAGAGAUAUUCAGAGAUACUAAGGGAAUGUCGGUGGUGAAAUGUUCCCUUUUAUCUGUGUUUUUGUGUGCCCUGGUUUUCAUGAGACUCAUCUUUUCCAAGCAGUUACAGGUUCAGUUCUCUCACCUGCCUUCGGCCCGAGAGGAAAGAAAAGGAGGCUGUGACCUUAAAAAGGAGUUUAGUGGGGAAAGGUUGGGAGUGCUGAUCUGAAGAGAAAGGAAUAACUGCUAAGCAACAGCCUUGAGCUCAGGCUGCCUGUUGAUGCUUUUACAAUAAAAUUCCCCUUUUUUGCUUUUAACAGAUCUCUGAGAGGAACAGAACUGGGUGACGGAACGGCACCUAUUAGAUAAGUAUUACAAGCAGCUUACUCUGGGGUGAUUCAGGCGGGCAUAAAAUGGUUUUAUUUCUGUUUUAUUUCCAACUUCUGAGUUUCAAAGAAGAAUGUUGUGGGUGCUUCUUAUCUAUGCAGUUAGUGGCUUUCCUCUAUUUUUCUUUGUUUUCCAGUAGCGGGCUACCAACUUCUUCUGCCAAAGUUCGAUUUGAGGAAGAUGUGAGGAGAUUAGAGGUGGUUGGAAGCAGGAAUACAAUGCUUUAUCCAAUUAAUCGGUUAAAUCAAGGUGAGUCGGCCUAGUGCCAUCCAGUGUCACUGGACUCCAACUCCCAGAAGUCCAUGCCAGCUUGGCUAGAAUUGCAGCUCAACAACUACAAGAGGCCACCAGAUGUUGGCUACUUCUGGGUCGGAGUCAUCAGUUAAAAAACAAAGAUGACCUACUGCAAAUGUGCCCUGGUUAACCAGGCAGAAGAUGAUGAUAGAUAGAUAGAUGAUAGAUAGAUAGAUAGAUAGAUAGAUAGAUAGAUAGAUAGAUAUAGAUAGAUGAUAGAUAGAUAGAUAGAUAGAUAGAUAGAUAGAUAGAUGAUAGAUAGAUAGAUAGAUAGAUGAUAGAUAGAUAGAUAGAUAGAUAGAUAGAUAGAUAGAUAGAUAGAUAUAGAUAGAUGAUAGAUAGAUAGAUAGAUAGAUAGAUAGAUAGAUAGAUGAUAGAUAGAUAGAUAGAUAGAUAGAUAGAUAGAUAGAUAGAUAGAUAGAUAGAUAGAUAGAUAGAUAGAUAGAUAGAUGAUAGAUAGAUAGAUAGAUAGAUAGAUAGAUGAUGAUAGAUAGAUAGAUAGAUAGAUAGAUGAUAGAUAGAUAGAUAGAUAGAUAGAUAGAUAGAUAGAUAGAUGAUAUAUUCUUAAACCCAGUGCAGUAUACUGGUUGAAGUGCAAUAGAUACAUUUUUAAACCCAGUGCAGUAUACUGGUUGAAGUGGCGGACUUAAGACUAGGAAAGCCUAACUUCAAAUUCUCACUCACCCACUAAGUUGUCUGGGUGACCUCAGUCCAGUCACAAUCUUGAAGACUAGUCUUAUCUCAUAGAUUGUUGUGAGGAUAAAAUAGACCAGGGAGGAAUCGCCUACGUAUCGCCGAGCUUUUUUAAGGUAUUGCAGGAUACAAAUGUGGUAAAUAAAUCAGUAAAACCUGGAUUGCGGGCACCCUCUUCAGUGUUAUUGAAUUACUGAGCCAUCAUCAUCAUCAUAUUAUUUUAGGAAGGUGUUUGGGUUUUCUUAAUGUUUCAUUAUGUGUUGGAAGCCGCCCAGAGUGGCAUGGGCAACCCAGCCAGAUGGGUGGGGUAUUUUUUUAUUAUUAUUAUUAUUAUUAUUAUUAUUACCUCCUGGUUCUCACACAAGAGAGAAUGAUUUUCCUACAGAGGGAUGAGGGCCCUGUGACCCCUCUUUAUGUUGCUGGGCAACCACUCCCAGAGUCGCUAACCAUUGGCCACGCUGUCCGGGGCUGAUGGGAGCCUGUCCCCCACAACACCUGGAGGAGCCACACGUUCCCCACCCUGUCCUACAGCGAGGGCUGCUUCAACCCACACAUGUAUGAGAGGCAGUGUGGCUUAGUGGUUAGAGCGUCGGACUGGGACAUUGGAGACCCACUCGGACAUUGAAGCGUGCUGGGUGACCUUGGAGUCAGUCACUGCCUCUUUGCCUAACCUACCUCACAGGGUUGUUAAGAGGAUAAAACCGGGGAAAGGAGAAUCCCAUUCACCACCUGGAGAAAAAGGUGAGAUUUAAAUGCAGUGCAGUAUGUAUAUGUGUGUGUGCGUGCGCAUACACACACACACACACACACACACACACACACACACACACGGCUUCUACUUCUUUUGCUUCAGAACCGUUGUUUGACUCAUAUCCAGAUGUAUGCAAAUGUAACGGAACCGUUUAACGAAAAUGCAGCAUGAUUAAUCAGCUGAGGUUUCUGAGCUGAGCUUGAUAGCAAUCUGAAAAGCGGUUCCUAAAAAUCCUUGGGCCUGUGGAACAGCAGGCCACAAGCGAGGCACAACGCUGAAAUGCGCACCUUCCCACCCAAACAUGUCCCUCUCCCAUCCAAACAUCUCCCCUUUAUCUUUCUACUAAUCGCUGCCCGUUAAAUUUCCCAAAGCGAUUCCCCGAUAAUUUCUUUUUACACUGUUUUCAUAUGUUAAAAACGACCCCUAGCUUUAUAGAGCUUUGGACACCAGUAUCGGCACUUUCAACUUAGCUCAGUUGGCAGCUGGUGCAAUUCCUAGUGCCAUUCAUAGAUCUCAUGACGGCCGUCUGCUGAUAGUAGAGGAUUUUUUUUUUGGCUUUCAGCAUUUUCCCACAGCGGAUUCGCAGCUCAGAUGGCAGGUCCCCAUGGUCAGAGAAGAAGGCGCUUCAAAUGUUUCCAUGUCACGCCUGCUUGAAAGCGUUUCCCAGCUCUUACAGAACCUCGAUCCGUCUUCUUAAAGCAGUGAGCGCAGAAAAAGUAACCAAGACCCAAGAAAAACGAAUGCUGCAAUUAGCUUAACGCUUAAGGUUUUCAAACUGUUUGGAAAAAAUGCUUAUUGACGUGUUCUUUCGAUUCUUGAGCGAAGCAACAGAGCAGCUGUCUUUCCAGCACACACCUGCCCAGACUUUGAUGCAGAGGGCAGCAAUAACCCCAUGCCAAAACUUUUCCAGUUGACUACUGAAAAAGAGGGACAUGGGUGGAGCUGUGGUCUAAACCACAGAGCCUAGGGCUUGCUGAUCAGAAGGUCAGUGCUUCGAAUCCCCGCAAUGGGGUGAGCUCCCGUUGCUCGGUCCCGGCUCCUGCCCACCUAGCACUUUGAAAGCACAUCAAAGUGCAAGUAGAUAAAUAGGUACCGCUCCGGUGGGAAGGUAAACGGCGUUUCCGUGCGCUGCUCUGGUUCGCCAGAAGCGGCUUAGUAACGCUGGCCACAUGAUCCGCCAGUAAAGCGAGAUGAGCGCCGCAACCCCAGAGUUGGCCAUGACUGGACCUAAUGGUCAGGGGUCCCUUUACCUUUACUGUAAAAGAGCCUCAAUUGUUAGUUUAAUCCUCACAACGACCCUGUGAAGUAGGUUAGACCUUAGGGCUGGGUGAUCUAUCAAUAUACCAUCGCAAACCGGUUUGAAGUCCAUAUUGUGAUAUCAGAUUCAUAAUUUGUGUGUGUGUGUGUGUGUGUGUGUGUGUGUGUGUGUGUGUGUGUGUUAUGCAAAAAUCACAAUGCAGGGAAAACCAUGAAGCUAGCAAGUGCCUCUAUAUUCGUAGCUCCAUUCGUAUUUUGGACAUUGUGAUAUAUUGUGAUGUUUAACUGGUUAUAUAUCACAAUGUUGAAAACCGGAUGUUUCCCAGCCCUAUUAGGCUUACUGGGAAAUGAUAUACAAUGAAUUGAAAAUGAUGUUUCAAAAUAACUUUUGU
rnacentral:lncRNA from 1 species